rnacentral:lncRNA from 1 species
UAUAUAUAUAUAUAUAUAUAUAUAUAUAUAUACACUAUACUACUAUUAUUCAAUUAUCCAAUUUAGUUAUUUCACAUUAAAAAAAAAAAAUUCAUCACGCAGGUAUUGAAGAACUAUUUGUUAAAUUAUGCAUAAAAUAUUAAGUCGACAUCAUUUCAAUGUUCAAUAACUCGUGAUUUUGUAAAAAAAAUUAUUUUUUUAUUAAAGGGUGCAAAUUGAACAAUUGACCUCUUUAUCAUUUCUCUCCCUAACUUAUCCACUGUAGCCACCAAAACAUGCUUAAACUCUGAAAAACUUAAUAAUAAAUAUUAAAAGAAGAAUGUUAACAUGUGACCAUGGCACAAGUUAACAUAACCCAUAUUAAAAAUACAAAUUGAAUAACAUUGUUGAAGAAGAUCAAAUCCGGCUUUAAUUAAUAAUCUAUUACUAAUAUAUUAAAAUCGAUUACUACCUAAGUUUCUAAUUUAUCCUUAUUACUUUUAACCACGUUGCAAGUUUUAUAUCCUUCAUUGUAAUUUCAUUAAAAUAAAUAUAUAUAAAAAAAAUAUAGAAAGAUGAUAUGCUUAAAAAUAGGAAAAAAAUAGAUUAUAGAUAGGAACAAAACACAAUAAUCUAUACAUAAAAAUAGGAAAAAAAACAAUAAUUAAUAAUAAUAUCAUAAAGUUAAUUGGUAUCAAACUUACUAAAUUACCCUAAAUAUUCCUAAUAAAAUUUCUAAUUUUUGAUUAAAAAUAUACAUGGGACCAUUAUUUGUCACUAGAACAUAAAAAAUUGAAUAAAUAAAUUUACAAGAAAUAAUCAACGCAAUAAUUCCACUUAUAUUUUAACAAUAUUAUAUAAAAUAAAUUUAAAUAUUUAAUUUAAAAUAAAUUUUCUACAUUAAUAUAGUGACAAACUCAAAUAUCGAAUAAAAAUCAGUGGACCCGUGCGAAUGUACAAGUCUUUAAACUAGUUUAACUUAAUUUGGUUUGUUAAAAAAAAAUUAACUUAGGUCACAUAUAACAAUGUUGUGUCUCAUAGGACUCUAGAUAUAAUUUGCUUAAAAAAAAAUAUUAGUAAUAAUUUUAAUGAAUGCACAUUUUAAAUUUGUUACAUCAUGAGAUACAUCUCUUGCAUUGUAGCAAAUUACUUAAAAUUUAAUUACAAGUGACGAGCAAGAAACAAUGCAUGCUGAUCCCCAUCCAUGUUUUGCUUUCCUUAUCCUUUUUUGUCAAUAUAGAAUAUACGACAUUUUCUAUUCCCACCCUUGAGUUUCUUUUCUACCUUUAAAAUACGCAGAAAAAUUCGGAAAAAGUUUUCCGAAUUUCUUUUUAGUGUAAAUUUUAAAUUUUACUGAAAUUUACAUUGUAAAAAAAUUUUGAAAAACGUUUUCCGAAAUUUUCUACGUGUUUUGGGGUAGAAAAGAAACGUGAGGGUGGGUAUAAAUAAUUUCUAAUAAUACAAGCAACCAAAGCCUAAGCACGCAAGAGAACAACAAUAGAAAUCAUGGUCUCAAGGCGAAUUUGUCCUUUAUGGCCCAAUCACAAUUUACAUACAAACUUGAAUAUACUAAAAUUACUAACUACACCCUCAUUUAAAGUCUAGAUAAAAUACAUUUUUAUUUACUUUAUUAAGACUUGAGAGUACCCACAAUAAUAGAAGGAUGGAUAAAGGCAUGGGGAAUUAAGCUAAACUCCAAACCAUGAUGAUUACAAGUACAAAUGUGGUGAAAGCCUUGGACGGGGGUGAGCCAAAAUAGGCACUGCCCUUUGUAAAGUAAGCCCAUAUGCUUCAUCCAUGUUAAGUUUUUCAGGACUUAGCCCAUUCUCCAACUCCCAAUCAUAUGCAUGUGCCAAUGUUGCAGUGAGAAGUUGAACCAUCCUAAGACCAAGACUCAUUCCAGCACAUAUUCUACGUCCAGCACCAAAUGGUAUAACCUCAAAAUCAUUUCCCCUGAUAUCAACAUCAAACUUCUCACCACCAGGGAGAAACCUUUCGGGCUUAAACUCUAAUGGAUUGGUCCAUUCUUUUGGGUCGCGUGAAAUGGCCCAAACAUUGACCAAUAGAGUGGCGCCUUUGGGAAUAUGGUAGUUGAAGAUUUCACAACUAUUUGUUGCGACACGUGGGAGAGAAAGAGGAGUUGAUGGAUGAAGACGAAAUGUUUCCUUUAUUACAGCCUCUAAGUAAGGAAGAUGUGCCAAAUCUUGUUCAGUUACAAGUCUGUCUCGGCCCACAACAGUGUCCAACUCGUUUUGGAUGCGAAUCAUAAGUUUUGGAUUUUUUAUUAGUUCAGCAAUAGCCCACUCUGUUGUGCUUGAUGAUGUAUCUGUUCCAGCUGUGAACAUGUUCUACAAGUAUAUACAUAAAUUGAUCUUAUUAGUAAAGUUCAUUAAUCUAUUUAUUUUUUCAAACAAACAAAAACAAAGAUUUAAUUGGACUGUAGACAUACCAAGAGUAAUGCUUUGAUCUCAGUAUCAUUAAGUUUAUCACCAUCCUCAUCAACUUUUUCUUUUAGUGAUAACAACGUACUCAACAAGUCAUUAUGCUUCUCACUCUUGGAAACCAUGUGAUCUUCAAUAAUGCUAGUUAAAAAUGAAUCAAACCUUUUAUGUAAUUUCUUCAUUUUGCUUUGUACACCUUGAAUAUCUAACCAUUCCAAAGAAGGAACAAAAUCACCAAUAUUAAAAACUCCAGCUAACACCAUAAGCUCAACUACCAUUGACUUAAACUCAUCAGCCCUAGGAUCACAUUCACAACCACCAUUCCCUUCAUUAAAUACUCGCCGUCCUAUCAUUACUCUAGCUAAUGCAUUUGUGGUACAUACAUUUAACAUUUGUCCUAAGUUUGCUGCUUUGCUACCUGAACUUGAUAAGUUGCGGAUCAAUCUUGCUACCUCAUCCUGCAUCAUAUAUAGUAUGCAUUUUGAUUAAUCAAAAUUUAAAUUUUGUUCAAGUGUUUUUAUCUAAAUAAAUACUAAAUUGUUUGACAAAUAAAUAUGAUGGCUCAUAUAUCUUUCUAAAAUACAGUAUACUAUACUAAUAAUCACCCGCCGGUCAAAGGCAAGAAAAAUUUCAAAAUAAAAGUACCUAAAUUUUUAGUCUCAACUCAACUAACUAUCUACUGUACCACUUACCCAAAAAAAAAACUUUCUAGUGUACUAGUACUUCCUAAAGGAGAAAGGUUCGACAACUCGGAGUUUUCUAUGAAUAAGAUGGGGUAAUAAUUAUGUGAAUGAUAAUUUUAAGAAAAAUGUUAAUUAGUUCCACGGGUCACUAGUUAAAUAAAUCAUAUAUAGUAAAGUCAUUUUGAAAAUUGUGUAAUCAACACUUAUAAAAUAUUAAAAAAAUAUAUAUUUCAAUAUAAUUUUUUUAUUAUUAUCUUAACUAGUGCUCCGAAAAUACUAAUUGACAUGACCCUAUUAGAGUUUAUUCAUUAUUGUAUUAUGUACGAAUAAUUUUGGAAAUGAUUGUUAGUAUACUCUACCAGAGUCCAAAGGUUUACACAAUACUAUUAUUAAGAAAGUAUAAUUUUAAAAUUUUUAAGAAUUGAAUAUAAAACCGGUAAGGUCAGUUAUGUUAUAAAUUUAAUUAAAUCCUUUUUUUAAUGUAUUUCAAACAUAAUUGAUCAUUUUUAUUUUGGAAUGCCAAUUUUAGUGCAUUAUAGUAUGUUAUAUUUAGUGUUAAACUUAUUAUCUUACUUUUUGACAAAACAUAUAUAUAUAUAUAUAUAUAUAUAUAUAUAUAUAUAUAUAUAUAUAUAUAUAUAUAUAUAUAUAUAUAUAAUAUCAAUAUAAUAAAAAACUACAAUUUUAAUUUGGAUUAAAUUAGAUCAAUUUAAAAAAAAUAAAAAUUGAAUCGCAUGUGAUUUUACUUUUAGAUCAUAUAUUAUUUUUGUGUGUCUCAAAACCAAUCUAAAUUAACCACAUCGCGAACAACUUUAGAUCUCUUAACAUAUUCUCACGGUUUAAAUCAUUUACAUAUAAUAUGAGGCUAAUCAUCAAGUCAAAAGCACCAUCAAACUUUUCACACAAUUUGUUAAAAUACCACCCAAAUGAUCCAAUCUAUUUCAGUUCUUUUUGUAUCAAUUCACCUCAGAAUAGUAUAUAUUACAAUUUUUUAUUUUUUUCGGUACAUAUUAAUUUUAAUUUAUGAACUACUAACAUACAUGUUACAAUUAAUAUUUCCUCCGUAUUGAAAUCAUUUUAGUAUAUAUUGUGUGACAAUCUUAAAUUAUAACCCUACAAGUAUACACAGAUAGUUAGAGAGAGAAAUCAAUUAGUCAAUAAUUUUGUUCCAUCUAAGUAGAGGAGAGUGAAAGUGGUAGGGUACCAAGUCUUGAAAAUACGAUAGUUGAUUAAAGACAAAACAUGAACAUAACUUCAUGAAAAUGAAAGGAAACAAAAAAAGGUCCUAACCUGACGUAUGUGUCUAAAAUCAUCCAAAGCCUUAGAAGAGAACAGGUGAACGUAAGAAAUUUUCCUUAACAACCUCCACCGUGGUCCAUAGGGAGCAAAAACAAGAUCUUGAUAAUUAUAAGCUAUAUAUUUUGCGCCCGAGUUAGGUGGCCGGCUAGAGAAAUUAGCAUCAUGAACUUUCAAGAAUUGUUCGGCCACGGAGGCAGAGGCGGCCACGAUAACGUCUACAAAACCUAAUCGAAGAUGCAUGAGAGGGCCGUGUUUGAGAGCUAAGGCGGCUAGGGCGUGGUGUGGGACUGGGCCCAUGUGAGGUAGGUUUCCGACGAUAGGCCAUGGGCUUGGGCCAGGUGGAAGAGGUAAGGAAGGUUUUUUAAUGAGGUUUAGAAGUCGGUUUAUGAGAAUAGCUGCUACAAUUGUAACAAAGACAAUGAUCCACAAAGACAUGUUUGUGUUUGUGUGUGAAGUGUAAGUGUGUAUAGUUUAAGUGCAAUUUGGUCUAAACAAUAGUGAGCAAUGGCAUGUAGAUUCAAAAUAAGAUGAUGCUAUGAUAUGAAACUCACAUGAAGCCUACUUAUGAAUGAGAUGAUGGUGUUGAGUAGCAAUCUCAUUGUUAUAUAGAGGUAGUGUAGUGUGGUGGUAGAUGAUGUGUUAAUUUGGUGUCUUUGUUUUUAGUAGUAUUUUUUCAAUUACAAUUAAAUGUAUAAAGAAUUGAGGUAUAUAAUGUCAAAAAUCAAAAAAUUAAUUGGGAAAGAAUACGUAAUGAAGAUUUUUUUUUUAUUUGUUGUAGAAAAAAUUAUAUAGAUAUUAAUCUAAUGAUUUUUUUCCACCAAAUAGAAUAAUGGCAAAGGAUGUUGAGCUAAAAGUUAAAGAGUUUGAGGUACAUUCAAGUCCUGUCAAAAAGAAAAAAUUAACAUAAUAAUCUACAUUGAUUUCGAGAUUGAUUAGGUAAGCUCACAAAAUCAAUUGGUGAAAAAUUUGUAUGUAAUACAUAGAGAAUGAGAUUUAAAUCAUGUUACAUUCUCUUUUUUUUUUUUACGAAAUCAUGUUACAUUCCCUUAUUUAUCUUAAAAAGGUGAAAUACCAUACUAUUUUAGUGAAAAAAAAAGUGUGAAUAACCAACCUUUUAAGAUUAUUACAAAAUUUAUUAUUAAUAAUCAUUUUACAGUUUUUUCAGAUGAAAUUUUUUGUGAUUAUAAUAUUAAAUAUUCAUAUAAGGAUCAUAUAUAUAUAUUAGUGUGUGUAUGUUUAGGGUUGAACUUUUUGGUCGGACCAAGUUCAAUGUCACAUCCACCGGCCAUUUAUUGGCCUAUUAGCUUAUAUAUACCAUCUUUUACAACCUCACAAGAUAUGUCUCAUUUUAUUUUUUUGGAACGGUAGAUAUGACUCAUUCUAAUUUUAACUUUCACCUCAAAUUUAUACUGACUUGGACAUCAUAACGUUUCUCAUGUUCACUCCAACACUCAAAUUCUGACAUCUCUUCAACCGGUUCAUCGCUUUGAAUUUCUCUAUCCUCUCUUAUAAAUAAUUUUUGUAAAAUAUAUGUAUAUUGUACUACAUGAUAUAAUGUAUACGCACAAGCACAAAUGAAAAGGGGUAGAUGGAGUCCAAUGAAAAGUACAAACCAGAUAAUUCCAUUUCCAGUGUAAAGACAGUAUACUAGUAUAUGAUAUUGUAAUGAUUUAAAUAUUUAUCGGUCUUUCAAACCUGAAACGUGGCCGUAUAGAGUCAAAUGGAAUAUUGGGUGACUUGCUUGCGCUGUGUGCAUGUGUUAAGUGAAUCUAUCCGUCAGUCUGUGGUAAUUUAGUAAACAUGUAGAUGUUGAAGAUUUGGUUGCAUGGAUCACACCAAUUUUACGUGGUCAAUUGGUGGAACUUCGUACUACUAUAGUUCUAUAAAACAAUGUUAAAUAAUGACAACUCAAUCCGGACGAUUUAGUAUAUUAAAGAUGCGUUUGUUUAAGCUUUAAAAAAAAUUAUCUUGAUAAAAUUUAGAAAUUCUUUCUUAGAGAUUUUUUUUAAAAAAAUCUAAAACUAUUUUCGAUUUGUUUACUAUUCUUAUAAUUGAUUCUAACUUAUCCUUACAAAUCCAGCUCGUAAGGUGAAGAUUAUUUCUACUUUAUAAAUUAAAACAUAUUUAACUCACCUUGUAAUUGAUGUGAGACUUAAACACACCAUCUCGCGUCCAACAGUGUCAGACUUGGGACACAUAUAUAAAUGGUGGAUGAUCCGAUCAGAAACUCGAUAGUAGGCGGUCUAGCGGGGAUCGUGAAAGAGCCUCUGAUACAUAUUAGAUUUGAGAGUUGAGCCUAAGUUAACCCUCCAAAAUUGGUUUAUAAAAUUACUUUAUAAACACAUAUUCAAGUCAUCUCACAACCGAUCUUAGAAUUGAGAGUUAAACCUAAUUUAACCCUAAAAAACCACUUACAAGAAUUACCUCCAAUUUAUAAACACUCUCGCAAGACUUCUUUUAACAACUUUCAUAAAAAAAUUAAAGGAACGUCGUUAUUGAUCUUUAUGCAGAGGCGGCUCGCAGGCAUGUGCGAGGUGUGCGAUGGCAUAGGGCCUCAAAAUUUUGAGGGCCUCAACUCAAAAUUUUGAGGUUCUAUAAUAUUACUUAUAUAUUAUUUAUGCCUAUAAAAUAUCAGAUGUAUAUUAAUAAAUUAAUUUUUAGGCCAUAAAAUAAUAGUUAUAUAUUGUUAAUGUUCAUAAAUAUCAUGAGUAUCAAUAUAUUAGUUAUCUAUACUCGUAAAUAUAGUUUCACUCCAUUUUAAUCUUUGCAUAAAAUUUAAUCUUAGAUUAUGAUGUUCCAUUUAAUUUAAUGUAAGAUUUAGUAUUGAUAAUUUAUAUGUUUACAAGAAUGUUUUUUUUUAUAUUAUAUGCAAUUUAAAUCGAUAAUUUUUUAUUUAUUAAGGGGUCACUUUUAUAUUUUGCACAGAGCCUCCUAAAACUCGGAGACGCCCCGGUCUUUAUGAUACGUGUGUUAUUGUACUUGUGUGCACCACUGUGGGUACUCACCCAAGAAUGAAAGAAUGAAAGGAUGCCACGCCUAUAUUCGAGCAAGCAAGCCCCAUUGGGCCACUGCUUUUUGAAUUCUUAUACACCACACCUCAUACCUACCAGUUCACCACACCCAGUCACCCACCACCACACUUCAUAAAUACUAUACUAGGUAUAGGAUGACUAAGAUUUAAGUUACAGUGGUUGGAAUUUUGUUCUUAGAUCGAAUAAGUAGAGUGUUUAAUAUUCGAAAGAGAUAUAGAUAGAGUAAAAUGCCAAAUACUUCCAUGAAAUUUUAAAAUUUGUUAAAUACUAAUUGAAAUUUAGAAAUAGACAAAUACUCUAUUGAAAUUUGAAAAUGUCAAUCAAAUUACCUCAUGCUCCGUUUACUCCUUCUAUUUUGAGCCAUCAAAAGUAUAUUGUUUGAGCCUUCAACCUCCUUGCAACCAGGUGAAUAACAAGGAACCGAAACAGCAAAACUAUCAUCACCAUCAUCCUUAUCAUCAUUAUCACUGCUUUUGAUGAGUCUUCAUCAGUCGCUAUUUUUAGAGUCUUUUUAAUUAAGUUUUUAAUAUCAUUUUAUUAGUUUAAUAUUUAAUUUAGAGUCAUUUUAAAUAAAUUGCAAUUUUUGGUUUAUUGAGUCAAUUANNNNNNNNNNNNNNNNNNNNNNNNNNNNNNNNNNNNNNNNNNNNNNNNNNNNNNNNNNNNNNNNNNNNNNNNNNNNNNNNNNNNNNNNNNNNNNNNNNNNNNNNNNNNNNNNNNNNNNNNNNNNNNNNNNNNNNNNNNNNNNNNNNNNNNNNNNNNNNNNNNNNNNNNNNNNNNNNNNNNNNNNNNNNNNNNNNNNNNNNNNNNNNNNNNNNNNNNNNNNNNNNNNNNNNNNNNNNNNNNNNNNNNNNNNNNNNNNNNNNNNNNNNNNNNNNNNNNNNNNNNNNNNNNNNNNNNNNNNNNNNNNNNNNNNNNNNNNNNNNNNNNNNNNNNNNNNNNNNNNNNNNNNNNNNNNNNNNNNNNNNNNNNNNNNNNNNNNNNNNNNNNNNNNNNNNNNNNNNNNNNNNNNNNNNNNNNNNNNNNNNNNNNNNNNNNNNNNNNNNNNNNNNNNNNNNNNNNNNNNNNNNNNNNNNNNNNNNNNNNNNNNNNNNNNNNNNNNNNNNNNNNNNNNNNNNNNNNNNNNNNNNNNNNNNNNNNNNNNNNNNNNNNNNNNNNNNNNNNNNNNNNNNNNNNNNNNNNNNNNNNNNNNNNNNNNNNNNNNNNNNNNNNNNNNNNNNNNNNNNNNNNNNNNNNNNNNNNNNNNNNNNNNNNNNNNNNNNNNNNNNNNNNNNNNNNNNNNNNNNNNNNNNNNNNNNNNNNNNNNNNNNNNNNNNNNNNNNNNNNNNNNNNNNNNNNNNNNNNNNNNNNNNNNNNNNNNNNNNNNNNNNNNNNNNNNNNNNNNNNNNNNNNNNNNNNNNNNNNNNNNNNNNNNNNNNNNNNNNNNNNNNNNNNNNNNNNNNNNNNNNNNNNNNNNNNNNNNNNNNNNNNNNNNNNNNNNNNNNNNNNNNNNNNNNNNNNNNNNNNNNNNNNNNNNNNNNNNNNNNNNNNNNNNNNNNNNNNNNNNNNNNNNNNNNNNNNNNNNNNNNNNNNNNNNNNNNNNNNNNNNNNNNNNNNNNNNNNNNNNNNNNNNNNNNNNNNNNNNNNNNNNNNNNNNNNNNNNNNNNNNNNNNNNNNNNNNNNNNNNNNNNNNNNNNNNNNNNNNNNNNNNNNNNNNNNNNNNNNNNNNNNNNNNNNNNNNNNNNNNNNNNNNNNNNNNNNNNNNNNNNNNNNNNNNNNNNNNNNNNNNNNNNNNNNNNNNNNNNNNNNNNNNNNNNNNNNNNNNNNNNNNNNNNNNNNNNNNNNNNNNNNNNNNNNNNNNNNNNNNNNNNNNNNNNNNNNNNNNNNNNNNNNNNNNNNNNNNNNNNNNNNNNNNNNNNNNNNNNNNNNNNNNNNNNNNNNNNNNNNNNNNNNNNNNNNNNNNNNNNNNNNNNNNNNNNNNNNNNNNNNNNNNNNNNNNNNNNNNNNNNNNNNNNNNNNNNNNNNNNNNNNNNNNNNNNNNNNNNNNNNNNNNNNNNNNNNNNNNNNNNNNNNNNNNNNNNNNNNNNNNNNNNNNNNNNNNNNNNNNNNNNNNNNNNNNNNNNNNNNNNNNNNNNNNNNNNNNNNNNNNNNNNNNNNNNNNNNNNNNNNNNNNNNNNNNNNNNNNNNNNNNNNNNNNNNNNNNNNNNNNNNNNNNNNNNNNNNNNNNNNNNNNNNNNNNNNNNNNNNNNNNNNNNNNNNNNNNNNNNNNNNNNNNNNNNNNNNNNNNNNNNNNNNNNNNNNNNNNNNNNNNNNNNNNNNNNNNNNNNNNNNNNNNNNNNNNNNNNNNNNNNNNNNNNNNNNNNNNNNNNNNNNNNNNNNNNNNNNNNNNNNNNNNNNNNNNNNNNNNNNNNNNNNNNNNNNNNNNNNNNNNNNNNNNNNNNNNNNNNNNNNNNNNNNNNNNNNNNNNNNNNNNNNNNNNNNNNNNNNNNNNNNNNNNNNNNNNNNNNNNNNNNNNNNNNNNNNNNNNNNNNNNNNNNNNNNNNNNNNNNNNNNNNNNNNNNNNNNNNNNNNNNNNNNNNNNNNNNNNNNNNNNNNNNNNNNNNNNNNNNNNNNNNNNNNNNNNNNNNNNNNNNNNNNNNNNNNNNNNNNNNNNNNNNNNNNNNNNNNNNNNNNNNNNNNNNNNNNNNNNNNNNNNNNNNNNNNNNNNNNNNNNNNNNNNNNNNNNNNNNNNNNNNNNNNNNNNNNNNNNNNNNNNNNNNNNNNNNNNNNNNNNNNNNNNNNNNNNNNNNNNNNNNNNNNNNNNNNNNNNNNNNNNNNNNNNNNNNNNNNNNNNNNNNNNNNNNNNNNNNNNNNNNNNNNNNNNNNNNNNNNNNNNNNNNNNNNNNNNNNNNNNNNNNNNNNNNNNNNNNNNNNNNNNNNNNNNNNNNNNNNNNNNNNNNNNNNNNNNNNNNNNNNNNNNNNNNNNNNNNNNNNNNNNAUCAAACUUUGACCAAGCUUGACCAAAUCAAAAAGCAAAGUGGGCUUUAUGCCAUGAUGGACCCAAUCCUAGAAGAAGAAGAAGCACAUCACGUACAAAAAGGGGUAUCACGCACAGCAACAAAAAAAAAGAAGAGGGGAUUAAGAAUCACGCACACCCUGGAGCAACAUCACGCAUCACUGGAGAACGGAAUUGGAGAACGGCAAUAGCACAACAAGCAGGAGCAUCAUAUGUUAUNNNNNNNNNNNNNNNNNNNNNNNNNNNNNNNNNGCUUAUUGUCACAAUUAUGUCCAGCUAAAUUUCCAUGAUUGGUCCUUAGGGGAUUCUAAUUGUUAUUUUUCUUGAACAAUGUGAUUAUCAUAUGAUAUGAUCAAUGAAUUACGAAAUUAGUUUCUUCAAUUAUUCCUUGUGCUUAAUGCUUUGCAUGACUUGAUCAAUUGUGUAAUGAUUUCAAUUAUUUGUUUUACUAUGACGAUAGGAAUGAAUGAUCGAUCUAGGAAUGAUUGAUCAAUUAACUUUCACUUAAGACAUUUUGGAUUGUUAAUUUAGAUUAAAAGAUUAAAGGUUGUAAACCUCAAUUGAUCAUAGAUUACCUAAGACAUUAGGAAUCGAUGAUCAAGGGAGAGGAUUGUGUUACCAAGACAUUGGGCAUAAUCAUUUGAGAUUUAAUCUAAUCAUGAAACUAAAUUGAGUAAAUUUGUAAUCAUACGUGAAAUUACCAAGAGAAGUAGUAAUUAGAUGAACCAAAAGGAUCAAUCGCUUUUCUUUCAUUCAAUUUGAAUCCCAAGUUAUUUAUAAGUUUAUGAUAAAAAUUCAAACCAAGNNNNNNNNNNNNNNNNNNNNNNNNNNNNNNNNNNNNAAUCCUAAAUUAAUUUAAUUGUUUUGUCGAGAUUGAAACAAUCCCUGCGGAUACGAACUUUAUAAAUUUUAUUACUUGACGACUAUUUAGUACACUUGCUAAAUUUCUAUCAGCUUUCAAAAUCAGAAUCAUGAGGUUCUAACCACCCAAUAGACCAAUCCGAGUCAUCAGAUUUAGAACCACGAAACACCAAUCACUAACAUCAUACUCUUUAUCAAUUAUUGUCUCAUCCAUCUUUUCCUCUCUCUUUCUCAUCAAAAUAGACAGAGUAAACACAACAGGGGGAAUUUGAUUGACGUUUCCAAAUUUCAUGGGGUAUUUGCCUAUUUCCAAAUUUAAUGGGGGUAUUUGACGAAUUUAAAAUUUUAGUGGUAUUUGGCAUUUCACUCAAAGAAAUAAUAAGUUAUAGAUGACUAGCGGGCCAGGCAGGCGCCUGCAUGUGUCUAAAUUAUAUAAAAAAAAUACAUUAUGUUAUGGUAAGUUUGUUAAUAAAAGAUUUUUUAUGCUAAAAAAAAAAAUGUGACUUGCUACUAAAAAACAAGGGUAUUGUUGGUAUUAUGAAAAGUUAACACCAAAACUCAUGUAUCGAGAAUACAUGAGUUUUGGUGUGAACUUUUCAUAAUACCAACAAUACCCUUAUUUUUUUAGUGGCAACAAAAAUCUUUUAUUAACAAACUCACCAUAAUAUAAGCCACAUUUUUUUAGUAGCAAAAAUCUUUUAUUAACAAACUCAACAUAACAUAAGUCAUAUUUUUUUUUUUUUACAUAAGACACAAGCAGACGCGUCCGCAUCUGCAGAUAUUUUGGUUUUGGUUUCAUAAAACAGAUUUGGAUACAAACCAUAGAAGAUAUUUUAGUUUUUAAAAACAAUCAAAGUACUUAAAAAAAACUAAUAUAACAUUUGUAAUACUAACAACUAACAUUGCUUAUAAAAAAAAGUGUUUAAGCAAAAAUAAAAAUCUAAAAGGAAGAUUAGAAACGGAAGAAGUAAUACUUAAAAGAUAUUUUGUUUUAGAAUUUAGCUUGUGACAUACUUAAAUGAAAAAUAAUUCUAAAACAUAUUCAUCGCAUAGCUGUCAUUGAAAAAUAAUUCAUCACAAAGUUCUAAUAAAUUGAAAAGGGUCUUCAAAUUAUUCGUUCUAACAAAAAUAAAAAAAUUCUAAGUGCAUUUCGAAUAAUUCAUUAAAUCUAUUAUUUACUUUCUCUUUUCGAAUAAUUCAUCACAAAGUUCUAAUAAAUCGAAAAAAUUUAAUAUAUACUCUUCCCCCCAUUAAUAUCAGAGUGCAUUUUUAAAAUCAUAUACCGAAUAUGUUUGGUAUGACACCAAUAUGCAUACAAAGUUUCAAAUGCUUAACCAUAUACCGUACAGUAUAAAAAAAUGAUACAGAGCCAAAACUAAAUAAAUAAACAAAACAACCAUAAACUUGAGUAAUGAAUAAUUGACAGUCUAAAAGGGAUGAUAUUAAGUGCCUUGUUGAUGUCCAUGAGAACCUUGGAUUUCAGAACAAGUAUCUCAUCAAGCCUUGCUGCAUGCAUAGUCUAGACAAUUGUAGACCAAAUGGCAACUGUAUUUUCAUUAAAUUUCUGCAGUAAAGUGAAAAUUACAGCAGCAACUGUAUAAGUUUUGCGCGCUACAGCUUCAAUGCGACUCCACAAUCCGCUCAUAUGCCAAAUUGUAACAGAAAAAGGAUAUGCAGACUGUCUUCAUAAUUGUCUACACAAUUAGAAGGACAAUGUAUAGAGUCUUGCAUACAAAUAUGCCAAAUAAGGUUCUUAACCUUGGAAGGGACUUCGAGACACCAAAAUCCGGGGAUUCUAAUGCGAGGUGUCAAUUAAUUUCUCCACACAAAGCCGGUAUGCACUCUUCACUGAAUAUUGCCCAUUUUUCUCUGCUUUCUAAAAUACUGUCUUCGGUAACUCGUGGUAUAAAUGGCGUGUUGAUUAUCACUUCAGCCGUAUUAGCAUCAAAGCAGUUUCUAAUUCCUCUGAGAUUCCACACUCUUGAAUUAGGCUCCUAUAAGGGCAGCCACUAUAUCAUUAUGCAUGUGCAGAUUUAUGGUUGGGAUCAUUUUAAUAUCAUUUGAAAUCUAGUGAUAACCCUACAUCGGAAUAUUUGUACGUACCCAGACCAAUACACCGCGGCAGCCUGCUCGUACUAAAAACUUUGCAUUUGAGGUAGGUACUCCUCCACACAUGGUUUGGAUUAUGACCAAUAGAUGAUGCAAGGAAGUUACUACAGGGACAAUAUCUAGUUUUGAAUAAACGAGAAACAUGACUUUCUGAAUUUACUUGAAGCUUCCACCCUUGUGAUAUCGAAGUAAACAAUUGUGCAAAGGCUUUGUGGAAAUGGACUGAUCAUCCAUUUCCACAAAGCCUUUGCAGUCCAUUUCCACAAAGCCUUUGCACAAUUGUUGACUUCGAUAUCACAAGCACAAUAGAAUUACAUGAUAACGAAACCUCGUCAACAAACCAGACAAAAGGCUAGCUCUGAACCCAGUUUCAACAUAUAUUAGCUUUGAGUUUGAGCAAACAAAAGGCUAAAAGUCACAUGCGGUGAGUUUUUUAUUGACAAAAGUGACAUCUUCCGGUUGGAUUUGCAUGUUUUCUUUCUUUUUUUCUUUUAUGAAAGAGUAAAACUGGUCAAUCUAAUGGAGAGAGAAAUCACAAAUUAAAUAACAGAAUUAUUUAUUGAUGACAAAAAAAGAUGAUAUUACAACUUACAAGGACUUGACUUUCAUCCUUCAGCAACACCAAAUAAAAUAGACAAGAUCAGAAGUUCAAGAACACAAACUUAAACUAUAUCCACACAAAAAACAUCAUUAUUACAGUUACACUAAAUUCACUCUUCCAUUUCAUCAUCAUCAACUUCCUCGAUUCUCAUUUUCUUGACAGCCUGGACAGCAUCACUUUUUGGUCCAUUUGGUAUUUGAAUCAAGAUAUCUGACUUUAUUCCAGUUUCAGCAUUAACAAUCCCUCCAUUCUUUUCUACACGGUAUGACAAGUCACUCCCCUUAGGACCAGCAUCAAUGAAAACUGUUGUAUUCUCAUCAAUUUCUUCCCUUAUAAGCAUCCUAGACAACUCAGUUACCACCUUCCUCUCUAGCCACCUUCUAAUUGGUCUAGCACCAUACACCUACAAAUAAAACAACAAAAACUAGUUAGUAACCUUUUUUCUGGAGAAUUCUACAAAAAAUUAUUAAGAUGAUAUAAUUUAAUAACACUUACUGGAUCAUAGCUCUCAGCAAGAAUAUAAUCUAGUGCAGCAUCUGUCACUGCCAAUGCAAUUCCUUUUUCAGCAAGACGGCUCGCUACAUCCUUCAUUUGCAACCUUGCAACCUUCCUCAAUUGUUCAUGUGAAAGAGGGUCGAAUACAACAACUUCGUCCAACCGGUUCAAUAAUUCUGGCCUGAAAUGUCUUCUUACUUCCUGCAUUACUCGAUCACGAGCAGCUUGCAUGGUACAUUUUCCUGAUAGUCCACUUAGGAGAUGCUCAGCACCAAGGUUUGAGGUCAUAAUAAUCACAGUGUUUCUAAAAUCCACAGUUCUGCCUUGUCCAUCAGUUAGCCUUCCAUCAUCUAAGACUUGAAGAAGAGUGUUGAAUACAGAUGUAUGUGCUUUCUCCACUUCAUCAAAUAGCACCACACUGUAUGGCCUUCUCCUUACAGCUUCAGUUAAUUGACCACCUUCUUCAUGUCCAACAUAACUGAAAAUCCAAUGCAAGAAAUGAGAAAUGAAAUGCAUAUUUCCAACAUACCAAGUUUGUACUUUUUAAUCACUAGUUACUAGUUUCAGAUUUUAAUCUAAAUAAAUAAAAUUGAGGUACUGAUCCAACAACUUACCCUGGUGGUGCACCAAUCAAUCUUGAUACAGAAUGUUGUUCCAUGUAUUCCGACAUGUCGAUUCUCACCAACUGAUUUUCAUCAUCAAAAAGUUGUUCUGCAAGAGCCUUUGCAAGUUCAGUUUUACCAACACCAGUUGGACCAAGGAAUAGGAAGGAACCAGUUGGUUGUUGAGGUCUUCCUAAACCAGCUCUUGAUCUCAAUACAGCCUCAGCAACAGCAUUAACUGCUUGGUCUUGUCCAACAACUCUAGUAUGCAAUCUGUCACCAAGUCCAACCAACCUUUCUUUUUCAUUUUGGCCUAGCCGAGUCACCGGAAUACCAGUCCAUCGGCUAACAACCUCAGCUAUUUGGUCUGGUCCAACUGUUUCUGUCAACAUUAAGUUCUCAUCGGUGUUCCCAUCAGUGCUACCUUCAAGGUUUUUAAUAGCAGUUUCCACCUCUUCAAUUGCACCAUAUCUUAGGUCUGCAGCUCUGGCUAGAUCAUACCGCCUCUCAGCCUCUUGUAGUGCAAACAGGAGCUCUUCACGUUUCUGCUUCAGCCUCCGAAUCUCAUCAAUCCUCUCUUUCUCUUUACUAUACUUCAUCUUCAGAGGUUGAAGCUUGUCUCUCAAGUCAUCAAGCUCUUUCCGCACCUGCAAAUAGCAUCAACAAUUAGAACCAUUGAACUACUACAAAUACACACAAGAAAAUAAAAAUUGUCCUGAACUAUGAAGAAUACACAAUCCAAACCAUUGUCUCACAAUUUCAGCAGCACACAAUAGAGUACCAAUGAAGUUAUAUUAAACUAAUGUAAUUCGGGUUAUUUGAAUGACAAUCAAAAUUGAUGCUACCAUGACAAAUUUAAUUUCAGAAGUCUUUCCUUAAAAGAAAAACUCAACAUCCAUACUUACAUCUACAAGACGAGCUUUGCUAGCUUUGUCCUUCUCUUUCUCUAAAGCAUGAAGCUCCACUUCUAGUUGCAUUCUCUUCCUUUCAAGAUUGUCAAUUUCUUCAGGCUGACUAUCAAGUUGAACUCUCACAUUUGCACAUGCUUCAUCAACUAAAUCAAUUGCCUUAUCAGGAAGAUGACGCCCUAACAAACACAAACAUACACCAUGUUAGCAUAACCAAAACCAAAAUCAUCCACAUUCAUUACAUAAAUAAUCAACAUCAAGAGGGCAUAAGAAACAUACCAGUUAUGUAACGACUAGACAAUUGAGCUGCAACAACAAUAGCGCGAUCUUGAAUCCUAACACCAUGAUGACCCUCAUAUCUCUCUUUUAAUCCACGAAGGAUACUUAUAGUAUCAGGGACACUAGGUUCAGCCACAUAAACCUGUUGAAACCUCCUUUCAAAUGCAGCAUCCUUUUCAACAUACUUUCUAUAUUCCUCGAGUGUUGUAGCACCAAUACAUCUAAGUUGUCCACGAGCAAGCAUAGGUUUGAAAAGAUUAGCAGCAUCCAUUGAUCCUUCAGUUCUACCAGCACCAAGAACAAGAUGAAUUUCAUCAAUGAAAAGAAUAACUUUCCCUUCAGCUUCUUCAACUUCUUUCAAAACAGCCUUCAACCUUUCUUCAAAUUCUCCCCUAUACUUAGCACCAGCCACCAAUGCACCCAUAUCCAAAGCAAUCAACCUAACAUCAGCAAGAUUACUAGGAACAUCACCUCUAACAAUCCUCUGAGCCAACCCUUCAACAACAGCAGUUUUACCAACACCUGGUUCACCAAUAAGAACAGGAUUGUUCUUAGUCCUUCUUGACAAAAUCCUAACAACUCUUCUUAUCUCUUCAUCGCGGCCAAUAACAGGAUCAAGCUUCCCCGCUUGUUCAACCAAAUCUCUACCAUAAGUUUUCAAAGCUUGAAAAUUAGCAUCACCAGAAGCACUUUCAACUUUUUUCCCAUCUUUACCACGAAGCUUUUCAACUUCUGAUUUAACUCUAGAAGCAGAAACACCAGCUUCUUUAAACAAAUCACCAAUUUGAGAAUCCUCAAGAAUUCCCAAUAUCAAUUGAUCAAUAGCUAAAUGAGUAUCACCACGUGAUUUCUGAGCAGCUUGUGCUCUUCUAAUCACUUUAAUAAGAGAAGUGCUUCCAGGUACUUCAUCUGAUGGAGGUGAUUGUGUUGGUAAUUUCUUCAAUGCUUGUUUCAAAACUCUUUCAACAGCACGAGCCGAUUCUUCACCACCACCAACAUUUGAAAUUGCUUGGUAGAAUAUACCAUUGGGUUCAGAAAUUAGAACAGAUGCAAGGUGUAAUGGAGUGAAUUGAGCAUGUCCUGAUGUUGAUGCUAGUUCAUGUGCACCAGCAAGUACUUCGUUUGUCUUGUGAGUAAACUUUUCAGGAUUCAUUUACCUACAUUACAACAAAAAAAUGCAAAAACUUAAUACUAGUAUUUUUCUUUUUUUAACAGCAAAAUAAAUUAUUAUUAAUAAUGGGCUGUUUGUUUGGAUUUUUUUUAAAAAAAAUCUAUUUUUCCAAAAAAAAAAUUAUUUUUUUAUCUUAUUUAUGUUUGUUUCAGAUUUUUUCAAAAAUAAUUUUAGUAAAAAAAUCAUUUUUUUCUCAAAAUGAGAAUCUAUUUUCAAUAGUUUUUAUCAAAAUCCAUUGUUUUAUCGCUCAUCAUCCCUCACCAUCUUAAAAAAAUAAAUUUUUAUGAUUGGAAACAAAUGAAAAAUAGCUUUAGAUUUUCUAUCAAGAAAAUCUAUUUUCUUGAAAAUGAUUUUUUUGCCCAAUAUCGAUUUCCGGAUAUAAAACAAAGUGCAAGAUAUAACCGGAACACCAUUGAAUAAAACCAAAAGAGACAUAACCAGAACUUAAUACUAGUAUUAAACUAUGAAAUUAAACACAGAAUCGUAAAUUUUGUCGAUAAGAAAAAUCAAUACGAUGAUAAAUUUCAAAAUCCUGGAACUCUAAUUUUUAAUAAUUAUUGUGUUUAUUACUCUGUUUUUCUUCAUGAUUCAUGAUAAAGUCAUUGUGUCAAAAUGUACUUAGACAAACAGAGUAUGCAAUGGAAAGAGAAGGAAAAAUCAUGAAAAGAGUUUCACAUACCUUUGAUUAUACAGAAGAUGAAGGUUUUUGAGUUGUUUGUGAGAGAAACGGAAAUUCGCGAAAGCAAGUGAGUGAACGAUGAUACGAGAAUGUGAAAAUGGAAUUGGUUUUGUUUGUGAUUUGAGUUAGCGCUGUGUAAUAAGAAUGAAAAUUCUCUGAAUCGGUGAAGAGCAGUGAGGAAGAAGGAGUAUUUGUUAACGAAGAAGAUGCGUCUGGAUGUUUCUGGGGAAGAGAAGAAGUUACUAGACAUUUCUCUUCUAUUCUCGUCUUUUCUUUCUAUUACCGUUUUUUUUUUUUUAUUAAAACCGUUUUUUUUUAUUUUUCUAUUAAAACCAUUUUUCUCUUCCGAUCUCCGUAUUUCUUUUAUAUUUUGAAUUCCUAAUUUUAUUAUUGAAAAAACUUCGAUUUGUCUUGAAAAUAAAUUUUGGUUUUUAAAAAUCAAAAUUUACUCUGAAUUUGUACUAAAAAAAAUUCGGUUUCUGCGAAUCGAAUUUUUCUACAAGGACAAAAUUAAAAUAUUGGGGAUAUAAAAGAAUCACGGGAACGGGAGAGAAAACAUUUCUUUUUAUAUGUUAAGAGCGAAGAAUAAUUUUAGGCCCAAUCUAUUUAUAAGAAAAAAAACUGUUUUUUGGCCCUAGAAUACAAGACAAAUUAAAAAAAUUCAAAUUUUUUAGUGGCUAAAAUUUUAGUGGAGAAUAAAUGGAAAGUACGAAAUUUGAACUCGACUUUUGUAUAUAACGAUGUCUCUGACAAUUGAACUAUGCUUACGAGGUAAGAUAAAUCUAUUUUUUUUUGUGAAAGAUAAAUAUGAUUUUAUUCUAUGUUUAAUAUAUUAGAUAUUUCACUUUUAGUCUUUUGUGUAAAUUUAAUCAUCUAAAAUCGUUGAAUUGACAUAAUUAAAAUUUGUGUGACCACUGCGUUGAUGAUCGGUGUUGCCACCACCAUUGUUGAACUUUCUCUUCUUCUUUUUUUUCACUCAAAUUCUCCACUAGUGUAUAUAUGUGAUUUAUCUUAUUUACUUAUUUUUAAAUUCUCUCUCAUAAUAAAUAAAAGUAUAAGUGAAAUUGAAAAUUUGAAACAUUUAAAAAUUGGUAAAAGUUUUUUAUAAAAAAAAAAUCAUAUUUUUUUCCCAUAAUGUACUUUAUAAAAAAGACUAAAAGGAGUAGUAAAGUCACAUAGGAAUUUGUGUAGUCAAUAUAAUCACAUGGGAAAUUCAAAAUGUUAAUUAGUGCUCUUUUUUUUUUUGUGAGUGUGUGUUAACCCAUCCGAUUAAUAUUAACUUAUGACAUAGUUUUAAGUACACAUUUUCUAAAUGAUAAAACCCAACACUUUUAGUCAAAAAAAAUCCCACAUUUAUUGACUUGAUUGUCAAAAUAUUUAUGGAUACAUCGUUUUCUACAUGAAAUUAGUAACAUACUCAUGUUGUCGCACGGGUCGCGCGUUAUGAUUCGUCGGGAUUGUUUUUAGUUUUAGUGUUUGAAAUUUUAAUGGCAAUUUAAUGUUUUGUAAAAAAAUGAAGCAUUUUGUUAGAUAAAUAAAUAUAAGAUAAGAUAAGAUGUAGUUAAUUCAGAGAGACAAAAAUUGUAGUUGAUGCUAUUUCUUCUUGUUACGUAGGAUACUCUAAAUUUAGCAAGUUAAUUUCUAAUAUUAAGUUCAUGUUAAUGUUUUAUACCAAUUUUGAGGUGAAAUUGAUUAAGCGGCAAGCUUAUGUGGUUGCUGACAUCCUAGUUAGGGCGGCCUAUUCUCAGUCUAGUCGUUGUCUCUUUGAUUUGAUUCCUCUUUGUAUUGAGAAUAUUUUGAUUAAUGAAAUAAUUUGAGUUUGCUAUUUUUUUUUAUAAAAAAAGAUGUAGUUAAAAUGAUAAGCAUAGUUAAUAAGAAAACAUUACAUUAAAAAAAAAUACAUGAUAUUAUAUUUGUCAAAUCAUUAUAGUAUGACAAAUUUAUGGGAUAAAUAUUACAUAUUGAAAUAAGUAAAGCAUAAGAUACUUAAGUGGCUUAUUAAAAAGGAGUAGGCUUGAAAACAUGACAUCUCAUAUGUGGGUCUUUAACAAAAAAAUUUGAAACGAAUUUUAUCUCCUUCAAAAAAGUUGUUGUAUAUGCAAAAAUCCAUCCAAGUUUCUCCUUCAUAUUGUCCAAGUUUUGUUGUGACAUGAUUUUUAGUUGUCAACACAGUGAACAAUUGUUUUUUUUGUUAUGAUCAUCUCCACAUAGCAACAAAUGAUUGUAUUCAUUAUCCUUUAGAUAAUCUCCAAAAGCAGAUGAGAGAGUCUGUUAAAAAAAUAAAAAAUUACAUUAUGAUACUAUUUAUAGAUGAAAAAAAUGACAGAAUAAAAAAACGAAAAUAUUUAAAUUUUAAAAAUCAAGUAUAUUAACCAAAUUUGGAGUGUUAGUUCUAGCAGUGUUGAGGACAACGUCAAAUGUUUUUGUUAGCACGGGAAGAAGAGUUCGACUAUGAAAUGGUUUUAUUGUUCUUGCUGACAUUGCCUAUUUCAAUCAAAUCUUUGCCAUAGUAGGAUAAUUCUAUCUCAACAUUUGCAGGUAGUUCAAGAGAUUGAGCUAGCUUGGUCCAACCAAGUGAUAUAAGUGGAUUUUUGUAGCUGUUAUUGGACUGAACAAUAUCAAAAGAUUCUUGGUUAUUGUAGAUAAACCAUUUUUUCUUCAGCUGGUUAAAAUAUUUUGUUACAAAAGAUCGAUCAUUCUCAGCAUAACCCUAAAAAAAUAAUUUAGUUAAAUUAAAGUAAAAUAGUUUAUGGAAAUAUAUUUAUUUAUAUAUAAAGAGAAAUUGAAAACAUUAGGAAGGAUAUUAUAAAGUAUGUUUGAAUUCUAUAAAAUUAAUUUUUUGUUAUUAAGAUUUAUAAUUUGAACGUGGUUAAUUAAUUUGAUUAAAAAAAUAUAAGGUCGCUCGAGAAAUAUGGAGGUGGAAAAAGAAAUUCAUAUCUUCAUUCAUGGGCUUUAUAUAGCUAAGACAUCCUAAACUUAAAAAAAACAAAAAAAGGGAUCCACAUUUAUUUCGCGAGGGAAGAAGAACGUCCCAGCCUCGGAUCCGAAGCAAAUAGCUUCGUCCAUCCAAACCUCACCUUCGGUCCGAACCUCGGUGUUGUUCCUCUGUUCGUUGAAAAUUUUGCACUAUUUCGAUCACUUUAUCUGUGUGAGCUAAGAAACUCGUUUUUCCUUCUUCCACCGCUUCGAACCCUAACGCUUUGAUCUUCAACACUUUCGCAGGAUCAAUUUUCAGCUUCAAUGGAACUUUCUCAAUGUCACUGUGAGUUCACAAACUCCAUUUCUAUCUCUAAAAACCCUAGUCUUCUUUCUCUCUCUAACAAAUGAAAAACCAAAUCUGCUUCCAUAUUGGGCACGAUUUCUGGAACUCGUGUUGUCGUUUUGUGUUCGUUAGUCAAUUUGAAUCAUAAUUGUGAGCUUCAAUUGUUCAAUGUUUCCGAUCUUUUUUGUUUUGGCGAUGAUUUUGAGAUUUUUGAGUGAUUUUCGGUUAUGAGAUGAGUUUAGCUGACGAGAAAAUAGGGGAAUUAGGGGAAAAGAAAUACUAAUUGAGUUUUGUGUUUCUUGCUUUCUCUCAUUUGUUUAGGAAGUGAAAAAUUUUCAGGUUAGGUAAAUUGUGCACUUUUUGUUGUUAGAUUUUCAAUUUUGGUUAUGUUUUAUAGUUUCGUAGCUUAUGGUAUUUGCUUCAAUGUGUUUCUUUGUUGUUUUGGUUUCUCCUGCAUUGGGGUGGAGAGUGUGAAAUCUUUAAUUUGAGCUUAGUUUUAUGUUGGUCUACCUUGUAGUCUAUGGAAAAUGAAGGAGAUUAGGAGAAGGGUUUCUUCUACUGGGAAAUGGGUCUACCUUGUAUUAGGUUAGAUAAUGAAGAUGGGUUAGUUCAAAUUAUGUCCCUACGGAUGCAAUGAGUCUGGAGCUGGAUGGUAUGGUAAAAGAUUGGAGGUUGCUAUAAACUUGUUGCAUUUUUCAAAUGUCUCGAGGAUGAUAAACGGAGAUAGUUAAAACAAAGGGGGUGUAAGGACGGCAUAACACAGAUAUGUGAAUGGCUUUACUAGAAUAACAGACACUUGUAAAUAGAAAAUAGGGACCUGCAUAUAGGGAAUGUGAAAUAAAAGCUUCACAGUUGGGUUCUUCUUGCCAUUUAUGCAUGACUCUGGUUGUGCUAACACAUAAAUGUGUAGGAUAUAUGAUGGUCUAAGUUCUGGAUUUCUGUUUUGUGUGUUUUUUCCUUCGUUCUUAAGAUCGUAGAUGCAGUUGAUUUGAUACUUCUUGGAACCUCUAUAUAUUCUCCAUUUUGAUACCUUAUGUCCACCUGUGCUUCAGUAACCCAUAAACUUUGAAGGGGGAACCAAGGCCUAUUAUAUUUAUUUGUUUGUUUAUGAGUUAAUAAUUAUGAAACUUGGUUGUUGAUGUCAAACUUCUUUUUAUAAGUUGAUACUUAUCGAGAAGAGCCAUUUCUAUUUGAACCUUCAGUAGUUUUUCAGUACCGAACUAGGGGUGGAAGGAUAGUUACAAGUCUAAUAUAGGCAAGCAAGAAAAUCUUGGAUGCGUGAAUGUAUAAAAAAUGUCUGAAAAAAAUUACAGCUUAUGCGUAGAGCGUGCAACAUUAUCAGUGAUUCAACAUUGUGAUUGUGACACUUGAGUUACUCCUGAGUAUAAAACUGAGAACUUCAUUUCUUUGUUUAAGAAGGAACACGAACACCUAGAACCUUAAUGUUGGAUGUAUAACCCAAUGAACGUCCAGCUUCAUCUUAGACUCUAGAAAGACAUUUGAGGCAUUUCACUCGAGUGUGUUUUAUCAAUGAAGUACUAAUGCCCCAAAAUUUAUUUUCACGUCUAGCUUCAUCUUACACUCUACAAAGACAUUUGAUGCAUUUCACUCGAGUGUGUUUUAUCAAUGAAGUACUAAUGCCCCAAAAUUUACUUUCAUUGCAUUAUAAAUAUUUUCAAAUUUGGUCUGCAAGAAAAUAAACCUUAAGAGGUGCUUUUAGCUAGGCAGCACCGUGGUUAUCUUAAAAUCUUCCGCUUGCUUUCUGAAAAAGUUAUUUUGUAUUGGAGCUGUUUGCAUUUCAAUGUUGUGCACUUAUUGUACAUGGUGCAUUUGAUCAAUGGUUCGUAUGGUAUCUUGCAUUGCAUGAGAUGUCAAUUAUUGUUAUCCUAUCCCAUGUUUCGCCAACUAUUUAGUUAGCAAUUUAACAUACACCAAAUGGAUUUUUACUACCAGGCUAAUUUUUUUCUUGAACAAUUUCCAGGAGUAUAUAUGAUAGUUUCUCAGAGCGGUGUUAUUGGAUAUAACAUUUGGAGAUACUUUUUCUUGAACUUCCUUGAUUCAUUACUAUAAAUAGUUUUCUACUGAAAAAUUGUGAGCUGGGUCAUCUAUGCCUGGAAACGAGGUAGGAGACAGGGUCCAUAACUUUUUUGGUCAAGAAAACUUGUCCCAAGGCCAGUAUCACUCACAGGCAGUUGACGGGAACUGGCCUGGGCUAAGCAACAAUUUGUGGGCUGGCAGCCAGAGACCUGCUGGUGGACCAUAUAUUUCUAAUUUGAAGAAUUUUAAUCUACAACAAUCAGGUAGAAGUUUAUGCAUAUGUGUAUGUCUUUAUAUAUAUUUGAUUGAUAUAUCUAUUGUUUUUUUACUAAUCAUACUUCCUUUUACAUGUCUAAAGAUUCUGAUCAGGGGCACACAGGCGCUCUACAUUUGCGACAUGGUUUGAACCUGGCACAAUCAAAUCUGAGGCCUGACAUUGGCAGAAAUCAAACCCCAAACCAACAAGCAGCUGUUAAUGGCUAUAUGCAGGGACAUCAGGUUUUUCAGACUAGGCAAAAUGAAGCAAACAUUUUGGGAGUGGAUACAGGAGCUGAUUUGCAUGGCAUAUCAAAUCUAUCAAGAGGAAUAACAGUGCUAGAGUCACAGCAAGGGUCUGGUCUUGACCAGUAUAAUAAAAAUUUGACUAGGACUGAUGCUACAGAGUCUCCUGUCAAUUUUGAUUUUUUUGGAGGUCAACAGCAAAUAAGCAGUCGGCAAUCAGGCAUGCUUCAGUCUUUUCCUAGACAGCAGCAGGGGUUAAAUGACAUGCAGCUUUUACAACAACAAGCAAUGCUCAACCAGAUGCAAGAACUUCAAAGGCAGCAACAAUUUCAUCAACUAGAAGCAAGGCAACAGGGUUCCAUGACUCCAGCUUCCUCCAUUUCAAAACAGGCAGCUGCAAACCAUUCUGCAUCUCUUAUCAAUGGCAUUCCCAUCAAUGAGGCAUCCAACCUUAUGUGGCAGCCUGAAGUUAUGGCAGCUAAUGCAAAUUGGCUCCAGCGCGCUGCACCUCCAGUUAUGCAAGGAUCUCCUAAUGGUUUUGUGUUAUCUCAAGAACAACUGCGCUUGAUGGGUUUGCUUCCUAAUCAGGGAGAUCAAUCUCUUUACGGGCUUCCAAUUUCUGGUUCAAGAGGUGCACCUAGCCUGUACUCUCAUGUUCAAGCAGACAAGUCAGCAAUGUCUCAGGUUUCUAUUCAAAACCAGUAUUCUCACGUUCAAGGUGACAAACAAUCGUUACCAUCCAUAUCAGCCGGCGGUAAUGCAUUUCCAGUUCAUCAGUAUGCUGCAAUGUCAGAUCAAACCAACUCAAAUGAUGGAACUUCUGUUUCUAGGCAAGAUAUUCAAGGAAAAAGCAUGUUUGGUUCAGUUGCUCAAGGCAUCAAUAGUGGACUAAAUAUGGAGAACUUGCAGCAAAUGAAUUCUGAGCAAAGAGAUGUACCAAUGGAAGAUUUUCAUGCAAGGCAGGAACUGGUGGGAUCUUCUGAGAAUUCACAGGACAAGAUGAUAGUGCAGGUUCCUCCACAUAAUGUGGCUACCCUAGAUCCAACAGAAGAAAAGAUAUUGUUUGGUUCUGAUGACAACCCUUGGGAUGGAUUUGGCAAGAAUUCUGGUUUCAAUAUGCUGGAUGAUUCAGAUGGUUUUAGCGGAUUUCCAUCUCUUCAAAGUGGGAGUUGGAGUGCACUUAUGCAGUCUGCCGUAGCUGAAACUUCUAGUAGUGAAAUGGGUAUGCAAGAAGAAUGGAGUGGUUUAAGUUCCCGGAAUACUGAACGUUCAUUGCCAAACGAGGGACCUUCACCAAAUGAUAGCAGCAAACAACAAUUAGUUUGGGCUGAUAAUAACUUGCAGUCAGCCCCCAAUAUAAAUCCGAGGCCUUUGAUUCGUCAAGAUGAUCUUAGCAGACCCAAUUCCACCGUAAACUAUUCUGGUCUUCCUGGAUUUCAUCAGCCAGGUGCUGAUACUGCACAGGAACCGCAUAACCGAUUACAUUCAGAUUCUUCUCAAAGAUCAAUUCCCCAGAUUUUAGAAAGAGGUAAAUGGCUAGAUUGCAGCCCUCAGCAAAAACCAGUGGCAGAAGGAAGUCAUAAUUAUGGAAAUGCUGCUAAUUCCCCAGGUUUAGAAAUAAAUGAAAAGGUUAUUUCAGGUUCUUGGAACCAUCAACAAACGUUGUCAUCCCCUAACAGAAGCAGUGAGCCAUUCAAUAGAUCUAAUGGAUGGAAUUAUAUGAAAUCAGCCCCACCUGAUAACAAUACUACUCCUAGAACUCGUGAGAAUAUAAAUGUGUUUCAGCCUCAUCGAGAUAUGGGCCAGGUUCCUACUUCAUGGGAGCCUGAUUCUGAUUCAUCUGUUGCGUCAGAACAUGAAAAGUCUGCAGGUAAUAUGCAACUUUGUGGGGAAGAUUCUGGUAUGAAUGGUAUGCUUGCCUUACAAAAUUCUGGUGCUACAUGGGUCAGCCGACCAAACAACCAUCAACAUUCUAAUGCUGACACAGGGAGACAUGCAGAUUCUGUGGGGAGCUAUGGAAGAAAUGAAGGUGCAGGGAAGUAUAGGCAUCAUAUGGAGAAGAAUCCUUUAGUUUUGGAGUCAUUAAAGAAUGAGACGUCAGAAGGAGAAACAUAUGAUAUGGAAAACUCAAAUAAAAAGGAUAAAUCUGCUGAUGGUAUUGAGUCUAAUCCUUCCUAUCAUAGAGCUAGUGGUGUGAGAGAAAAUCCCAGUUUUGAUGGGAGUGAUUUGCACAGCCCAAAGUUACCUGGUCAGGGAAAUCGAAGACCCCCCGUAGGACGUAAAUUUCAGUAUCACCCAAUGGGGGAUAUUGGUGUUGAGACAGAAUCUUAUGGAAACAAACAUGUAGUAAAUUCACAGCCUACGCCGCAUCAACCCUUUGGAGGACUUAAAGGUCGAGACCAGAGCUACCCAUAUGGUCAUUCUGAUGGGAAUUAUACUGAAACAGAGAAGGUAAACCCUUAUUAUGCACAAACCACUAUAGUAAAUUCUUUAAAGUUUUCUUUACCUUUCCAGUUGCAUAGAAUCAGAAUAUAUUCCUUAAUAUUUGACAGAUGAGGGAACUUGCUUUUCAGGGUGACAAUAAAAGUUUUAAUGAGAAUGUUUCAAAAAGUGAACUGUCCAGUCACGCACCGAAUACUUUGAUGCCAUUUGAUAGAAAUGUUGGUAAUUAUGCCUCGAACAAGACUGCUUCACCCAGGUAGUUGACUUGGAAAUUUCUUUUUGCUUUUUUUUUUUUCUUUUCGUUUAUAAAUAAAUAUACUAUUUCAUAAUGUGAUAGUCCCUUCUAAAUUAUUGUGUCUUUGAUUAUUAUUUUAAAUGGAAAAUAACUGUCACUGUGCUCGUUUUACGUUUUCAUUUGCUAACUUAUAUUCUAAAUGGUGCUGCAACUUAGUUUACUUGUCUCUUUCUUUCCUUUGCCCACUAAUUUUUUCUUCAUAAUGUGCAUGGCGACCUUAGCUCAACUGUUUGCUUUGGUUUGUUAAAACUAUUGUAGUCAAAAUAUUCUUGAGCUUCUUCAUAAAGUGGAUCAGUCAAGGGAGCAUGGCAUUGCAACAAAUACAAGCACUUCUAACUGCCAUUUAUCUUCCAGGGUUAUGGAUACCGAAGCUUCUAAUGGGUCUUUUGUACAUCCUCAACGAAAUCAAAGUUCUUCGUCUCAGGGCUUUGGUUUACAAUUGGCUCCUCCAACCCAAAGACUUCCUAUGGCGUCUUCUCAUGCUACACCACAUGCUGCAUCCGAGAUGGUAGAUAAGGGUCAUACUUGGUUGGCUGAUACUCAGGCUUUUCCUUCUCGAGAGUCAUCUCAUGAAAUUAGAAAUAAUAUUGCUGGUUCCUCAGGGCCAGUUUUUGAUAAAGCCUCGCAGUAUAGUGCACUGGGAAAUACUCAACAGGCUCUCACAUCUGGCUUUCCUUUCUCCAGGAUCCAUGCACAAAAUCAGAAUAUGGCUAGUCCUGGUGGACAAGUAGCAAAUACUCAAUGUGAUAGUGCAACUCGUAUUGAUCGAAUGGCUUCCACAAAUCAGAUAGAUGAAUAUUGUGAAAGAACCCAAACUAGUCAAUCUGCAGUGUCAUCUGCUCAGGACCUUCCCAAGCUGAGUGGUAUAAAUCAAAUCCACCCUGGAGAUCCUACCAUGCAAAUUUCAGCAUUGGAGGCUGACACAACUCCUCAUCCUUCUGUAACAUUUAAUGCAUCUCUACAUGACCCCCCGUCAAAAGUUUUACACAAUGUAUGGACAAGUGUUUCUGGCAUGCAACAGCCCAAUACUUUGAAGGCUCCAUCCCAUCCCCAACCAGUUAAUAUCUGUGAAACUGAAACAGGGCAACAGAAACCACAUAUUGAAGAUUCAGAGAAUGAUGCUAAUGCCCUCUCUAGGAAACAGAUGUUGCCUGAAGUUGUUGAUGGCGCUGAUGAGACUGCAAGUGCUUCACGUGUGAAAGAACAUAUUGUGAAAAGUACACCUGAUGCAUCUCAAUCUAGCCAAGCUGCGACAUCUAGAGAUAUUGAGGAUUUUGGUCGGUCUUUAAGACCAAGCACUUUUUCACAUCAUAAUUUCUCUAUGCUAAAUCAAGUUCAGUCUAUAAAAAAUAUGGAGAUUAAUCCUAUUGAUCAAGAUGUCAACACAUUCAAAGUUUCAGAUGAUGUAGGGGACAAACAGUUUGAUUCUAACCAUGGACAACGGUCAUACGGAUACAAUAACACAGUUGAAGAUGUUACGGGUGAUAAUUCUUCAGCGCCAGGUGAUGGACAAGAAACUAAUGCAUCUUCUGAGGAAGUGGUUGGAUAUGGUCAGAAAAGUGCUCUUAAUGUUGCUAAUAAUAGUAAUAAAAUAACUUCUCUUAGAAGUGAUCAUUCUUUAAUAAAUCCUCAAAUGGCUCCAUCAUGGUUUGAGCAAUAUGGAACUUUUAAAAAUGGCAAGAUGUUGCCAAUGUAUGAUGUGCAUGCAAUGACUCCAAAAAUUAUGGACCAGCCUUUCAUUGUGAAGAACCAAGCUGCUAGUUUGCUUCUUGGUAAUUCAAUGGAGCAAGUCAAUAGUCUCCAUGAUGCUGGUCAGCAUGGUCAUGCCGGGCUAAGUCCAAUGCCUACCUCAGUUGCAUCUGUCAAUGGUUCUUCUCAGUUAUUGUCUCCUCCUGCUAUUGAGCCGGAUUUGCAUAUUGUGAGACCAAAGAAGCGUAAAAGUGCUACUUCAGAACUCAUGGCAUGGCAUGAAGAAUUGAAACAGGGUUCUCAAAGGCUUCGAGAUAUCAGGUUCUUGACAAAAUUAUGUGAUUUAGGCUAUAAUUUGUUUAUUUUUAUGCGAAAAUAGCUUUUCAGUAAAAAAAGCUAAUCUAAAGAUAUUUAAUCCACUUGCAAUUUCCUGUUGCUAUUAUUGAUCACUUGAUGUGGAAAAAGAUCCCUUCUCUUUUACAAGCUUAUAUGAUGUCUUUUCAAUCGCCUUGAAAGUAUCUAUUCCUUAGUGUUUUCGCUAUGUGAAUAUAUUGCAAUCUUGUUUUAUGUUCAUUACUUUGUUAUCUUUUUUAUUCUAAGAAGAUUGAGCUUCCUUAUUAUUUGGCAGGGCGGCCGAAUUAGACUGGGCCCAAGCUGCAAAUAGAUUGAUUGAGAAGGUUUGUUCAUAAUCAUCAAUCCAUGGAAAUGAAGCUCUAAAUUCAUUUGUUACAGGCAUUCACAUUACUCGAUGUAUAAUUUUAGGUUGAGGACGAUGCUGAGCUGGUCGAAGUUUUGCCAACAAUGAAGUCAAAACGAAGACUUGUCUUGACAACACAGCUUAUGCAACAACUACUUAACCCUCCUCCAGCUGCAGUUCUCUCUGAAGAUGUCAAGUUGCACUAUGACAGUGUGGUUUAUUCUGUUGCUAGAUUAGUGUUAGGGGAUGGUUGCAGUUCAGCCUCAUUGCGUGGAAGUGACACGCCAGCGCCACCAGCUAGCAAACCCCCGUAAGAUUUGCUUUUCCCUUUUGAAGUGAGCAUAUGAGGGUUUUGAAUGGAUCAUAGGGCCAUAUCAUGUGAGCCCUAUAUUGUUGUGAUUGUGGGAUGUGAGAAGAGUUGAUCUCGAUCAUGAAAUUUCACAUGAAUGGUGUAGCAAGUUUUUCAGAAGUCACAUGGUCACGUUAAAAGUUACACGGCCUUAUAUUUUAAACUUGACUAUACAUACAUGUUUAAUGCUUAUGAAUCUUAUGAUGAUUCAUCACACUCGCCAUAAUCCAUUUUUCUUAUUUGAUAGGAUCCAUAUAUUUGUUCUUUCAUUCACUUAUAUAUAAUAUUGAAUAUAUUGAUUGAUAUUUGUUAUUGAUGUAUAAUGCAGCCUGCCGAAUAAGCUCAAAUCAUCUGAUAAAAUUGACCGGUACAUUUUGAAAGUGAAAGACUAUUCUGAUAGGGCAAGGAAGCUGGAAAAUGAUAUGUUGAGGUACUAUUAUUGCAGUGUUCAGUUGGAUUCUUUCAAUCUGUUAUUUAAUUUUUCUAAUGGCCCUAGUAGCAAGCAAACUAUGAAACACAGACACUCCUCAAAUUAUGUGUCUUAGUGUCAUACAUGUGUCGGUGUCCGACACUUGUAGGAGGAUAACUCAGAGAAGUGUCAUAAAAACAACUUUUUUUUUUCUUUGCCUUGACACGAUGCCUUUAAAAACUAAGGAUAUUAUUUUUAUUAAAAAAAAUUAUCUUUUGUGCUGUCAAAAAAAUGAAGUAUCUUUUGUUUUUAUUUCCAAUCUUUAAUGAUGGAGUGUGAUGGAGUGCGAACAUAGUUGGAAUGUCAUCAGGGGCAGAUGUUGGUUGAGGCGGGCAGGUGCCAUGUGGUACCCCUCAAAUAUCAUAUAUACACUACAUUAGGCAUAAAAUACAUACAAUUUGUAUUUGUAGAUAUCAUAUUUAUAUUAUAUUAGGCGUAAAUACACAAUCUGUAUUUGUCGUGGUGGAGAGGAGAUACUUUUAAGAACAACAUAUCAUGAGUUCAAGUCCUUCUAGCCACCUUCUUUUUUUUUUUUUGAAAAAAAAGCUCUAGCCAAGACCCGAACCCUCACCUUGUGGUUAAUAUUCUAGAAAAAUUAACCAUUGCAAUACCUAAUAAUUUACGACAAUCACUUUAAACAGUAUGUAUGUGUGUGUCUAUAUAUAUAUAUAUAUAUAUAUAUAUAUAUAUAUAUAUAUAUAUAUAUAUAUAUAUAUAUAUAUAUAGCUUUUGGCAUCCCCAAUAAAAUCAUUCAAAAUCAUCCACCGGAUGUCAUCGACCCAUAAUGAUGUCUUGGCACUUCCAAUUUUGCUUACAUUUUGUUUUUUUGGUCGAUUUUUAUGUGUUAAAUUAUAACAUUUUAGAUUAUAUUUGUUAAAACAAACAGGUAGGUUCUUUCUUGGAAAGAGAAACUGUGUUUGAUUAGCAAUUAGAUAUAUUUAAUUUUUUUCGUGCAAAAUGGAAACUCCAAAAAUACAAUCCCUAAGGAUCGAACUCAUGAACUUCUCAUCCGUGGAAAGAUACUUUGCCGCUUGGACACCAUAAAUUGUUUGAAAUAAGUACAAGGAAAUAAUAUAAAACAUACAAUUUUUUUGGAGGCCUAAAUUAUUUAUUUUUUGGUAGAAGGAGUCCUAAAUUAUACUAGGCCCAUUUACCAAAGGAAAUUAGAGGCCUAAAGCCCUUACUUUACUUGCUUUGGGUUUGGGCCCCCUGAUACACACCAUAGACUCGUCUAUGGUAAUAAUGGACACUACUAAAUAAAUUUUUUAAAAAUAUUUUAGAAGUAAUAUAAUAAUAUUUUAAUUUGGUAUUUGAAAAAUUCUUACAUGUCUUUACAUUCAAACUUCGUCUUCUACUGUAUUCAAGGAUGAUGAUUAAUGAGAUGGAUGGAUGAAGGUGAAUUACUAGCAUAUCCUAUUUUUUGACUUAUAUAGUAGAGGGGCCCAUCUAGUGAGAAAGGGGUUUCUUAUGUGAGGAUCAAUUAUUAGCCCUUUGAUUAAAAUAAAUGGUCAGGAUUAAAUCAUCACUUGAUAUACUCAUUGCUUUACUCUACCGUAACAUCAUUUUCAUCUUGCACGCUUUCUUCCCCAGCAGCGUCUUUUCAUCUUAAAAAAUGAGCAUACCAAUUUUCUUUUCUCUUGUCUCCAUGUUUCCCAAUCAGAUUAUUUUAGAAACCAACCAGAAUUAUGAUAGUUUCUUUUUCUUCCCACUCUGUUGACAAAAUUUGUUUUAUAUUGGAAACAAACACCAAUUUUUUCUAAUCCCAUUGCCUUGUAUUAUUGCUUGAAAGAGUUACAUUUGAGAUGGUAAAAGAAAUUACUUUCCUUUUUUUUAAUUGUCAAUCGACUUGUUUAUGAGAGUAGUGAGUGAAUUGUUCAGAUUCAGUACAGGAAAUAAAUCAUAUACCACUUAACUUAGCAAACAUGAAAGAUGGGAUUCUAAAUAUCAGAAUUUGGGGGAACAAUGUUAAUAGUUUCUAUGAGAUAAGAAUCAGAGAUGGAUCUAUGGCGGAAGGAAGGCGAUCCCAAAGGGCAGAAAGUGAAACGGUGAAACGAACCUAGCAGUGCAACAUUGCAAAUAAAAAAUAGGGUAGAAGUGUAUCACGCGAGUCAUUUAAUAAGAGGAUUUAAUCUUAACCAUUUAUUUUAAUCAAAGGGCUAAUAAUUGAUCCCCUAUUUUUAAGCAAAAAUAUGUUUUUGAAAUUAGCAGUGUUGACGUGUCUUUGUUGUGUUUGGUGUCAGAUUUUACAAUAUCUGUUGACUUUUCCUGUUCCUUUAUUGGUAAUAAAAUCUCAAUGAACAACUGAUUCAGCAAGUUGAAGUUGAAUUAUGGAGCUGUUUUCUUUGCCCGGUUCUCUUUAUUUUGCUCUGAAAAUAGGCUCAAUUGCUCAUGGGAUAGAUACAGACUUUCGUUCUCUGAAAAUUGGCUGUGUCACAUGGCUGCGACAUAAGGGUCAGGCUCUGUCCACUGGUCACAAAAAUAAAAUUCGCCGGUACCGACGAGAGUAAAUAUCCCUGAUGACCACCAUAUUACUAUGAACUACUGGAAAGGAAAACUGAAGACUCUGCUUUAGGUGAGGGGAGAAAUUUCAUCCCCUGUACCAAAGUUGGGUGGCAUUUUCGGACAGUGGUGCUGGCAGGUGGCGAGGAUUCAAGGACAAAGAGAAAUUACAUCUUUUGACACUGCUGGAGAGAAAAAAGAAAUGUUGGAAUGUAAUUUAAUGAGCAUCAUUGGACUGACCGUGAUUUUAUUUCCCCAUGGGUCACUAGAGCAUUGGAAUUAUGGUUGUUCAGCGCAUGCUCUAGAUCGUGAGAUCUUACGACCUCACACAUUUUUCUCCUUUAACAUUAAAUUUAAUCAUAUAAUUUAAUAGUAUAUUAUUUUCCUUAAUUAUAAUAUAAUUUUGUUUCUUUGGUGGGAUCUCACUUUCGUGUUACGAUCCCACAAUUUACGAGUUUUCUAUAUCCAAACGAUCUUAGGUUAGAUCGCGAGUUUGACAACCAUGAUUGGGAUUGUCUGUGAGAUUUAUGAAACAAAAUAGGCACCGAGUUACUUUAACAACCAAUAUAUGAAGAAACUUGUUGAUAUGAUUGGACACCUUGCCUGUUAUAUUAUUGGAUGCUUAUGUUGUGGAGCUGGAUGGUUUGCAUGUUAUAUUAAGAAUGGCUUGGUUUAAACUUUGCAUGGAAAAUCAAUAAUUUUCCCUGGAUCAGGAGUGGGUGAAAUAUCUUAGCUUGGAGAAUCUUAAUGCCAAACUAUACGUACACACUCAUGCAUAAAAAUAUCACAUACAAGGAAAAGAACCACCAAAUCACAAUAUAAAACUAAAAUCAUAGGUGCAUAAGUCAUAACACGUAAGUUUAUAUCACAAUGACAUAAGUUCAUGAAUCACUGUCAAUAUAGCUGUAGCAAUUCUAGAUAAGAACUAGCCAUUAGCAAAAAUGUUUUCCUCUUUAUUUUGGUUCCCCACUGCCACUGCCACUACCAUUUUAUUUUUAGGUUACUAUUUCACCAGGUCACUUUUGUUUGUCAUUAUAUGCGCUAUGGAUUUUGUUACCCUCCUUAAUUGUACCAUUUUUCAUCUUGAUGAUGCAGAUGGGAAAGCAGAGCCUCAAUUUUGGACUUGAGACUUGAGUGUCAAGAUUUAGAAAAGUUUUCAGUCAUCAAUCGAUUUGCUAAAUUCCAUGGACGUGGGCAGAAUGAUGGGGCAGAGACGUCAUCAUCCGCUGGAGCAACCGCAAAUGCUCAGAAAUCAUUUCUUCAGAAAUAUGUUAUUCCAGUUCCAAUGCCUAGAAAUCUCCCAGACAGGGUACAAUGUCUUUCACUUUGAUAAUUAAUUAAUUCAUUUGUCCAUCUUUCUUGGUCGGUUGUCUCUGCAAUCUCCUGUUUUUGGUCCUUUUCUUUCAACUUAUAUUAUUGGACUUCAUCGCCAUAGAACCAUACAACUGGCAAUGUAGGAGAAAAAUGGUACUAGAUUGCCUCCUCAACCAAUGGAGGCUGUUAGAUCUUUCCAAUCUAUAUUUGUAUUUAUGUAUGUAUAUCUAGAUCUUUGCAAUCUAGUUAUCUUCUACUUUUGGUUUUCAGGUUCCAAGCCUUUUGUAUAUAGUAAGAUAAUAUAUGCAGUCUACUUAGUUUAACCAUACCAUUUUGCUCGGUUGUCUGAUUAGUUACCAUAAGCUGGUCAUUAUUUUUCUAUGGAUAGAACAUAAGUUGUUUAGUGUUAACUCAAUCAUUUCUAUUCUCUCAAUUUCAAAUCAUUUUACUUUAUCUGUAUAUAGUAUGAUAGUAUAUGUAGUCUACCUAGUUUGAACCGCAUACCAUUUGGCUAGGUUGUCUGAUCAAUUAGCAUGAGCUGCUCAGUGUUACUUUAUCAUUUCAAUUUUCUCAACUGAAAGCUUUUUUCCUAUAUUGGAAUAUGUAGUAAGGUAAUAUACGCCGUGUACUUGGUUUGAAUCAUACUAUCUGGCUCAGUUUUAUCUGAUUAAUUAGGUUAAGCUCUGUUUCACUCAAUCAUAUAAUAAUUUGCACAAUAAACCACUUUCCAUGUGUGGUUUUUCCUGCUCCUGGUCUUUUUCUAGGCUGUUCUUUGUUGAGGAUGUAAUUGUAUAAACAUUUAUCAGUAAGUGUAUAUAGGCUCUAGGAAACAUACUUGGUUUACUUUUCCCAUUCUAACAUUGCUUAUUAUAAAUCGCCGGUCACACUAUUGUUGGUGCUCAGUUACUGGGAUACAUUGAUUGAUAUAAAACAUUUGGUGGUGUUAACACUUGGUAGUUUCAGUUUGGAAAGUUGUUAUUGUGGCUAUGAGAGUUGUAGUCGGGAAAUUUAAUACAAGCUGGUGCAGAUUGAUAAUUGCCUCAUUUCCAGUAUAAGCUAUAAUUUUAUUGUGAUUUACACCAGAUUUUCAUUAAAUCAUCAACUUAAUUGCCUCACGAAUGUUUAAAUGUGUACUAGAAUAUGUCUGAAGUCUCUAUAAUGUGAUGAGUAAACUAUUGAGAUUUUAUGUUAUAUUUUAUUUUAUGGGUGUGGUGUUUAUUUAGAACAUAAUCUUCAACAAAUUGGACAAAUUGAAAUGUUGGUGUUGGGAUGAUAAAACAAAUUGACCAUCUUAAUUUUUUUUCUUUAUUAGUGGCUUACAUACAGCAGUACUAGUCAUUACGUCAAUCCACUACUGCCUGAAAUAAGUUUCGUCGUUUGUAUGCAUUUAACUAUUGUACUUUUGCACCUUUAUUUAUUUUAAUGUUUUGGUCAAAAUACUUUUGCACUUCGUAAGAUACUAAAAGGGGAAACCAUUAAACAUCGUGAGAAUUUUGUUAGUCAGAAGCAUUGAUAAAUAAAUUUAAUAUCUGCUGCCAUCCACAGUUUAGACAUCAUUCGAGUACGACAAUAAAACCUGGUUGCUUGUCAUCAACGUCACACAAGCCAAGCAUUAAUAGGAUUAGAUAGCAACUUGAGUCAGAAUAACACAAAAACUCCUUAAUACUCAGUCCCCAAGACAAAACUAAACCAUGUAGACUGCCAUUAAUGUUGCAUGAGGAAUGUUUGAAAAUCCAAUAUUACCUGCAAAACCUUGGACCCAUGCACCAUCAGAAAUCCGAAUCAAGCCUCUGAAACCCGGAGAUUACAGGGUUGCCGAUGCUACUCUCAUCAACAUUCAGUAUCAUACCAUUACCUCCGAAUCAAGCCUCCAAAACCUGGAGAUUCUAGGGUUGCUGAUGCUACUCCCAUCAACAUUCAGUAUCAUACUAUUACCUCCCUGAGCAUUCCAAUGAAUCAUUCCAGUAGUUGGACUCUCAAUGCUUGAGAAAGCACUUUUUAAUAAUAAUAGUUCUCAUACCAUUGGGUUUUAAAAUAAGAAUAAUGUUAAGAAACCACUUUUUAAUAUACACACACUUUUCAAUUCUUUACCCUUAUGAUACGAUCAUACGAGGGCGCCCUAGCCAGAUUCCAUCAAGCUUUUCAUUUUUGUAAAAAAAAUAAAUUCUCUUUGAUUAUUAAAAUUCAUAUAGGACUAAUCAAAUUUUUAUGAGACCCAUUUGGUGGGAUCCUAAGAAUUUUAACCAAUUAAUUUUCUUUUUUUUUGGUGAUAAAAAAUGUUAUUAUAUAGUGUGUUAUGUGUUGUUGCCGCAUCUUGACGAGUAGUCAAAGAAAAUACAAUCUAAUAAAUAAAAAUAAAUAAAUAAAAAAAAUAAAAACCAUUUAUCAAAAAAAGAAAAAAAAAUACAAAAAUCAAGCAUUUUCAAUUAAAAUUGGCCAAUAGUGGAAAUAGUCAAUCAGACCAAAAUAGUCUAAAUCUACUUGAAAAAUAGAAAAGAUGAUAUAUUGACACAAUUUUGACAGUGAAAUUUGACAACAAAUUAUGGUUAACACAAUACAAAUAAGUGAUUAACAGUGUUAUUAAUGUUUGUGGUAGCUCAAUAGCCAUAUACUCACAACACAAUUAACAAUUUUGAACGUCAUUAGUCACAAUUUUUAAGUGUACCAUUGAAUUACAGUAAAAAAAGUGUACCAUUGAAUACAAAUUCUAACAAUUAUGUAAUUUUAAACAUAAUUUGAAUGCUUAAAAUGUAUGUGUAUUUUUUUUUGUUAUUUUAUUAUUUUUGUUUUUGGUUAAAAAUGUGCGUGUAUAUUUGAACACUUGAAAAUCAUAGUCAAUGAUGUUGAAAAUUGUGGUUAAUUUGGAUGGUUUAUAAUUUGCAACCCCUUGUAUUCAAUAACCAUCAAGUGAAUUACAUUAGUCACAUUUGAUUGUGUUAAACAUCUAACUUGUUUUGUUGUCGAAAUAAUACACAAAAUAAAAAUUAUAAUUUUUCCUCAAGGUCAUAGCAGGAAAACAAUACAGCAUAAAAAAGUAGUUUUGCACCACCCUCACAUUUACAAUAUAGUUGAGCAUAUUAUGUAUCCAUGUCGACACCCAUCGUGCUAAGUUUACCUUGAAACAAAAUUGAUCAACACAAGAAAAACCCAGUCCUCCAUCUCAAUUUGUUAAUUUGUUACAAGUUAUCACAUUAAACUAUCUAUCUCCAUGACUUUGUAAUCCUUUUACUGCAAGUUUGCAACAGCAAGCGAUGAAUGUCUCUCGCCAUCCAUUUUUCAUAUGAUUAGGUUUGACAAUGUCUGAAAAAGAGCUUUCGAAGGUGUAACCACUCAAUCCGACUACAAUAACAUGCUCACCACACUGUACUGACAAUGACAAAAGCUUUAACCUAUGCUAACAUGCAUUUCCUCCCCAACAAUUUCAAAUAUUUCAUUCACCCUGGGAACAAGAGAGGGAAGGAACAUGUGAGAAACAGGAUGGCAUUUUAGUCGGUAUAUAUUAAAAGCAAUAUCAUUGCAAUUUUACCUGAAGGUGUUUAUGUUCACCUCUGCCAGCCACGAUGUUAAAUGAACCUAAAAUAAAAAAUGUAUUUACUAUUAGAUAAUCUUAUAACAGAAAGGAAACAUUAUGUGCAUUUCCUUGGGCGGUUUAUGUGUUUUUCUUCGCUUAAAAUAUCCAUAUCUACUCAUGAUUUCCUCAAAUUUAUAAUUUUCGUUAUAACCGCAAAAAUUGCAUUUUAUGUAAAGAACACAAAAAGCACAAAGAAAACGCAACUACAGUUUUGUCACAAAAAAACAUGCAAUGUCCGAUUGGCCCAAGUAAUUUGCUGAAGGGUUUGAAAGUAGGGAGUUAAUGUCAAUCUCCAAAGUAACCCAUUUUCAAACGUUCUUGACAUAAAACUGCUUUUACCAGAGAAAAUGAGAUAAUUUCCCAUUUUUACACUAAAAAAUGUUGUCCAUGCAAUUUGCAGAAGGCCAAGAAGCUUCUUCCACACUUAAAAUGGUGACGCAAUUAAGCUAUGACUUGGGAAAUGAGAAGUAAAUUUAGUUUUCUACAUAAGUGUAUAGCUUUGGAGCACCAACUCGAUAGCUACAUAUCUAUCUUACAAUUUUAAACCUCCAUAUAGAUACUUUACCAUGAAUGCAGGCGAUAUACAUAGCAUAGUGUGAAAUACAAAACCUGGAAAACUUCCGGAUUGGGUUGGCUGUUGAAUCUUAAAGCACCCAUGUCAGAUUUUCCGUCCUUCAAUCUUGGUGGAACUGGUCCACCAGUCACCUUACAGAACAGAUUGCAGUCGCUCAAAUCUUUGAAUUCAUCAGCAUAAAGCUGAGUUGACCAAUGCAACUGGUUUGCUUGUGAAGCAUCAUAACCAAUUGAAAUAAAUUCAAGAACAAGUAGGCGCUGCCCAUUUGAAAUAUGUUCCCCAAUAAUAAUUAAAAAAAGAAGUCAGGAAUCAAUGUAAAAUGAAAAAGAAGAACAAAUGCAAAAAGAAAUUAGUCUUUAAUGCAUCGUCAGUGUAAAACUUUUUACAUUGCUUAGCAAACACAAAUCAUCACUUGUAUGACUUUUAAGAUAAAUAUGAAUGAACUUGAAGUCAAAUAUAUUUAAUGAUCUAAUGAUUAUGAUUGAUUGACAGUGUAAAAAAUCUUUUCACUUUUGGUGCAUAUCAAUUUUAAUCCUCGUAAAAAUUGCAAUUCACCUUCAAACACAGUUCCAAUUUGAACAUCUGAACCAGCUCCUCCACCAAUUUCUCUGAGAUUUCCAAACUUGUAAAUUUACAGUAACUUAUGUGAAAAUAAUAUAUGCUAGGGAAUGCUUGUUAAAUUGUGAGUGUUAUCAUACCAUGCGAAGAGAUUGAGAAGAAUGCAAAUACCGGAAUUCCACCACCAUCUCCAGAGUCACUUGGGUCUUUGGAGUAAUGGGAAAAUUGUAACAGUGGACUAUUGUUUGAUCCUCUGAAAAAACACUUCAUUGAUCUGCUAACAUUGAUCAUUUUACUUACAACGGCCACCUAAAGUCACAUUGAAAAUACACGAAUAUACCAAAUCCAGAAAUACUUAUUAAAUUGCAAACUUCCAUUUUUCAUUAAACAGUGUUAACAGGAUCCUCAGCUUCUGUGUAUCAUUAUAUGUCUGUUUUUCCGUCUUACACUCUUACUUGAACGAAAAUGUGGAAAUCAUUGGAAAUAUAAUUAUAUGGCAUCUGUAACAGUUUUAUUUUUCUCAAAAAUGAGCAGUUUAAGUAAUCAUACAUGCCAAAUUUUGUAUGUUUAUUACAUUUCUUUGCAUGUACAAAUAUAUUUAGUUGAAAUAAAACAAGGAUAUAGGCUACAUCAUACCAUGUCCUUAUAAGAUAACAACAAUUGGCUCCUUUGACGUUCCUGGAACAAGUGAAAUAAACACAUCACUGGAUAUGAAAAUGAUGCAAUGUAUUUUAAGGUUAUACUUUUUCGGCAAAAGAAUAUAUUUUAUUAGAGAGAAUAUAAGAAAUACUUCUAGAGGGAAGAUUACAGUUUGUACAGUUAAAGAAAAUGCUAUCGAUCUUGUUUCCUGUUUUCACUUAUACUUUUACAAAGAAGCUAAUUUAUUUUCACAUACAAAGCUGUCCAAAAAUGCGAGAACAGUUUACUUUUUUGGUUUUCACUAUUUUAGAUCAAAUAUAUGAAAAACGGGAAACAAAGUAAAAAUAACGUGAAAGCGAAAAACACACGUUGACAGGGUGGCAGGGAAGUAGCAGUCCGGGAAUGGAUUCUCUCAAGUGUGAUUUACACUUGAGAGAAUAAAGUGUAAUCUAACACCAUCUAAAUUCAUUUUCUCUAAAUUUUUAUAUGUUUCUCUCUCUUAAUCAAUGGUAACAAACCACACUUUAUUCUCUCAAGUGUAAAUUACACUUGAGAGAAUCCAUUCCCGUAGCAGUCCAUUACAAAAUCUUUCUUGGAAGUUUUUCAAUACACUAGGAAUUAAACCCUUAACCUCUCUAGCCAUACCCUGACUCACCCAGCCACUCAACUCAAGCCAAGCUCAGUUUCAUAAAUUUUUUCCACCUAACAAAGUGUAUCAUGAAAUGCAAUUCGAUACCAGUACCACUGACAUGGUGGAAAAGAAGUAGCACUCCAAAGCAAAGUGUUCCUUUCAUUUCUUUUCCAGUGUACUACGAAUUAAACCUAUGACAUCUAGCUAGACCCCAAAUCAUGCAGCCAACCUCGGUUGCAUACAGCUACUUUUCCCCCUUCCAAAGUGUAUCAUGAAAUGCACUUUGAAGUCAUGCAGAGAUUAUCAUUCAGAAUAACUUAAAAGCUAAAUGCAAACAAUUCACUUAAAUCAAUCCCUAAUUCUUAUAAGAGUAUUGUUGAGUAUGAUUUGCAAAACUACAAGUACAAAGAGAAACAAUACAUAAAUCAACAAUACCUGCUGCUUGAACAGUUUCAAACAAGCUCUCUUUCUUAUAUCAGGCAUAUCAUCCAAAACACCUAACUUCCUAUUAGGCAUAUACCUACAUCAAUUACCAAAGCUUAACCACAAGCACCUUAUACACUCAAUUAUGAAUUAAGCUUAAACGAAAUGCAAAAUCAUCUCCAUAACAAAACAUCUAAGGCCUGUUUGGAUUGACUUAUUUGGACUGACAUAGUUUUGCAAGAUUGUUUGGGUAAAACUUAUGACAAUUUUUAUAAAGUUUUUUUCAGCUUAUUUUCAUACUAAUUUCUCCAAUAUAACUUAUGAAAACAGCUCGUAACAUAUAUAAAAACAAUUUAUCUUUUGCUAUAAAAAUAGCUUAAGUAAGCUUGUACACGAGUGCUUAUUGUGUUAUAAGCUUCAAAUAAGCUGUUUAUCCAAACAAACCCUAAAUCGAUAAUCUAGAACAGGAAUGUGAACUUCAUUUGAUUCUUCUUAGCUUAGAAUAUGAAAUCAGCGCUAAAAAACAAAAUAAGGAUGGAACAUAACGUAUUAAUAUAUAUAUACCUUUGAGAAAGGUGAGAGUUAAUAAGAGCAUUAGCGUAGGAUCUUGCGGUGGAAGAAAUAGAGAACCAUUGAUCCUUGAGCGAUGCCAAUUGUGACCACUGGUUUCUCAGAUUCCGUUGCGCAGCUUGCCUCCAUAGUCUGAGCAUGGAAGAGGGAAGUGGAGAAGAGAUUUGAGGUUUGGAAUCGGUGGUUGUUGAAGGAGACGAUGGUUCUGCGUCUAGGGUUUCCAUUGUUGAGUUCACCAUCGUUCAGCGAUUGAGGAACAGAAUUUUGCAGUUACAGGGUGCGGCGGGAGUAAGCUAAACUCCAAAACGACGUCGUUUAUGGUGGGUCGCCGGUUUUUACCGGUCCGAACCGGGUUUAAUACGCCACGUGGAGCUCAAAGAAUCGGAUUCGUGUCUAGAUUCUUGUGGGGUUCAUUUUGUUUUACCAUUUUUGGAAAAAUUCUUUGUGGGUCCAUUUCCUCGAUGGAAUCUAAUCUGUAGAGAAAUAAUGUCAUUUAAAUUUUCCACUUUUUUUUUUGACGAAAUUUAAAUUUUCCAUAUUAUUUUAAAGAAAAUAUGGAAUCAGAAGAAAAAUAAUUUCAUUUCCCUGAUAUUAGCUUAAUUGAUAUGGCAUUGUAUUAUACAUUGGAGAUUGAAGUUCGAACUCUCGUCAUCCUACUUAUCACGUUUAAAGUUGAAAUUUCUAGUCACUAGAUUACUUAACAAAAAAAUAUAUUUACAAACCGCUCUAAAGGGAAGAAUCCACCUUAUGUGCCCCACAGAUUCUCCGAAAGAUAUUAAUCAUCUUUAAUGACGACAAAAACUUGAUACCAAUAUCAUGAUAACAAAAAAAAUAAAUUAUUUUUUUUACACAAAAAAAUACACUAUUUAGAAUUUGAAAAUCUCAAUUUUUUUGAGUUUUUAAUGAUUUAAUAGAAACUGACAAAAAAUUUCACCUUAAAAAAAGUGAAUAAAUAAAGUGUUUAAAGUUCGAACUCUAAGUUAUACUAGUAUACUAUAAUAAUAUCAUUGAACCAUUUUUUUAAUAUCAUUGAACCAUUUUUUAUUUAGUUAUUAUAAAUCUCUUAAAAGAAUAAAAAGUAUUUCUCUUUCCUCCGCGGUUAAGAAACAGCUAGUACGUUUAUUCUUUUUUUUUUUUGGGGGGUACGUUUGUGUUGUGGAAUUUGGUCUCACACAUUGCUUGCAUCUUUUGCAGUUUCGCUUUAUUAUUGAUUCCUAACUAUAACUCUCUCGAUCGAUCAACUAGGGUUUCUUCUCACCCAUUUCAUUCAUCUUGAUCUCGUUACCGCUACCGCUACUGUAAGCUAUUUUUUCUUCAUGUCACAAUCGCAAUUCAUCAAAUUCCAUUAUUAUUAUUAUUAUUAUUUAUUUAUUUUUUAAAUUUUUUUUGUGGCUGAUUAGUGUUGUGAAACGUGUUCGUUUAUGAGAAACUGGGGUUGGUGAUUUCAUUGCUGUGUUGUUAUUUAUUAAAAUGAAACUUUCUGUUUCAAAUAUUUGUCACACAUUAGAAAAAUUACUAUUUAAUUGAUGAAGAUUAAGAACGUGUAAGUUGCCACAAUAGGUUAGAAAAUUGUUUUUCAACCUUAUUAUUUUAAUUUUGAUUUUGAUUUUGGUACAGGUAUUUUGCAUGCUUGUUGUUGUUCAUACCCUUACUUGGGAUUGGAAAUUUGAAGUUAUUAAACAGAGAUUUAACAGAAGAUGUUUUGGAGAAAAUUUGGGGAUGAUGAAUGGAUUUCUUGUUCAAUAAGUUUUCUUAGAAAAGUAAGGUUGAGUUGUUAUAUAUUACACAGCAUUUCACUUCCUACAUAUGAGUUUUGGUGAAGAAUGAGAUGUAUGGGGUGUAAAUCAUAUUGUUAUUUGUUCAACUAGAGGUUUAUAUAUAUAUAUUCUUAGUUACGUGUAUAUUAUAGUUAGCUUGGUUUUCCACGAUCAACCAAGUUCUAUUGUCGAUAUAGGUGUCACUUUUAGAAUUACGUAGUUGAGGAAUGGAUGAUGACAUAGAUUUUGAGUUGUUUCUCCACACAUGGAAUACAAAGAAUCCAACGGAUCGUAUUUUCAUUGUAUCUUUUUUCGUUGCUGCCCUGGUUGGAAUUUUGACUAUAGCCUAUACGGCUUUUCAGUGGAGGAGAAACAUUAAUUUAAGUUGGAUGAAAGCUAUAGCUAGAUCUAAGAAAAACCCAAAGGCAAAGCACAAAGUUCCUGCUGCCCCUCAUACUUGGAGUCUAGAAUCUGCAUCUCGCGCAAAGAAUUCAAACUGCUGUGUGUGUUUUAAGUCCAUGUCGCCCUCUCAAACUCUAGGACCUAUAGUAGCUUCAGACAGUUUUAUCCACCGGUGCUGUAUUUGUGGUGCGGUAGCUCAUCUAAGUUGUUCUUCUAGUUCUCACAAGGACUGUAAGUGUGUUUCUAUGACUGGAUUUGAGCAUGUCGUGCACCAGUGGGCAGUUCGUUGGACAGAUGUAGCCGAUCAACCUGAUGAAACUACUUUCUGUAGUUACUGUGAAGAGCCAUGUGGUGGGACCUUCCUCAGUGGUUCCCCUAUAUGGUAUUGCCUGUGGUGCCAACGUUUAGUACAUGUUGAUUGUCAUGGUUCAAUGUCUAAUGAAACGGGUGAUAUAUGUGAUUUGGGCCCUUUUAAAAGAUUAAUACUGUCUCCUCUGCAUGUGAAGGAAUUGAACAGGAACUUGGCAGGUGGUUUUCUUAGCUCAAUUACACAUGGUGCAAAUGAGAUAGCAUCUUCAGUUCGGGCAAGUAUUAGGAGCCAGGGUAAAAAGUAUAAGCACGGAAAUGAAACACUGGCUGAAUCUGGGAAUAGUGAGAGCACUAGUGAAAUAUCCACAGAAAGCACUGCGGAUUCGCAUCAAAUAGCUAAUGGACAUAAUGUAAUGGAGGGAAAAAAUAGUGUUGGCUCAAAUAAAGAGGUGCAACAUCAAGAGAGUGAAGUGGAUAGUAAGAAUAAGAUGGACAGAAAACCCAGUCUUACGCCCAGUACAUCAUCUAUAAAUCAGGAGGAGUCCCAGGUGUUAGGAGUGAAACAGAAUUACGAGUUAACUGGUUUGCCUCCAGAUGCAAGACCAUUGUUAGUUUUUAUAAACAAAAAGAGUGGUGCCCAGCGAGGAGACUCACUUAGGCUGCGUCUGAAUAUUCUUUUAAAUCCUGUUCAGGUUUGUUACUCUUCUACAUAUUACAAUAUCUGGUUAUCAUUUGGGUUUUUGUUUGUUGCUUUCAAUGUUCUUCAUUGCAAUAGUGCCAUGUUUGCAGCCUUUUUUUCCCCUCUCUUUUCCCCCCAAUAGAUUUAUGCAUUGGGGCUAAUAUGGCACCACUGUCCAUCAAGUACUCAUCUAUUUUUAUGGAAUUAUGCAUACAUAACAAAAUUGCUAAAUAGUUGAUAUCUUCUAGUGGUAUACAUAAAAGACUCCUAAAAUUGGAGAAAACAGUCCUCUCACUUAUUGUAAAUACUCUUUGACAAUGUGAUUAUUGAACCUUCCUUUGUUUUUUCUAGGUGUUUGAAUUGAGCUCAUCACAGGGGCCAGAGAUGGGACUUUAUUUGUUUAGAAAGGUGUCUCACUUCAGAGUUCUUGUAUGUGGUGGAGAUGGUACUGUUGGUUGGGUUCUGAAUGCAAUAGAAAAACAAAAUUUUGAUUCCCCUCCCCCAGUUGCUAUUCUUCCCGCAGGUACUGGAAAUGAUCUUGCUAGAGUUCUCUCUUGGGGAGGUGGCUUGGGUCCAGUGGAAAGGCAAGGGGGUCUUACCACAAUUCUGCAUCAUAUAGAACAUGCUGCGGUUACUAUUCUUGACAGGUGGAAGGUAACAAUCAGUAACCCACAAGGAAAGCAACAACUGCAACCACAAAAGUUUAUGAACAAUUAUCUUGGUACGUGAAUGCAUCUUUUUCAUGGUUACUAUGAAUUAAUUUAAAUUUGUUGGUUUGAAACAUUUGAUUAGUCAGCUUCAUAAACUUUACCAGAGAGGUAGUUCCUUUUGGGUGGUAGAUAAGGUUGGGUGGUGGAUUAUAGAUGGGAAGACAGAUGCAUUUAGAGCUUUAUGUCAUGAUCUGGUACUCUAGUUUGAAUCUGAAUAUGGUUGAUACAAAUUUUCUGGUCUAUUUGUUUGUAUUGAUUUGUGCACUAACCUGACCUUGCUACAUCUUUAUCCUGUCAAUUCUGAUUCUACUCUUAUUGGGUUGGAUAGCUGAAAUGAGGUUUAGAGAUUCGGCUCUAUUAAUGUUUUGAAAGCAUAAGUUGUAAUCAUUGUUUGCUAUUUUGAAAAUUAAUAUGGAAUGCAUGUCUAUGUAUGACAAACUACGGUGUUGCUUCGUAAAAGAAAAACUAUGGUGAUUCUAAAAUUUCAACUGCUGUUUUUAAUAUGAAUGCUUUGAUUCUUCCCGUUAUCCUCUAAAGUGCAUCCCUCAUUUCAAAGGAGCCAACUCCGAGGUUUAGCUUAUGCAGAUUCGAGCAUUCAACUCAGGCACCAUUUUGACUGUAUUCUCGUGAAUGUACUUGAAUCUAAAUAAGUCAUUCUUCUUCGUCAGUUAUUAGCCUUUAUUUUGAAUAAUUAAUUGGAUAUCAGAUGCAUUCUUCCUGAUUUUUAUUAGACUAAAUCGUCUGCUGAUUUUCAAGCUAUAGCUACUCUUGCAUCAUUAUGACUAGUUUUUUAUCUAACAAGUAUUUGGUAUUAGGAAUUGGUUGUGAUGCAAAGGUUGCUUUGGACAUCCAUAAUCUGCGGGAGGAAAACCCAGAGAAGUUUUAUAACCAGGUAUUUAAUUUUUAAUUCGAAAUGGAUUUUGAGUUGCUUGGCAUAUUGAGGUAGCAUCUAUCAUGUGUUUUCUUCAUGGCCAAGGGCCAUCCAAUUAUAAUUUAAAUAAUGGAUGGUAAUGAGUAAAAGUUAGAAAUUUGAUCUCUAUCAUCCAUUUCUUAAAAUAAUAAAUCAAUGAUCGAUGCAUGGGAAUCACUAAUGUACCUUCUUUAAUGGGAUGCACUUUAUACAGUGAAGCUUCAGUUGAAGAAAAUGGAAAGUUUAUUAAAAUAGGCAGCUGGGCUGAUUGAGUGGUAUAUUGGCAUAAAAUUAUUUGUAAUUAUUUUUGUUACAUGGGUGUGGUAUGAGAUCACUUCCUCUCAUUAUUUUUGCAAAUGCAUAAGAAAGCCACAUGUAAUGAAUAACAGACUCACAACUUAAGCUUAAGUAACAUAUUAACAAUUCCAAAUAGAAAAGCAUGAAGUUUUUGUCAAAACAUAAAACGUAAUAGUACAACUCAUAAUGUCUAAUCUAGCAAAUCAUCCAAUUAUAAUUUAAAUAUUUCAAGCCAUGAUCACCAUAACCAUUUUCGAUAAGGAAGGAAGGAGAAAAGAAGAGGUUGAACUAGAGUCCAGAAUUACGUCAGACCACCUCCUCCACCAUGAAUAGCUCAGCUGGGCCAUAAGUAAAUUGAACCAGGUAUAUAUAAAAGCGAGCAGUGGCCACCUAGAAAAACAGUGGCUGAUCGAACCAUCACUCAACUGUUUGAACUUUGAAGAGGCCACAAAAUAGAUUAAGAGUAACUACAACCUAAACUGGGUAAAUCUACUGAAUUAUUCCUCAAAUAAUACCGGUGCCACAGUAUAUUUGAUUUCCUAACAAUACUCCCCACAAAGCCUAUACCUUGUUUUCAAGGUGAAAGGUAGGCAAUUCUUCUUGCAAUCUUUUGGUCGAUUUCCAUGAAUUUUCAAAUCUUGCAGGUUCUCCCUUUUAAUUAAAACUUCUACAUGUACUUCCUAAUUCUUGUCGUUAAGCUUGAAGCACAUGCUUCAAUAUCACACUUGAUAUUAGCUGCCCUGUUCCAACAGUUAUCUUAAUACGCCUACAAUGAUAAUCUUCAGAUGUCAAUGUAUUGGAACUUUUAGGUUCAUUGCUGAAUUUACUCUUAACAUGCAGUUUAUGAAUAAAGUUCUAUAUGCAAGAGAAGGUGCUAAAAGCAUAAUGGAUAGGACAUUUGAGGAUUUCCCUUGGCAGAUUCGUGUUGUGGUGGAUGGAGUUGAAGUUGAGGUCCCUGAGGUGAGUCUUUUAAGAAUAAAUAACCUUUAUUUAUUUCACAUUUAUCUUUUUUUGUAUAGCUCCUCAAAAUAUAAUAAUAAAUUGUUUUCAUUUGAGUGGCCAACUCUAAUUGUAUGAUAUUGACAAGCCAUAAAUUUUUCAGAGUUAAUUACCUGCACUUUUAUCCCCCUCUAUCUUUGUUAUGUCAGCAUGUGGCUGACCUUUUGAUAAAUAGAUAAUGUAAGGGGCUAUCUUAUCAUGUAAAAAUUCAAUUCAGCCGGUGUAUUUGCUGUAGUUGUUUUAAUAGAGGUGGGAGUUCAGACUUGUCUAAUUUGCUCAAAUUUUUAUAUUAGAACUUCUUUUUUAGUUUCCUAUGCUUUGUAGCCUACCCCCACCAAAAAUAAAAGCUAGACCCUUCCCUGAAUUGUUUAAUUUGGUUUUCCAUUCCAUCCAGGAUGCUGAAGGGGUGCUUGUUGCAAACAUUGGAAGCUACAUGGGAGGUGUAGAUUUAUGGCAAAAUGAGGAUGAGAGUUAUGAUAAUUUUGAUCCACAAUCUAUGCAUGACAAGAUACUUGAAGUUGUGAGCAUAUCUGGAACAUGGCACCUUGGGAAGCUUCAGGUAAAAAUGAAUCCAUCCAUCCCCGUUCUAGUGAUGUACAAUCUUAGGAUUUACUUGGGAUUUAAAAUUGAUGGAAAAAAUAUGCAGCAGACUAACCUUUUUAAAAAACUUCACUCAAAUCCUCUGUCUAUUACUUUGUCAAUAUAGGUUGGGCUUUCUAGAGCUCGAAGACUUGCGCAAGGACAGUCAAUUAAGAUACAAUUGUUUGCUAAGUUUCCUGUUCAAAUUGAUGGAGAACCUUGGUUUCAGGAGCCCUGUACAAUUUCCGUAGCUCAUCAUGGCCAGGUUAUCAUUUUUAAACUCCCCCAUCCACAUUGUGCAUUACUGGCGGUGCAACCUCCUACUUUUGUUACCUAUCCCCUGCACAUUUCAACAUCCUUAUGUCUAUUUUCUUACUAUAUAACUGAAAUUCAACAUGUUUGCAAUCCUGCACAAGUUGGUGGGGAUAUAUUUGGCCAUUUUAAUGUUUUAUGUAAUGAAAAUGUCAUCCUCUACUGAAAUUUGACACUGCCUAUAUCACAGGAAAUGCUUGGUGCUGCUAAGAGUAUUUUAGUGUGAUAGAAUGUAACUCAUGUUUUCCGAUGUUUCUGGGUUUCUGAUGCCCUUGUAUUAUCAUCUUCUUUCUUACUAUCCGAAACAAAUUUUUUUUUAAUCAUUUUUCAUGGCUGUUCAGGCCUUCAUGUUAAAGCGGGCGGCUGAGGAACCUCUUGGUCAUGCAGCUGCAAUGAUCACCGAUGUGCUUGAGAAUGCUGAAACCAAUAAUGUAAUUAAUGCUUCACAAAAGAGAGCUCUUCUUCAUGAAAUGGCACUCAGGCUGUCCUAGAAUUUUUUUCCUUUACACCCUGUGAUUACAGAUUUUGUAGCAGUUAUUUUGAGUAUGUUUUGCACACUUGUGUAUUUUCCUUUUCAAAACUUGUGUCCUGAAGUAGGCUUUGUAUAUUAUGAAUACUACACAUCAAUAGAAAGAAUGAAAUCAUAUAGCUUCUAAGUUGAUUGGUGUAGAAAUACAUAUAUAUAGCAUAUGCAAUAUUUUGCAACUGUAAGUCUGUAACACAACCUAUGCAGCAAUGUCUGCAACAUGCAUUGUUUUAUGGAUUCCCUUGUGAGAAGAGGAAUAUGAUUUUACAAUUACAACUUUCAUUGAAGGAAAAGAGUACAAGCUGUUAUAUAUUUUAUUGACAGAACAGUAAACUAGCUGCAAACUAAAAAGAAUGUUUGAAGUAUAUGCUCUACUGAACUUUCUCGACCCGAGGUUUUAGUAUUACAUUUUCAUUACAUUGCCUCUUGACUCUUACUAUUUACAGGAUGACCUUGUCAAUAUGCUUUUGAGGGUUUAUUUCUCCCCUCUUCACCUUCAUGUUUUUUCCACAGCAAACCUUUUUUAACCUUCAACCAUAGACGAGUGACAAAACCUUUUUCUCCUGUCCCUCUUCCACAUGUUUGUUUGUCUUCGACUUGUGGACAUGAAAUUCUUCUUGGUGUCUUAUUACUUUGUUUAAAGAUACGGUUCAGGUGAUGUCGAUAAAAGGGGGAAUUUAGGUGCACGACAUAAGCUGGCGAUGAGGCAUUAGUGCCAUGAAUGGCCUUGUUAAGUUUGUGCUUCAUCUCUUGGCAAGCCGGUGAAGAUGCAUUCGAGUUCUCAAUGGCCUGAUUGAGUUGUAUGGUCAUCUGUUUGAACUCAAAUGAGUCAUACAAGUCGCUACCAUUGUACUGAAAGUUGUGUUUCCUUGUAGGUUCCACUACAUCAUUCUCUUUCUCUUGAUUUUUCAUUGGAGAUGAAUAUUGGGUUAAGCUGCACUUUUACUUGUCAGUGUAUUUUGACUGUUUCUGUUUUUUGAGAUUAAAAACUUUGAAUGUGCACUGUUCAAGAGAGGUGGAAGCUAGUUGCCUAGCCUUGAAAGUAACGUUGAUGGAGUAUGUUUUUAGCAAGGUGAUUGCAUUGUUUUCUACGCUUUUCUUAUGCCUUUUUGACUUAUAUAUCGAAGCAGAUUGGUUUAUGUAAAAAUUAGUGAUUUCCACUAUGCUUCAACAGUUUAAAGGCAAUGGGACAACAAACAUUCCCUCGCAGGUACACUUCAAUGUGGUAUCCAUAAUGUUUGAUUUUAUGGAUAAUUUUAAUUAAAUUAAUUAAAAUAUAAAAUAUUAUAUUAAUUAUUGAAUUUUCAUUGCAUUUAAUUUAAAUAAAUAUAAUGAAUAUUGUAUUGGGCUUGUAUUUGCGAGUGACCUUGGAUUGGUUGGGUCAUUUGUUUGGUUAGCACAGCCCGUUAAGAGGUCUAAGUGGUUAUAUAUUCUGAUUAUCUCAUUAGGUCAGCAAGCACGACACUAAAUCGUCAAGAAGAGGGCAAUAAGUCUCUGAAGACUCUUCUUCUUCGAAGGUCAAUGGAUCAUACGAUCAUUACAGGUACAAUUUACUAUUAUAAUGUUAUAUAUGUGAUCUAAGAAUUGGUAUUAGAGCUUAAUAAAUAUGUUGUAUGGCUUUUUGAAUCGUAAUGUUGUUUAUAUGACACCACCCUCAAAUUUGUUAAUAAAUUAUAUGAAUUUAUCGAUGAAAGAAUUGUGAUCAAAAGUUCUUGAUUAUUCUCAUUAUUUCAUGUAAUACAUUGUUUGAAUCAUUUGCUGAAUCAUAUAAGUUUUGUGUUGUCUGAUUGAAUCGAUUCUGCUGUAAUGGUAUGAUAUUCACAAAUUUUCAAGAAUUGAAACCAAUUGAAGUUGUUGUAGCGUUUUUAAAAUAUAUCAGCGGUUGUUAAAAUUAAUACUUAUUAUCUAUCUAAAACUAAACAAAAAUUAAAAUGAGACCAAAAUCGAUGCCUCAUGUUGAAUAUUGAGAGAGAUCGUGUCAGAUAGUUUUCGAGUUUGCACGACCUAGUAUGCAGGGAAAUGAGUGAAGAAAAAAUAUUGGUUUCAUACACACCACUCCAGGCACGUGAGCACGCGCGUGGGAACCCUAAUAUUCAAAAAAAAAAAAAUAGAAAAAACUCGAGUAAAUUAUAAUUUAAUUUUCAUAUGGAUCAUAAUUACUAAAUUAUAAUUUCGUACUUUAAAAUUAAGUAAUUUACUUAAUGAUAUAUAACGAGAUAGAGUUUUAUUAGGGACAUUUGGAAUCAUUUCGUACUUUAAAAUUAAGUGAUUUACUUAAUGAUUCCUUGUUGUUUAAUGACGUCCUAUUUUCCUAAAUUUAUCAUAUCUCUUUUUCUAACCAAAUACGAAGUUGGUGAACUACUAAGUUGAAGGCUGUCAAAGUUGAAAGUUUAUGCUAUAAAAGCUGAAAAGCAUCACAUCAUCACUUCUCCAGGUAUAUUUUAUUCUAAACCUAGCCACCCGCCUCAAAUACAUACUAACUUGAGCGUCAGAGUGUGUGAAUGUGUCAUACCCCAAAUUUUGCCUGUUCUUUAUUAUCUUUUGCAUUACAUUUGUUUCUAAAUGUUUGUACUAGCCCAUAUGUCAAUUAAGGAGUUUGUAAAGAAUUUUUGUGUUCAAGGUCGCAAGUUCGAGUCUCAUUGGUGUCAACAGGCAGCAACAACACAGCAUCACGCGUGUCAUCAAUUUCGCCUCUCUAUCAACCCCAAUUCAUUGUGAUGAUCUGGAAUUGACGAAGAAAUUGAUUUUGUUUCUCUUUGAUUUGGAAAGAAACAAAAACGGAAGCUUAAAUCAAUGAGAUGAAUUAGAGUUGACAGAGAGGCGGAAUUGAUGAUACGCGUGAUGCUGUGUUGUUGAUGCGUGUUGACACCAAUGAGACUCGAACUUGUGACCUUUUUUUUUGAAAACUCGGUAUCCGGCCUUAGGACCAACUAAUCAAAGGGGACCAAUGUCACCUCCCACUUGCGGGGGCCUCAUUUAAAGCCAGAUUUUUUUUUGUUCUGUAUGGACUUAGCCCACCGAAAUUAUCACUAGGGGGAAUCGAACCUGAGACCUUCAGAGGACUUUACAGACAGCCACAACGGCAUCAAUCAUUUGGCAAUGUUUGAAUUUGAAGUAUCCAACAAGCUAAUUUGAUUUUUAUAUAUCUUGUUUUAUUCCUUUUUUAUCUAAUUGUUGUGCAGCCUUUCUAGAAUUAAUUAUUAUAUUUAAUGAAUUAAGACAUGGUAUGUAAUUUACAUGUUGUUAUUCCCGCCAAACACGUUGUUUAUGGUCUCUAAUUUACAUGUGGAUAAUUUUGACAUGGAAAUAACCUAUAGGCAAGUCACACUUUUACUUUAGGACGCUUUUGACUCAAUCUAUAUUCCCUUCAGUCCAUGUUAUUGAUUAGAUACAUCCAACAUUUUAUAAAUUUAAAAAGUAAACUUCUUCUUAUAAUAACCGGAGGGAGUAUUUUAUAAUUUUACAUACUACGACUAUUAGUGGAUGUUUAUUAAGCAUUGAUUUAUGUUAUUGGUUCAUUAUUAUAUUAUUUAUAAAUAGGAUCUAUAUUGUAACGUAAGAGAAUAUAAUUCAAUAUUUGUAAAAUUUAAGGGGUUAAAAUUGCACAAUUGAUAUUUAGGAGGUUAAAAUUGCAAAUUACUCACUUCAUUCCUUUUUAACUGUCGUUUUUACCAUUGUGCACUAUUCGUAGGGCUGAAGACUCACUCCCUCAUAUGGAGAAAAUGUAUACAUUAGUACGGGUCGGUUGUACUCGUCCAACACAAGGAUGGAUAAAGUUCAACAUAGGCAGAGCUCUUAUUCCUCAAAAUCAAAGUGCAACCUGUGGUGGAGCCUUUAAAGAUGAGACCAGAACUUGGAGGGAUUGAUUUGUAAGAAACAUAGGAAAUUGCUUAGCCCUUAUGUCAGAAUUAUGAGGUAUUCUCUCAGCACUUCAAGCCGCUAAGGAGAACGGAUUCAAUAGAGUCAUGUUUGAAUCUGAUUCAGUAAUUGAUGUUGACCUUAUUGUUAAAGGGUGUCCGCCAAAUCAUUCGUGUUCUUCGAUAGUUUCUCGCAUCAAUCGCCUUAAGAUGCAGGAAUGUGAGGUGUCUUUUCAUCAUAUCUACAGGCAGGCAAACCAGAUUGCUAUCUGGCUUGUGAGACAUACUCUUACUAUUCCUACGAGUAUUCAUUAUCUAAAUAACCCCCUGCCUGGGUGCAUUAUCCUUUUAUGGCAGGAUAUUGUUGGUGUUCUUUUCAAUCAUAGAAUUCCUUUGUAAUCUGGCCUAACGGCCUGCCAUGUAUAAAAAGAACGGAAAUCCCCUAAAUUUGCGGGGAAGCAAAAAAAUCACUCACUCCAUUCAUUUUUAAGUGUCAUUUUUACCACUGUACACUAUUCACAUAAUCUACUUUGACCAUAAGUUUUUAUUAAGGCUAAAUUGGAGGAUUGAUCCCCUAACUUAUUUAUUGGUUUCAUAUUAGUCCCUUAACUUUAAUUUUGUUUGUCAUAUAGGUUCUUUUAGUCGGUUUUACUCAAAAAAUGUUAUCUUUAUUUUCUGUUAUUAGUUAUAUCUACACAUAAAUGAUUUAUUCACGAGUAAUACUGUUAUGCGUGUUUUUUUUUUUUUGAAAAAACCAAAAUGAUAUAUAUAUAUAUAUAUAUAUAUAUAUAUAUNNNNNNNNNNNNNNNNNNNNNNNNNNNNNNNNNNNNNNNNNNNNNNNNNNNNNNNNNNNUAUAUAUAUAUAUAUAUAUAUAUAUACAUAAAACAACAAGUCUUCUCAGCACAAGACGUGCCAAGAGAGACUAAAGAAGGUUACAACCAGAGUCAAAAAUCAAAACCAAAAGAAACUAUACAAGACCCAAACAAAGCAUAGGACUAGACCACCAACUAUGACAGCUUAAAGUUAAAGUACUACUCGUUGCUUUCAACCACCUGUAUGAAAAAGUCUUGAUCUUGUCCAACAUAAAUUGUAAUGAAUUUGCCGAGCCUCUAAAUAAUAUGUGGUUUCUUUCGGUCCACACAACCCACACACAAGCAAGCCAUAUGAGUUGCAUGAAGGAACGUCAUGCUCGAAGACCACCCGCUGAAGCAGUAAACUGAACAAAAUGAUCCGAAGGAGUUUGAGCAAUCACCAAAGAAGAGUCAAUCCAAGAGCUGACAAGAGACCAAAGAGCGCCAAAAGUACUGCAAGAAAGGAACAAGUGUUGAGCUGACUCAACCUCUCCGCAACCAGAAACACAAAGAUGAGCCUCCGAAGAUAAAAUCGCUCGAGUGACAAUAUGAUUAUGAGUCCAGACACCUUUCUUGGAUUGAAGAUGAAGUUAACGUUUUUUUAUAGAAAAACUUACGGAAAUGACCAAUAUGACAAACAUAAUUAAAGUUAAGGCAUCAAUUUGUAACGUUAAUUAAUUAAAGGACCAAUUUGUAACAUUAAUUAGUUAAUGGACCAAUAUGAAACCAAUAAAUAAGUUAGAUGACCAAUUGUCUAAUUUAGCCUUUGAGGAGUGCUAGCAACACACUCUUUAACAAACACACUCUAACACACUCUCUUCUAUUGGUUAAAAUUUAUAUGGGUCUCAUAAAAGUUAUAUGAGUCCAUAUUUUUUUUGAGACCCAUGUGAAUUUCAACCAAUAAAAGAGAGUGUGUUGGAGUGUGUUUGUUAAAGAGUGUGUUGCUAGCAUUAUUCUUUAGCCUUUUAUUAAUAUAUAAAACCAAACGUUAACAAAUAAGAUAUUGUUUUUAGUAUAAAAAAAUAAAAAUAAGAUAUUGUUCAAUUUGUCUCGACGAAUAUUUUUAAAAUAUAAAAUUUUCAUAACUUUUUAUAAUAAAUAAUUAAAAAUAUUAAUGAUCAAAAUUAUGCAUUAACAUGUAUGCGGUGAUAAAAAAUAUAACACUUGAAAAUGAAACAUAGAAAAUAUUAAUCAAACUUUACUUAUUAUCAAGGCUGAAACUAUAUAAAAAAAAUAUGAUUGAAAUUUUAUAGCUGCAUAUUUAAUAUGGCAAUGUUGAGUAGUUCUGUUUUCAUGACUGUGAAGAUAAGACUUUCCUAUUCCCAUGAUCUUAUCUAUGCAAUUAUUUGAACUAAAAUUGGAAUUCCGCAAAAUAAUAACUUUACCUUUUCACGCGGUUUCUAUAUUUGCAUCCUUAUAAUAAGGUAGGAAUCCUAUCUAUACACUACCCUACCCUUUUCUAUAUCUUGUACUGUAUCCCUUCACUUUGAACUUAGAACAUUCAGGUACGUACAGUAUUUAAUUUACAAAUAUAAUAAUAUAGUUGCUACUUCUUGUUUUAUUCUUUUAUCUCUUGUCAUUUGCCUACGUAUAUAUGCAUAUCAUAUGAUCAUAUUAUAUUGUUUAAUUUUUGAAUUGAUCCAAAAUUAAACUAGUCUGAUUCUAUUUUUAUUUUUCCUCAACUUGUAAAUAAAAUAAGAAUGUUUAUGUAUUAAAGUCAGUCACUGAUAUUACUCAAAUCAUUAGUUAUAUUUUUUAAUAAACAUUUAUAUAUAUGACUUAAUGAUCAUGACUGUGAGAAUCUCAUGGUUGACAAUGUAAUAUGCUUCUUCUGAGCAUAUUACGUAUAUAUACUUGAAUUUUAAACUAAGGUUUUCCAGGAAAUUGCUACUGUUUCUAUUGAUAUCCAUAUUUUUAUUUUGUUUAAAAAAUAUCACUUUUUCACAUCAUAUCAUACACUGAGAGUUGGUUUAGUUGGUAAGGAUUCAAUUUAGAAUUCAGAUCCAACAAGGAUCUGAGUUCAAAUCCCGCUGCUGAUGCGAGGACCUCGUUGGUGGGACAAAUAGGAUAAUAAUAUGUAAGUACCUCCAUCUGUCUCGUGACUCAGUUUUCGGUGAGUCUUGAGGCUUUCUCUAACUCUGGUGAGCACCCGCGAUCCAACUCACGUAAAUUUUAAUUGUACCAACUACCAAUGUACUUUUUUAAUCUUGAAGAUUCUGUUUAAAUAUUUCACUGUGAAAAAGUUAAAUGGUGUCGGUAGGUUCACCUAAGCUAUUUUUAUGUUGGGUUCAAGUGUAAGUGAUCAAGUCUCAUAUCGACUAUUAAUGAGUUUGAUAUUGGAUAUAUAAGAUAUGUGACCCAUAUUCCCAAUGUCUUGAGGUUCUGGGUGGAGAAGUGACAUCUCCUUCUCUUGUGGUCCUUGGGUUCAAGUGGCCACAUCGACUAUGACUGGGUUCAAUGUUGUGUUGGAUAUAUAAGAUAGGUGCCCAAUAUUCCCAAUGUCUUAAGGUUUUGGAUGGAAAUGUGACGUCUUCUUCUCUUGUGGCCUUGAAGCAUUGACUUGCUGUUACUCUCGGUGCUCACUCCGACUCCGCAACAAUUUAUUCCAAUGACAUUUUUUUGCUAUUGUGUAAAUGCUUACAAGUGUCCUUAUGCAUUUAAUUUUGUUAAGCUGAACAUUGUAAGUUUGUAACACACAUGCUACACAGGUUAUAAAUUGCAACUAAAGAAAAUGGUAAAGAAGAUCUGUGGAAUUGGAGCUGGAUAUGUAGGAGGUCCAACAAUGGCUGUAAUAGCCCUCAAAUGUCCUUCAAUUGAAGUAGCUGUUGUCGACAUUUCCCACUCUCGCAUAUCAGCUUGGAAUAGCGACAAACUCCCUAUCUAUGAGCCUGGCCUAGAACAAGUUAUACAACAAUGUAGAGGAAAGAAUCUCCACUUCAGCACUGAUGUAGAAAAGCAUGUUUAUGAAGCUGAUAUAAUCUUUGUUAAUGUUAACACACCAACAAAAACAAGUGGCCUUGGAGCUGGCAAAGCCGCAGAUUUAACUUAUUGGGAAAGUGCAGCUCGAGUGAUAGCCGAUGUUUCGAGAUCAAACAAAAUUGUUGUUGAGAAAUCAACUGUUCCAGUUAGAACAGCUGAAGUAAUUGAAAAGAUUCUAGUCCACAAUAGCAAGGGCAAGAUCAAGUAUCAAAUUUUGUCAAAUCCUGAAUUUCUUUCCGAAGGAACUGCUAUGCAGGAUCUUCUAAAUCCUGACAGGGUUCUACUCGGAGGAAAUGAUAGUCUUGAAGGUCAAGAAGCAAUUCAAAAAUUGAAAGAUAUAUAUGCUCAUUGGGUGCCUCAAGAUAGAAUCAUAACUACCAAUCUUUGGUCUGCUGAACUCUCAAAGUUAGCUGAUAAUGCUUUUUUGGCACAAAGGAUUUCAUCCAUCAAUGCCAUGUCGGCGUUAUGUGAGGCUACUGGUGCUGAUGUUUCACAGGUUUCUUGUGUUUUAAGCAAAAACACUAAACUUGGUUCUAAAUACUUGAAUGCUAGUGUUGGUUUUGGCGGCUCUUGUUUUCAAAAAGAUAUACUUAACUUGGUUUAUAUAUGCGAGAGUAAUGGACUAUUUGAAGUGGCUAAUUAUUGGAAAGAGGUAGUUAAGGUGAAUGAUUACCAAAAGAGUAGGUUUGUGAAAAAAGUUGUAACAUCUAUGUUCAAUACAGUUUCAGGUAAGAAGAUAGCUGUUCUAGGAUUUUCCUUUAAGAAAGAUACUAGUGAUACUAGAAAAACUCCUGCGAUCGAUGUUUGCAAAGGUCUUUUAGCGGAUAAUGCUUGUUUGAGCAUUUAUGAUCCGCGUGUUAGUGAAGAACAGAUCCGAAGAGAUUUGUCUAUGAAUGAGAGUCAUUGGGAUCAUUCAAUUCAGGCGAAGUCAACGAGUUUCACUAGCGCGAAACAGGUUAGUGUUUUCGCGGAUGUUUACGAGGCUACUAAAGAUGCUCAUGGGAUAUGUGUUCUUACAGAAUGGGACGAGUUUAAGACAAUUGAUUAUCAUAAAGUAUUUGAUAGUAUGGUGAAACCGGCAUUUGUUUUCGAUGGUAGAAAUGUUUUGGAUGUUGAUAAGUUGAGGGAGAUUGGAUUUAUUGCAUACUCGAUUGGGAAGCCAUUAAACCAGUGGGUGAAUUGCUAGCUUGUAUGUUAUGUUCAAAUGAAAAUGUCAUUGCUUUGAGGUUAUAAUAUAUAUUGUAUGAGACAUUAAGAGUAUUAUUUACUAGUAUGUUUCAAUCAUAGUGAAAAUUUAUAUCAAAAAGUACUUUUAUUUAUCAAGAAAAGAAAAUUUAUGUUGUUAGUUGUUUGUACCUUAUAUAUGUUGCAAAUGCAAUUAUGAAGCUUAUGAAGAUAGUUGGAUGGUGUAAUCUACUGAUGUUUUGGUUUGGUUUGGUUUGGUUUUACACUGUUUCUCUUCAUUAUGCAUUAUUCUGCAUCAGUAGGCUAAACUCGAUGGAAACUCAGCUAAAUCGAUCAUUGACAACGAAAUAGUAAAAAUUUAAUGGGCAUACAUGGCCAAUGGAUCUCUCCGAACUGGACAGUACGGUUAGGCGGUUUCGGUACAAAUCGUGGAGCCACUGUCAUGCAAGAAAAGGGAUACAAAUAUGCAUACACAUACACACAGGUUGCAUUGCUUGGGAAUACAUUCUCUCUAUUAGAAUUCUCUUAAUUUUUUUCAAUUGUAAGAUCACAAUCAUCAAUUGAGAAAAGAGGAGAUUUACUUUGAUGGUUGAGUUGAGAUAUUAUCAUUGAUAAAUGUGGAAAGAAUUUUAAUAGAGAUAACCUGGGCCAGGAACCUAUGUACCAUGUUUAACCAAAACCUCAAUAUUAGUCCUAGCAAAAAUACAAUGAAUUCCGGCUUAGUUCUUCAAUAUUAUAGUCUUUCUAGGUGCUUUUUAUCCCUCCAAAAUCAUUCAUAUGACAGUGUUGACAUAACGAUAUAUGUCGGUGAAUGUCAAUGUAAUAUGUCACUCGCGCCCCCUGAAUAUCCUCGAUCACCCCCUGAAAAUACCAAACUAACCCUCUCACUUUCUAGGAUGCGAAUACUUUUUUACACUCUAAGUAGUGUGUGUCAAUAUUUUUAGCUCAAAUCCACCCCACUAGAAUGAAAAAAUCAUGANNNNNNNNNNNNNNNNNNNNNNNNNNNNNNNNNNNNNNNNNNNNNNNNNNNNNNNNNNNNNNNNNNNNNNNNNNNNNNNNNNNNNNNNNNNNNNNNNNNNNNNNNNNNNNNNNNNNNNNNNNNNNNNNNNNNNNNNNNNNNNNNAAGUAAUUCUCUUUUUUAUUUUAAUCCUAGGAAAAAAGAGGGAAAUAUUGGGCCAACCCAAAUUAGCAUAUGGUCUACAUUGGGCUUAGUCCAAUAUAGUCUAUGACUCUCUUCAAACUUAACACCAACAAAAUAACCCCACGACUAAAAUAACGCGCCGCAAGCGCGACCCGUGCGGAGGCACGGGUACUAUCCUAGUUAAUUUGUAAAAUAAAAAUUAUGAAGUUUUAUAAUAAAGGAAAUAAGAGUUGAUACAUUAAGCACUCAUAAUACUUUUUGUUCUUCUAUACAUUAAAAAAGGAGUCAAUCUUUAAUAUCUCCCUCAUUAUCCCUAUACUAUUAAUUUUUUUGUUAAAAAUGUUUUCCUUUGAAUUAACACUGGUGUUAGAGGUUGUGAAAUUAGCAUUCCUCAUGUAUAAUUGGUUACAAUUGUGCAUGAACUAUGAAGUGAACUAUUUAUGUCUAGAUUUUUUUUGGGGUACAAAACUAGAUAUUUUUAUUCUAAAAUCAAAGUUCAAUGUAAAAUUGUCAGUCCAACAUACAGUUAUAUUUAUCACUUAGUCAAAUGGAGGUUGGACAACUUUAUUAAGUGCAAGAUUUUCAACCCAAUACAAAUAUUAUUUUUAGAAUUUAAUUUAUAUGCACCGUCGGUGUAAAGUUAUUUUGCACAUGCAUCCAAUAAAAAACCGACACAUCAUGUAUGGUCAUUAAAAACACACGAUGUGUCACAUUCAUUAUGUGACGUGGCAACGCGUCAUUGGAUGCAUGUGUAAAAAUAAUUUACACCGACGGUGCACAACAAUUAAACUCUUAUUUUUAUCACCUUCUAAUCAAUUUGAGGUUUGAAGGUGUAUUAUUUUUAUCAUGAUUGAUAAUAUGCAAAUAAGAUUAAAUUUAUAUAUAUUCUAGUGUAAUUUAUUUUUUAUAUAGUCAGUUCAUUAUAACUGUCAUUUUAUAGAAGAAACAUUUAACUUUUAUCACAAUUAUUUCUAUAGUUAUACACGUGAUUGAUUAUAAGUUUAAUUUUUUUUACACCGAAAGUGGAUGGAAUUAAACCCAGCCAAAUAUAAAAUUAAGCUAUUUUUACUAAAAUCAUAUUAAACAUAUAAGUAAAAUCAAUUCUUAUACUUUCACCAUAAAAUUAAGUACGAUGGAGGAUUUUGAUGCGACGAUGUCUAAAGUCGAAGUCCAGUCCAUGGACAAAAAACUUGUAUGAAGAGGUUAUUUUACAUAAAAUGACCAAACUACCCAUCAUCAAAUUAAAAUUAAUAUUCAUCUGUAAAAAAAAAAAAGUUAAAAUUAAUAUUCUUGUAAGAAAAAAGGUUAAUAUAUUAACAUCAUACUCUAAGUUAAUGCAAUGAGAGCAAUUUAGACUUUUUGUACAUGUAAAAAGUAAGCAAGUGGAACAGUUGGUUCCUAAUUAUCUUUACAUUGACCAUAGUUUUGAUUCUUAUGCAUAAAUGACCUAAUUAGGCUGAAAUAACUUGGCAUUAGAUUAUUUUUUUGAUUGAACAUUAGAUAUUUUUGCUUUGCUAGCAUUAAGUAGUUAAGCCAAUUGCACCAAAAUACAAAGGUAAAACGCUAUAAUGGUGGGUUUGUAUACCAAACCACACUUUUCACACAAAGGACAGGUAUAUAUUUAUGGUCCCACAUUAUCAAAAAAUUUAUUUUAUUACUCAAACUAAAUCCCUUUUUCUUACAUGAAAAAUUUAGUAAUUCUUUUUGAGUAUCUCCAAAGCAUUUCUGGUGAGAACUUGCCCCCUAACACAUGGACCAUUAUUACUUGUAUGAAGCAACGCAUGCACCUUUUAGCCACACAUUCUAUAUAUAUAUAUAUGUUCUUGGAAGAUAUAUAAAAAAGAAUGAAGGUUGCUGUUUUACAAGUAUAUGGGAUCACAUUUUCCAUUACCACUCUCUAUAUUCAUCAACCAUCAUCUAUUUUAUUUUAUUUAUCCAAUAAAUAAUCAAUUUACUCUUUAAACUAUGUAAAUAUAAUAACUAGUUUCUAAAGUAUAUAAAAUUUAUAUUUUUUGUGUGCGUAAAUUAGGUAUAUCUGCUGCGCACAAUUGCAAAGAUUAAUUCUUCGAGCUUUGUGAGACUCGAAAGAGCGGCUAAUUCUCCUUAAAUUUUUUAAUAUUGUUGCAUAUUCAUACCAUUAAGAUGUCAAAGAUUAAAUUGACGGAUUUUAAUAUACUUUAAAACUGAAUGACGAAUUUCAUAUAUUCAAAAUAAUAUUUUUAUAUUGAUAUAAUUUAUGAACUAAAUUGAAGAGAAAGUGGUAGUUUAUUCGUUUUUAUUUUUCUUAAUUUUUUUAUUAUCUUUGUGAGGUUGUAAUCACUCAUUUUAUAGCUGAACUUUUCCAAAAAGGAAGGUUCCAACUGCCAGAAUUAAAACACUAGCUUGUGAUUUGAUUAAAGUUUAUCAUGCAAAAUUAUAACAAAUUAUAGUAUUUGCAGCUAUCUAAUCACCCACCAAAGAAAAAGAGAGUUCUACUUUCUAACCAUUUUAAGAACUUCAACCACUGAUAUUUCAGCUACAUCUAAACUGACUAAUAGAAACUUGAAACCUUAGCAGAGUGGCUAAGAUAUCUAUUAUACAUCUUUAAUUAACUAACCUAAACCUUUUGAUUAUAAUUUUUAUAUUGGUCCUUCUGAUAAUUACAUGAAAAUGAUGUCUGCAAAUAGAAGCUAAUUAAAAUUUAAACCCCCUAAUAAAUGUUAAUGAUGGGAAAAAAAAUUAAUGGUACACAAAGGUUCAAAAUCAAGUGCAUGACAGCAAUUAUGUUCAUUGAAUUUACCUAUAUGUAGGCCAUUAUGUAUAAUUUGUGUCAUUCUUCCUCACAUUAUGUACCAAAUGUAAAAGUUAGUUACAAGGUUAAUUAGUUACACGGUUAAUUAGUUAUGCUCACUGGCGGUCUCGAGGGUUGGCAGAGAGUGUUACAAGUCUCACAUCGAAUAUCAGAUGACCUGAAUACGAAUUUGUCCAAUUGGCAUAAAAAAGAAAAUGCAAAAAGAUGUCUAUCUUACUUUGCUUUGUAAUGCUAGAGGAAUCAUUACCGCAGGACAUAGAGGGAGGGAGGGAAGUGUCCAUACCAUAAAAUUGAUUUUUGACGGAAUGAAAAAGACAUAUAUGGUAAAGUAGAAAUAUUUUCACUUUAUUAGACGGUUUUGUGGAGUUGAAUUAAUCUCAAUCCAAAUAGGUUCAAUGGUAUAAAGUUUCUACUAUCGGACCAUCCAGAAAAUUUAUUGUACCCUAUCAUGUAAUCAACAAUUAUCAUUAUCAAUAUCAAUACAAUUGCUUAGUAAUCGAGGCUAAGAGUAGUUUAUAUACAACACUCACAUCUUUCAAACGACUGAUGCGCCUUUUCUACAAAGGACAAAACCGUGACGGGUUAAUUCCAAAGCAGAAAAUCUCUCGGAGAUGUCGACUUGAGGUCGGAUCGGAACAUUGGCCCCGUCUGUGGGAAAACCGUGACGGGUUAACCCUAAAGCGAACAAUCUCUCGGAAAUGUACACUUGAUGACGGAUUGGAACAGUAAUCAAGAGUGAUAUAUGUAAAAUUGUUGAUUUUGUCCAAAAGUAAUUUCAGGGUGUUUGAAAUAUAAGACUACAGGCAAGGAAUAUGAAUCUAGAUCUAUGAUAUGAUUAAAAAAUAAAAUUUGAAAAGCUAAGUAGAGGUUGUUAAAGAGGGUGAGCAAAGGCAAGCUGUGUCUAAACACUAAAGCACGUGUAAGGCUAAUCACUCUAUUAACUACCACCGACAGUGGUUUAUAGGACUUAAUCACGGAUUAGAUUGGUAGCAUUUGAAAUGGUUAAGCUAGCAUAAACCUUAAGGAAAGUAUCUUAUGCUAAAUACACUAUAGAGUAGAACACAAUACUAAUAAUGAGUUCCCAAUAUUAUUAUUUUUUCCUCCUUUUUGUAGUAGUAUAUGUGUCAAUUCUGAAUUGCUGACAAUCUUACCUCUCAAGUGAAGCUUUUGCUCUGUUUAUAGUAUACUCUAGUCUAGUAUAUAUAUAUACCAUUUAGUAAUAUUAGCAUAAGAUAUGGUACUCAACCACAUCUAUGUAAACUAUAUAUGUAUUCUCUUUAAUUUCAUUUUUAUGUACAUAUAUUUAUUUAAAUUUCUUUGCUAGACUCCAAAUUUUUUAUUUGCACCUAGUCAGUUUUGUUAGAUUUGUAUUUGUAUGCUUGAAAUUGCAUGUAGUAACAAGCCUACUAGUACCAUUUAGUACAACUUUUAAAAAAAUAUUAUUGGGGAUCAAAAAAGUUGAGACAGAUCUCAAGAUUCAGAGAAUGUUGAUAUAUGUAUUUAUAGAUUAUCUACUAACAAAAUUCUCAUGACGAUAAAUAAGAGUUGAACUCACAUUCUUAUAAAGUAUGAAUCAACUUCUUAUCAACUGAAUCACUUCUGUUGGCCCAUUUAGCAUAAAUUUACUUUAACCCUUAAAAAAACACACAAAUUUACUUUAAGUGAUUUGUGUGCUCUCAAUUUCAAGCUUGAAAUACUAAUUUUUGUAGACUUUGUAAAACAUGAAUAUAUCUUGAAAAUGUAGUUAUUUGUUGAACAAUGAAUCCAUCCACAACUAUAUAAUUGAAGUUAGUUAGUUCAUUCAUAUUGAUGAUGUAUCAAAAAAAGGCAUAACAUGUUAGAUAUAGAUAUGGGCUCAAUUUCAAAAAUGUGGAGUGCACAUCGAGUACUGUAAGGUAAGGUGUGUGUGGUAGCUAGCUCCUACUAGGCACACCUCAUAGCCUGCACAUGUUUCUCUUAAUUUAAAAUUAAUGUGGAUGAUAAAAAGUCCAAUCAUAUUAUAUAUAUAUUUCAAACAUACUAUAUCAUACUAAUAAUGUUCGAUGACUCUAAUCCGAAUUCCUAAUCUAUUUGUAUAUGAGACAUAUAUCAUCUGCAUGCAACUGCAGAGACUAAAUUAUUGAACUGAACAAGAUCGUAAAUGGAUAGGGAAAAACAAAAAGGAAAUGAUAAAAAUGGACAAAUUAAGUACAGCUAAGCAGUGUACUAAGUUGCCGGCAAAAAGGGAUACAGAUUAAGUGAAGUGAUUACGGAGAAGUUGCUAUAAGAUUAACAUAUAUAUAUACUAGCAAACGCUAGCUUCUAAUAAGACAUUCAUGUUACGGUUACUGCAAUGAACGUGGCCGGCUUUUGAUUAUAUCAUCACAAACAAAGAAAAUUAAAGCCGGCAUAUCACGAUUCACUACUGUUGCUUCAUCCUUCUUAAAGAUUUACAUGCUGUCAUCAAUCUCAAAAUCACGAGAAAUGAUAUUCACACUAAAUCCAAUAGGUUCGUUCAUUGGUGUAGACUUACGACCAUGAAAUAACUUUCUAAGAGUCGGUUUGAUUCGUAAACCAGUAAGUAUUGAAUAGAACGAUAUAAGAUAGAAUAAUACAUCAUAAAGUUGAAGAUAUUGAGCAAAUAUUAUCUUGUACGGACAAAAGGGUCUGUUGCAUCGGAAAAAAAAAAUGGGAUUCACUUCCUAUUUGCUAGAAAGUUGCCAUUUAUUUUGGUACCGUAAACAACUUGUUCAGAGGAUAAAAAAUUGUUCCGUGAUUUAGUACGAGACAAAAAUUUAAGUUUUUGUCCACUCCCUUGACCCCCAGUUUAUCCUUUAUCAAGUUCAAGAAACAAUUUAAAAAUCAAACACAGUACAACUCCGGUCUAAUCAUUUAUUUUUUAGCAGAUCAAACGCAUCAUAAACAUUAUGUUCAAAUUUUUUCAUUCCAAUUUUUGUGGGGUAGUCCAUACUCCAUAGAGUCAUUGGAUUUUGACGGUGAGAUUGAUUUCCUGAACUAGUCGGUCAUUAACAUUGAGCCGAACACUGAAUUAAAAAAAUGAAGUUUUUUAGACACUAAUUUUUUACAAUCAGAAAUACUUGGUAACUAAUCAUAUUUGAAAAUAAGGUUAAUUUAAUUAAGUAGAUGAUUAAUUCAAUUUACGUCUAAAUGUGGUUAAAUUCAACUACACAGUUAACCACAAUUAUUUUUGCAAUCAACGGGGCCUAAGCCCAAAGUUAACCACAAUUUUGGUAUAAAUAAAUUAUAUCUAUUCAACUAAAUUAACUACGAUUUUACAUGCGAUUAACUAAAUGUUACAUGUAUAGUGAAAAUUGGGUGUUCUUGAAGCACUUUUGAAAAAAGAUUUCAAUUAGAUAAUGAACUCAUUGAAGCUCAUGCAUGAACUUUGAUCAAAUACACUAUCGUCUUUAAAUAAACUGGUCGUCAUACGAGUCACGACGCUAGACAGCUUGUAAUAUUAAUAGUUUAUUAAUUAUAAUGGUGGAUUUAGUGAUGCUUAAUACUAUCUAAGACGAUACUUUAAAGUUGUUAAGCUCUUAAUCAUAUUGAUGCACCUGAUUGAUUUUAUAUCCCUUGUACAGUUGUGAAUGAUUAGCAUUAGCAUAAUAGAUACAAAAAAGCAUGCAUAAUGUGUAGACAGUAGUAGUAGUAGGAUACUAGACACACUGUACACAUAAGAUUCAUCUAUAAAAAAUAGUCACAUACUACUAAUUUAUAACAGUUCAAUUAACCAAAUUAAUUGAAGAUUCAUCUUCACGUGUUAGGGAUUUUGACUUAGGGAUUUUGCUCCCUAUAACACUGUUUUGCUUAUUCUAUGAUUGAGUAGUGUUUUUAAGGUAGUUUCUAUUGGUCAGUAUCUGUUAAGGUAGUUUCUACGAGAUCGACUUACUCCCUAACACCGUGCAAGCUCUCAUUUGUACACAUAAUUGGUUGCAUGAUUUUAAGGAAAUCAGACCUUCUGGUAAGUUUAAUUAAUAAUCCUUCAGUUUUAUUUGCAACUUGCAUUUGCUUUUCAGUUGUUGACUUAUCAAGUUAUCAUGUAUUAUGAAUUGAAGAUAUGCCGGAAAGGGAUGGCAGAAAAACCCAAACCCGUGAGACCCACCCGAACCCAAACCCAAGUCAACGGGCGAAACCCGAAUUGACUGGGUUUGGGUUUGGGUUUGGGUGACACCCGAAAAUAUNNNNNNNNNNNNNNNNNNNNNNNNNNNNNNNNNCACACCCGAAACCCAUACACCCACCCGAAACAUGUUAAAAUUACCUAAAUACCCCCACAUAUAUAUAUAAGUGUAAAAGUAAAAUUAGGUUUUUCACAAACCACAAACCAAAAUUAUGUUUGAAUUUUGCUUGAUAGUUGGAAGAACUUAAUUUUGGUUUAGUUGUAAUUUAAUUUCUUGAAAGACUAUUUUGUAAUUUUAAAUUCCCUUGUAAUUUUAAACCUAUGUUUUUGCUAANNNNNNNNNNNNNNNNNNNNNNNNNNNNNNNNNNNNNNNNNNNNNNUUUGCUUAAAUUUGCAAAGUAGUACAAAAUGUGUUGUGGGUUUGGGUUUGGGUGUAAAAAACCCGAACCCAAUGGGUGUGGGCGUGGGUGUGGUUUUGCCACCCGAACUGAUUUGGGUUUGGGUUUGGGUUUGGGUGUUGAUUUCGGGUGUGGGUUUGGUAUCACUCAAACCCGCACCCGUGGGCGCCCAUUGCCAUCCCUAAAAUAUAAGAGAUACAAUUGUAUGCAAAAUCAAAUGUUCAGUAGACUUAGGUCGGGAAGUUAAUUACUUAAUUUAUAAUUAACUUUGUUUUGUAUUUUGAAUUGUUACGUUGAGAAUUUAAUGUGUGAUUCAUCAUCCACAAAUCUCUCUACUUUUGCAUGAAUGUUUUUAUAAUAACAAUUCCGAAUAAAUAAAUAAAUUAAUUCAGCAUUUAUAAAAUCAAUUUUAAGUCAAAAACAAAAUUACACUUAUUCAGCAUCCAACAUAUAAGAGGCAACCUAACCAAUUUAAACAAUUCCUGCAUGCCAAGAGAACUUAGCUGUAUCAUUGUGGCCUUUGUGAUCAAAGAUGGCAUUUUACAAUACUUUAUAUCCAUGAUUCCAAAAGGAUAUAUUAAAACAAAACUAAGACAUAUGAAGAGGCAGGUCAUGCCUCACACUCUUGGACUCACAUAAAUGCCAAUUUUUAGUUGCAUUACUAUUCCUCUACUAAGCUAGUCCUUGCCUUACAUGACUUUUUUUGUGGUAUCACAUACAUAGUUAAGCUAUUACAAUGGUCCAUGACUUAUAAAUAAAUAUAAAAAAAUGUGAAUUUAUAUUUAAAGCUAGGAAAGGAUCAAUUGAACUGCCCAAAUAAGACUAAGAAGUUGAAAAUAAAAUAAGCAAACUCAACUAGAAAUGACCCCACAAUUUCUUUUUUGAGGACUUCUCAUUUUUGUAUGGUUUAUUACCAAAUUGCCCUUAAAAUUUGCUUAAAGAGAAUCAAUAAACAGUGACAUAGCAUUUGGCUUUGAUUGGGAAAUGAAGCAAGCAAAUGGAUAGAGGACCCACUUGAAAAUCUUUUUUAAAAUCAUAAAAAUAAAAAACUACUUCACUAAUAGAAAGUCCAAAGAAUAACGGCCGUAGAGUGGAACCUUUCAUUUGAAGAGUGUGUGAGAGAGAAAGAGUGGAUGCAUUUUCUCAAUAACAAGACAAAGGAAAGAAUAGUUGGAAAAAUGAGAUUUUAUUUUUAUACCCUAUAUUUCACGCGCAACCGCAAAUAUUAAUAGGAUUAUUGAUCUCUUUCAACAAAUAUAUUUUCAUACGCACGAUCAAAUAUCCAUAGCAAGACAAAGGAAAUAAUAGUUGCAAAUAUCGGAGGUUUCUUUUAACAAAUGCGACUAUAAAGAUUAAUUCUUCGAAGUAAUAUUAUUUUUCCAUACGUAGUGAUCAUAUAUCAAACUCUGAAUCAAAUCGUUAAACGAUCUACAUACUGGAUCGAAUGUUGUUCAAAAUAGUUAAACGAUCAUAUAUCAAACUCUGAAUCAUACCGGAUCGAAUGUUGUUCAAAAUACACGCAGUUUAAUGCUAUUUUUAAUCACAGCCUUUAAUUUGAGAUUAGACGAUUCAAAUUAUACAUCAGUCCAACAAUCUUAACCGUUAAUCUAAAUCGGACGGCUAACAGCAUUAACUACGUACCGCGUCAAAUCCAAUUCCCUAUUAUAGGUUCCUAUGCUAUAAGGGAUGGUUACUUGGACAAAUCAUAUACCAUUGGAUUAGGAGUAGCGUAGUAUCCUUAGUUGAGUACACGUGCUGCUAAGUGCUAUCCUCUUCUUUUUUUCCUUUUUUUUUUUAAAAAAAUCUUUGCUUCCAUGCAUGGAUUUCUCCUCCAAAAUCCAAAUAUAGAGAAAGAAAGAGAAAAAGAAAGAGAGGAAGAGAGAAAUAAACGCUUAAUAACCCUAUUUUUAAUUCUUUAGUUUUGUUUUUCUCUCUUUGCCUUAGCUUGUUUAAUAUCCAUCAUUAGCAACAAAUGUAACAACACAACUCUUCAAACUUUUGAUUUUUUCUUCAAAACUCAACUACCCAAUAAGCCACUACUUCUACUUCUACUACUAUAGUAAUAACCAUUUCCAAACACUUCUUUGCUCUGUUUUGUUUCACUACUCAUUCUCUCUCUCUCUCUCUCUCUCUCUCUCUCUCUCUCUCUCUCUCGCUCUCUCUCUUUCACUCUUUCUUUCUUUACCUUUUUUUCUGCCUUAGAUCUUGCACUACCUUUGGUAUUUUCUUCAACUGAUGCAGUUUUCUACCUCAAUUAUCUGAUCUCAAUUCUCUUACUUUUUCUUCUUUUUCAUCUUAUCUUUCAUCUGUUCUGUUCUGUUCUGUUUCAGUUUCAGUUUCAGUUUCUUGAAUAAUAGUUCAAUGGAAGAAAAAUCAAAAUAUCAAAUUCAAGAAUUCAAACAUGCUUGCAAAUUCUGUAACAAAAGCUUCCCUUGUGGAAGAUCUUUAGGUGGUCACAUGAGGUCUCAUAUCAACAACUUAUCAUCUGAAAAAACAGAACAGAAAGAAAAAGUUUCAAUCAAAAUCAACAAUGGAAGUUGCAUUGAUCAUUCUGGUAGCUAUGGUUUAAGAGAGAAUCCAAAGAAGACAUGGAGAAAGAGAGUUGCUGAAUCAAGUGAAGAUAGUUAUGUGUAUGAUAAAUUCUGCAAAGAGUGUGGAAAAUGUUUUCAGUCAUGGAAAGCUUUGUUUGGUCAUAUGAAGUGUCAUUCUGAUCAGAAAGAAAGAGUUUUUGAUGAUAGUUUGGAAGAUCAAGAUUCAUGGACUAAUAAUGCUAAAGAUGUUGAAUCAGAUAAUGAAAUUACUGCUCCAAGAAGAAAAAGAAGAUCAAAGAGAACAAGAACAAGGUAUAAUAACAUGGUAGGUUCUUCUACUGCUGCAACUGUUACAACUGCUACAACUUCUUCUUCUGUUUCUGAAGUUGAACAUGAGCAAGAAGAAGUUGCUAUAAGCUUGAUUAUGCUUAGUAGAGAUGUUAGUCCUUGGAGUGGUUUUGCUGAAUCAUCUGAUAAUAAUUCUGUUUACUUCGAAGCUCGAUCUUCUGUUCGAACUAAUCUUGUUACUAAAUUCGAUGCGAAAAACAAGAAUUUUAGUACUACUACUGUUGCUGCUGCUGCUACUUCUACUAUCAAUAUUGCAAAGUUGGUGAAGCAAAGUGAGAAGAAGAGUUCUGUUUCCAAAAAGUUAAACUUCAAAGGAAAAAGUUUGGAGAUUUUGGAUACUGUAAAAGGAUUCAAGAUGAACAAAACUGGAGUUUCCAUUAAAGGGUUUCUGAAAUCAACAAAAUCUGAGCUUGAUUAUGUGUCUACAUUGGAAGAUUCGGAAGUCGAAAAUGGGAAAAGCAGAGUCAAUGGAACAGAAUCAGCUAUGAACAUGGCUGAUCAUGAAGAUGAAUUCAUCAAGAAUUUUCAUAAGAGAGGGAAAUUUGAGUGUACUACUUGUAACAAAAUUUUCCAUUCAUAUCAAGCUCUUGGAGGACAUAGAGCAAGUCAUAAAAAGACUAAAGGGUGUUUUGCUUCAAAGAUUGAGAGUAGUGAAAACAGCAUUGAAUUUGUAGAAACUGAUCUAUCUCAUGAACCAAUAACUGAAAGCAAGGUCAUGAAGAUUAGUGAUAACAACAUUGAAUAUGUUCAAAAUAUGAAGAUCAAAGGUCAUCAUGAGUGUCCAAUUUGCUUUAAGGUUUUUCAAUCUGGUCAAGCUUUAGGUGGACAUAAAAGAUCUCAUAUGGUUGUUGCUGCUACUGCUUCUGAGAGUAGAGUUUUAGUUCAAGAACAAGUUCCACAGAUUAGGGACUUUCUUGAUCUUAAUCUACCUGCUUCUACUGAGGAAGAAAGUAAUAGUCAUGCUGAUUCUAAUAGACCUUGGUGGAUUGUUGAAGGAAAUCAACAAGAGGCACUUGUAGGGUAGGGACUUAUCUAGCUAAGCUUCUUAGCUUAGUCCAUCACUGGUUCAACUUUAGAGUGAAGUUUUUUUUCUCUUAACCUUCGAUUACGAGGGGAAAGGGGCCCUGGUUAUGUGGAGUUCGGCCAGGAGAAAAGUAAAGUCUAUUCCAACCAGGAUUCAAAGUGAAGAUUUAAACUGUAUAGAAAUUGUUCUGCAUUUAUUUCAUUCAUUCUUUACAUGAUUCAUGUACUUUCCCAAGGUAUUUUUGUUUUUCUCAUUUUAGAUUUUUUCAAAUAGUAAGUGAGAGAUGAACUUUCCUCUUUGUUUUCUUUUUUGUUUUUGGGAUACUAUAUGUUAUAUUGAUAUUUGAUACUUUGUUCAUAAUUUGUGCAAAGCUUUAGUUCAACAUUUUGAUUCUCUUAGGACUAAUGUUAGUAGAUUAUAUUAGUAGCCGGAGUUCGAAUUCUGAACCUUCUGAUUAGUACUAUUUGAAUGUCUCUCGGCUCACCAAUCUGAGUUGUCAACUAAAGGAAUUGUUUUCACCCACUUGAGAUGUUGCAUUCCUAUAGAUGUACUUAAAUUGUAUAAAUUCCAAAAGUGACAUGGUUGUGUUGUGGGGUAAUUAUAUAUUUAACUUUGUAUGAAAGACAAUGAAUGAGGUGUUGAAAAAAUGGGAAUAGGUACUAGAAGUGAUUUCAUUACACAUGAAGAGAUAGAAAGGUUGAUUUUAUAAUACUACACAUAAAGAAAGCAUGUGAGCACAAAGGUGGUUGUUUAGUCACCUACCAUAAUACCUGACUACCCAUCCAUCCAUCUCUUGUUUCCUUCACUUACUUUGCAGGCACACAAGUGGUGUGCUAAUAAAUCCUUCUCACUAAUUACUAUUAUGUACUUUCAUCACUAUUAUUAAUAAUUCAUCAAGACUGUGAGGUAGAUAGCUGGACCACUACUCUACGUAACAAACUCAAUGAAUUUACAGCACCACAAACUACUUUAGCUCACAAUAAAAUUAAGCUCAGCAGUUAAAGAUACACUUCUUUUUUUCUUCCUAAAUUGUAUUUUUGGCCCGUUAACUUUUACAAAUUUAUAAUUUUGGUCUCUUAACUUUUAUAAUAACAUUUUUAGCCCCCUUACUCUAGCCUCUUUUGCAAAGGUUGACCCUCGCUAAUUUUGACAAAAUCGACGCACACAUGGACAGUUACUCACAUGCUACGUCAGCAUGUCACGUGAGUUAUUGUCCACGUGUGCGUUAACUUUUGCAAAAGAGGUUAAUGUUAGGGGGUCAAAAGUGUUGUUAUGAAAGUUAGGGACCAAAAAUGUAAGUUUGUAAGAGUUAAAGGAUCAAAAGUGUAAUUUAUAUUUUUUAUUUAUUAAAUAUAACAAUUAGACGAGUUGUGUUUUGAGGGCUCAUUUGGGAUUUUCACAAAAAAAAGGGGCUCAUUAGGGCUAGAGAAAAUUCAAAGUUUUGAGAGCACUAAAUAAGAUGUUAAAAUAUUACCUACCAAUGAAAUCUUCACAUCACCUCUAGAAUUCGAACUCAGGUCUACGUGGGAUACAAGUUGAAUUCUUAUCAACUGAAUCAACCUACAAUGAGUCAAUCGGUUUAUUUUCUAUUAAAAUGAUAUUAAUGUGUCGACAUAGUAUAUGAUGGGUAUGCAAGGCAUCUAUUUGGGUAUAGAUCUUGCUCGAAGACAAGACAUAUAUCAAGCAAUUCUAAAGUUUCUAUUGAUAUGGUGACAAAUAAAAUAAAUCCGAAUGGAAUGAUUUUCACAUUGGUGAGGCGUAUUAGACAACUCUUAGAGUUGAGUUGACAAGUUCAUUUGACUCACACAUUCGUAGCGUUAAGGAAAUAGAAAUGUUGAUUGACCUAAGCCAAUACUUCUUUUACACUAUUACUGCAUACCCUUUUAAAGUUUAACCACGAUGAAAUCUUAGAUUCAUGUUGAGCUGAAUAUGAUAAUAUUAAUUUGGGAAGGAUGAGGUGCACCAAUUGAUAUGGAUUUUGCUAUUUGUGCUAACUACUAGUUGAAAGAAAGUGGAGCAAUACCUAUAUAUGUGCCUUUUAAUACGUCACUCACAACUAAUUUAAACUGCAUUUGUUGGCAACUUGGCAUUGGCAUUGGCAUUUGGUCACUAUAGUAUGGAGGGAGUCCUAUGUUUAACUGUAGUUUGUUGUCAUUUGUUGCAAAGAACAAAUAUGUUGUUUGGUUUCAUUAGUAGAGAUGAGUGAUGCUGUUGGUUAACUGUAAUUUGUCUUCUGUUGGAAAGAACAAACUGCGAUGAAAGCUAUGCAAUCUGAAUAGUGCUUAUUUAGUUACUAGUUAGGCAGCUAUUUCUCUCAAAUUGAUUCUUUUUCAAGGCAAAUUAGCCCAACUUUUAGCCAUUUGAUUACUUGAAAACCAAAUAACCAGUUGGGAAAUCUAUGGAAAUUAGCCCAAGAAAUGGCCGCCCGAUAACAUAAUUUUGAUAAUUGCUCUCACUUAUAAACACAUUCAAGUCAUUUCGCUAGGGACUUCUUAAUACACCCCUCGUGCCUAGCCUUGUUGAGUUUGGGGCGCGGAUAUGAAUGGUGGAUGACCCGAUCAGAAAUCUGAUAGUAGGCGGCUCAAUGAAUCGUGGAAGACGUAUAUUCAGAUAAUCUCGCAACUGAUGUGAUACUUUUUAACCCAUUUUAAUAUAUAAAAAAAAUAAAGUCUAAAUGAAAGUAUUACAUGAAACAUAAAACUACAUUUGUAUUAAACUGUUAUUACAUAUAGCAGCCAUACAUCAUGAUAUGUAUUAGCAUAAUUAUUUUGUAUAUUAAAAAGAUAAAGUCUGUAUCAAAUCAAAGCAAGAAAAAAGCUAAAAUACUUGGUAGUCUGUCAACUUAGUUUAUAGAUAGAGUCAAUGGUAUUAUUUAUUCAGAAGUUUGAUUCUAAAAAUGUUCAUAUUCAUAGUGGUACAAUUUAAUAUCAGCAUUAUAAUUUAAAAAACUAAAAUAAUAAUGAAAUGGAGAUUAAGAUCAGAUGAACUAUUUGAUAACAGUGUGCUUCAUGCACUAAAAAAUGAACAUGUGGCAAUUAGCUUGUUAUUAGUAUAAGGUAGGUGUCGUGAUAUAAACAACAAAUGAUUAGUUCAACUUUUAUUGGAUCUUGAGUUUUCCUUUUCAAUUACAGUAACAGUUAAAUUAAACAUGGGACCCUUCUUGAUGUCAGAGGACAUGUAUAUGUGUUCUGUAGAACUAGUUGAAUAGUACCAAAAAUUGCCCUAUUGAGUUAUAUAUAUUUUUGGUCAAUAUAUAUAUGCUGGUUUUUUUUCAAAGAAACUAACUAAAUAUAUAUUAAGAGUUGAGGAACAAGACUUCAGCAUAUAUAUUGUAUAAAUUCGGUAAGUCUAAAAACUAUAAAUUGCAUUCUAACUUAUGUACAAUUGUUUUGGAGUAGUUUAAAGUUCAAUCAUUCAUCACAACACGACUCAUUUUUCAAUGGACUAGAUAGAAAGAAUCGAUCCUCCUGACAUCUCAUAUUCCCCACAUUCCAUAACGUUCUAAUAAGUUAAAGGCAUUUAACGGCUAUCCGAUUUGGACAUUGAUGAGCAUCGUUCGUAACACCCCAUCACAUUACUCAUCUCCUUCAUCAACAAUGUAAGCAACAUUUAUUUUUUCACGUGAAAACUUCUCACUUAGUAACUUGAACAUUAGAGUGUUUGUUGGUACACAUUCCACCAAAUUAACAUCGACCAAAAGCUGCUACAGUUUGACUAAUCUUCUCGAUCAGCCAGAUCAACAUAUUACAUUUAUCCUGCCAUAUCUUAAAAGUCACGGAAACAGUACUUGUAGUGCCAUUCCCAAAUCAAAGUUUGACCAAAACAAACUUGGAAUUACUUAAAUAAAUUAACAUCACUUAUUGAAUAUUUUGGCUGUGAAUUAAUGUCAUGGGCACUUUCUGGUCAAAGUUAGCAAUAGCAUGAAUAUGAUGAUUCAAAUCUAACAUACACCAAAACUUCACAUUAUGACUCCCUACUCAGAAGUCUUAUAGUUUGGCUUGGAUCUAAGUCCAUGGGACCAUCAACCAUGGACAUGUACAGAGAAUGUAACUACGCACUACCCACUCUACCGACUCCAAUCUCUUCAAUCCUUAUAAUUGUGCUAGUAUUGCCCUUUAAUGUAGUCACAUUUUCUGUUUUUUUUUUUUGUCGGUGAACCUAAUGGUUAGAAUUUGACUCUUGAAUAAGUUGAGCGUUUGAGAUUCGAAUUUCGACUCCUACAUAUAAAAUGUGAUGUUUUUACCAAUCAAACUAAGUUCACGGAAUUAUCGAAAUACCUAUGAAAUACCGACUGAUAGAUUGAUUCUGAUAAAAUGCUACAUUUUACGUUUUUAUGAGUGUAUUUAUUUCCGACCAAAGGUCACAUGUAGAUGAAAUGGGCCUUUAGUUAUCACUACGGAUGAUGGACCUGUUGUGGGCCAAAAUUGGGCCUUUAAUUUGCACAUUUGGUUUGUCUGGAUAUACAUGUGGGGUGCGAAAAGAAUCUCCCAUAAUCAAAACCUUUCAAGGACUUUCAUGUACUAUUUCAUCAUCAUCAUUAUCAUCACAUUUUCAAAAUCUAUGAUCCGGUAAUCGAUACUUUUCACUGUCUUUGAUUUCGAUUUCCAAUUUCAGUAGUUCGAACUUGGAACAGAGUCACUGCACAAAUUCCAAUUUGCUUACAUAAAUGUCAAAUUGCUUCGCAACUGAUAGUGAUUUUCCCUUAAUUGGGGAAGAACUUGUUCAAUUGGGAACAGCAUUCAGAGAGGUUUUUUUUUUUUAACCUAACUAUGAUAUCCAUUGAUUGCAUUUAUCAAUUUAUUAGUUCACAAAUGCAGCUUAUGUAUAAUUUUUUCUUUUUUCUUUUUACCAAUUUAUUUUGUUUUGUCUGUGAUUUGCAGCAUAGAAAAGAUAAGUAUGUUUUAGAAAGUUCUCAUUCUGAAAGCUCUCAAGUGCCAACUCAGGUAUAUCACAUGCUAAAUUGCUUUCUAGAUAGCAUUAUUUAUAGGUUAAACAAUCAGUAAUAUCUGUAAUCAAAUUAACUCAUAGCCCAUAUUUUCUUAAGACUCUAUAUGUGGCUCAAAUACCGACUAAUCCGAGGGACACCAAUCCCACCGCCCACUAGCGGAGGGUCCAAUUGAAGCCAGAGCAUUUGCUCUGUGUGGAUUGGCCGAACUCAGGAAGUGGCACCGGAAGGAUUUGAAUCUGAGACCAUGAGAGGCGCACACUCCAAGGUCCCAAGCCUUCACCACUAGGCCAACCCAUGUGGGUUAUUGUAUUUUAGUUGUGGCAAUCUUAAGGCAGUAGCGAGAUUUUAAUUCUAGUUAAGCCAUGUUCUAUUAUAUACACCAUCUAGAUAGAUAUUUGUCAAAGAGAGAGGAAUGAACAAUACGAUGAACACGUGGUAUAGGAACUGUCAGAUAACCGAUUAUCCCAAAAGCUUAAGCUGUUAGGAUAUGGCCACAUUAAUGAUUUUAUAUUACUUCUAACAUGCCCCCUCACGCAAGAGCCCACUUGGGCUUGAAGCGUAGAUAAUGCAUAGGCCCACCUACCAUAUGCUUAAAUUCCACCUUUUAAUUAGAAAGUGAGAGGAGCGGGGAUCGAACUCUAGACCACUUAGUCAUAGAGGCUCUGAUACCAUGUCAGAUAACCGAUUAUCCCAAAAGCUUAAGCUGUUAGGAUAUGGCCACAUUAAUGGUUUUAUAUUAUUUCUAACAGGAACAAUAGAAAGUGAAGUUGUACCUUCAACUUUGACUCCCUUGGUCUUGGUUAUUGAAAUCUUGUCACUAAUUGUAGGAAUAGACACAUGAAAUGACUACGAAAAAUUCAAAAUGAGUUUUUUCUUUCUUGCAAAACAACACACCAAACAUCCAAUCUGAUUUAUGACAUUGAUGCAGAUACUAGAAGUAGAACGACAUGAAAAGUCAUUGUCAAUGGCUCAUAUGGAAGAUAAGAAAUACAUCCAGAGGUUGGAAAAAGAGCUGCUAAAUUGUUCUCAAGAAAUAGGUAUUUUUUUUUCCUCCAUUUUUCAUGGCAUACAAGCAGCUGUGUGGAUCAAAUAUAUUGCAUUGAUGAACUUUCAUUGGUAAACCGUUUUUGUGACAGUUGAUUGUCAUAGGAGAGUAAUGUUUCUUUCCUUCUUGGAUGUUAUUUUGGCCUGAAUAUUUCUUCGUAAUGACUGUCUGAUUCCAUGAAACACGUUUAUUUACUGAACAAUGCACUAACAUUUUGUGGUUUUGGCACUCUUUAAUUUACAUAAUAUAUUUUGUACUUUAUACAGAUUAUCUUCAGGAUCAACUCAGUGCAAGAAACACAGAGGUGACCUAUCUAGAAGAGCGUGUUUGCGAUCUUGAAAUGGAAUUCAAGGAGAAGGAAGAUUUACGAAAAGAAGUUUCCAGCUUAAAGGAGAAGCUGAAAAUAUGCAUCUCACAGCAGCUUUCCUUGGUUCAGGAACUUGAGACUAAAGAAGUGGAAUUAGAGCAGUCAGCUCUGACUAUGGAGGAAUCAUUUUCAUCCAUGGGAUUAGAGUCUCAGUUUGAAGUCGAGAGUAUGAAGCUUGAUAUGAUGACCUUGGAGCAGAGUUUAUUCGAAGGAAGGAAAGUCCAGGAAGAAACUCUAGAAGAAAAUAAUAGAAUGGGUAGAUUGAUUGACAAGUUACAGGAUGCACUGCAAGAUGCACAGAAAACCAUCAUCUCUCUGAAUGAAGAAAAUAAGGUAAUUAAAGAAAAGCUUGACACUGCCAACAUUAAUACUAGAUUAUUUUCCCAAAAGGUUAAAGACUGGCUGGAAAACAAGGACAGACCGCAAAUCAAGGAUAAGUCUUCUUUGAGUGAACAAAGGAGCAAAGGAGAGGACACAAGGUACAUAUUUCAAAGUUUUGUAAUAUGUAUGACGAAUUAUAUGCAAAAUUUGUCCUGCAUAUAGGUUGGCUUAACCUUCUAUUCCAUAGAUUAAGAGAGUGGAAUUGCCACUUCUGCUUUCAAAUGAAUAAACGGAAAUAUGGUUGGUUAUAGGGUUUCUCAAUCUACUUUUCCUACUCUUUCAUAAAAAUUCCUAUUUUUACUUAAAUAAUAAAACAAAUAGAGGGCUACUUCACAAAGUCGUAAUUAAUACAUUAUAUGAUCAUAAUUAAUAACGGAAUGUAUGGUAUUUUGAAUUUGUAUGAACCCAAAAUAGAUGGAGUGGAUUGAGACAAAUAAAGAAAUGAGUAUAUCCUUUACUAGUUUAUGCAAGUUGAUUUAUAUUUCAUUAGGCUCCAUGUUCCUCGUGCCGAUAUUUCAGUUCUUAAUUAUAUCUUGAAUGCAAAAUUUUGCAGCCAACACACAUAUUGAGAGAAAGUAAUAACUAUCUAGUUUCAGUUUGGAUGAGAUUCUAGCUUAUGAAAGCUUUUCAAGUAAAGUAAGUAUUUAGUUUCUAACUCAAGGAAAAGACCUUUGAAAAUUUGAAGUUUUUAAGUGUUUAUGAAGGAGUUAAGUGAGUGAGCUUAAAAAAAAAAUUAAGGUUCUGAAGUUGAUUUCAACUUAUGAGGGAAACCAUUAGUCACGGGUAUUGCAAGAUCAUUUUGACCUCUACUUUUCUGCAAGUACUUGUGGAAAACUGCAUCCAAACUAGCUUUAAAUAUGGCUAUAUGGAUAGUUAUGUAUGAAAAAGACUUUAUCACGUCUUUUUACUAAGCGUUAGUGAUAAUGGUGUUGUCUGAUUGCUUUCCUUUUGUCUUCACAAUUUUACAAUUGGAGGUACACUUUCACUAAACUUUCUAGUGAUCAUUUCAUAAUAUUUCCUCAGAAUUUAUGGAGAAAUAUUGGGUCCACUACUUGGUAUUUUGGCAAUGAAAUUAGAUCCAGCUUCAGAAUUAAAAGGGAAGAUGGAGAUGUCCUGUCAGAUACAAGAAUAUGAGUUUCUUGUGGAGAAACUCAAGGUACGACCAUCCAUCCAUUUAAGCUUAAUCAUUGAAGUGGUCUUUGUGAAGUUGCUUAACGCAGAAGAGAACAAGACUUGUUUGACAUAAUUCCAUAUAAUAUUUUGAUUUUGACUUCCUUUACUAGGAAGAAUUAAGAGAGGAAAAGUUGAGGGCAAAAGAAGAAGCAGAGGACUUGGUUCAGGAAAUGGCAGAGCUUAGACACCAACUUACAGGUCAGCUAGAAGAAGAAUGUAAGCGCCGUGCUUGCAUUGAACAUGUGUCCUUGCAAAGAAUUGCUGAGUUAGAGGCUCAGGUAUGAGUUUAGAAGUUAAAUCUCUCCUUUUUCCUCUUUCUUAUUCAUUCGAGGCCAUUUAAAGUUGUAACUUCUUUUCAUUUUUGUUUUUUUAUUCAAGGUUCAAAGAAAGCAUAAACACCCAUAACUGCUGUCAGAUAUAUUCUUGAAACAUAGAGACUGGCAUUGUUCUAAGUCUUUCCGGAUCGGCUUUAAAGAAUGGACCUUCAAGGUUUGUAUCAAUGUAUCUCAAAAGUUACCAUCUUGACAUAGAAAUAGUUUGCUAACUAGUAACUAGUAGUGUCUACAAAGUGGAAUACUCAACUUAAUGUUUGUUAGAUUGAGUUCAAAAUCCAACAUUUAAUUCUCAUCUCGUGAUUUUCUCAACCAUAUGGUUUGGGUCAGUGACCUUCGAGUCUUUGACCCAGUUCCCUUGUAUACUAGAAGGGGUGUGUAGUAGUUCUGGGUCCUUAUAGCUGUUUGAUAGUUGCUACACGGUACUUAUGAGUUUAUCUUUCGCCUUUUCAUGUUAAAAUUUAAAAGAACUCGUCUCUCGUCUAGCCAUGGUCUCCAGGCUCCCAGCUUUCCUGAGUAGAAACCAGAGAAGGAAUAGUUUUGAUGUCUAAUUCAACGGAGGGAAAAAAUAACAGAAGUUUGUAACGAUGACAAGAACAUAGUAUAGAAUGACAAUGCAAUGAGUUUCGUUUCCUUUGAUUCAGUUGUUAAAAAAAUGGAGUUUGGUACAUUCUUUAAUACAAAAGUAUUGGAGUUUUCUUCAUGCCAAUUUCUACAACAUAUAUGUAUUAUAAAUCUUCCACUUUCCUUUAUGACUCUUGGGAAGUGUUUGUUUCUUAAGAUCACUUCCACUAAUUUGAAUUGCUAUUCUUCUGCAGGGAUUGUAGUUUGGAAAAGCAUCCGUGGCAAGCAUAUUGAUCAAUUCUUGACUGUUUUUUUUUUUCUCAAGAAAUUGAAAUCUAUGAUUUCUUCUAGUUGCCUUGGUGUCAGCUUUUAUUGAAGUAUGAAGUCAAAAGAUUCAAAAGAAGCAAACUACAUGAAACUCCAUUGUAUGACACCAAUCCCACCUUUGACCAUCACCGCUUUUGUAUGACUCCAUUGCUGCUGUUGUUGCUGUUUGUUGUUGUUGUUGUUGUUGUUUGAUGCCUUCAUUCAUCUCCAGGGCUACAAGGCUACAAUAUAUACUCCCUUCGAUCCUAAAUAUAAGAGAAAAUUUACUUUUUAAUUUCAGUAUUAUUAGUUGUUACGUAUUAUUUUUUUUAAGUUUGUUUUAAUUUUGUGUCAAAAAGUUUGUUUUAAUGUAAGUAUUAUUUGUUAUUAUCUUUUUUCAAGUUUUUUAUUAUCUUUAAUAAAUUUAGUCUAAUUAUGAUUCCUAAUGUAAGUCUAUUUAAAGACAUUCAUAUUUGAAAUAGAAGGGAAUUAUCGUUUAUCAUAAGAUUUCAAGAGAUUAUUUUUCGGGUGGAUUUCAGAGCUUUUAUUCAACAGGUUCGUCGCUUGCAAAUUUAUGUUUUGUUUUAAGGCUUAGCGCUUGCUAAUCCUCAUGCUUCCGACUACGUCAGUUAGCUAUGUUUUUUUUUUUUUUUUNNNNNNNNNNNNNNNNNNNNNNNNNNNNNNNNNNNNNNNNNNNNNNNNNNNNNNNNNNNUUUCACCAUCAGUUUAAUCCGAUUCAGUGAUGACAUCAAGUGAUCCAAGUGAUGAUCUUUUUAUUUCACCAUACUUCUUUUAAUUGGAAUUUGGAUAUUGAAAGAAAAAGGUUAUGGACCAUUUGUUAUAUUUUUAUAGUUUGGGGACCGGAGAGAGAUUGAUAGUCAAUUCAAUUCCACAGAUACAUAGCACAUGAUGCACAUCUCAAAAGUUCCCAACCCAAUCCUCCUCAACGGCUCAAUUCAGAAACAACAACCUAUAAUAAUAAAUAAAUAAAUAAAUAAAGAAGAGCGCAUCAUCACCAAAAAAAACACGUUUCCAAGAAGUUUUUGCAAACUGUGUUUUGUCUGCACUUUCCACUCUCCACAAUCCGACUUUUUCUUGACGCGAUUUUCCAAUUCUCCUUACAUUCUUCCCUCUUCUCUUCUCCGAGGAUUUCUCAUCAAUUCUACACAUUCUUAUAAUUUUCCUUUACGAUUCUUUCUACAUCUUCCGUUAAUUCCCAAGGUACCCUCUUUCUUUCUUUCUCUUCCACAAGUUUCAAUUUUUAUUAUUAUUCUGCUAAAUUAAUCACUUAAAUCCAUCUGGGUCAUUUUAGAUUUUUCUUUUUUCAUUUUCUUCUUUUCUUGUAAUUAUCGUAUAGUCAACAUCACUUCAAUUUUCUUUCUUGUUUCAUGUUCUUCUUUAGGUUUCUUCAAAAAAAGAAUGUUCUUUCAUUUUCUAAGUGUUGAUUUUUAUAGCUUCUUCUUGAUUUUGCUUUUUUGAACUUUUAGGCAACUAUGAUGCAAAUUUUGUACCUUUUUUUUAUGUAUACUGUUUUUUUUUUUUUUNNNNNNNNNNNNNNNNNNNNNNNNNNNNNNNNNNNNNNNNNNNNNNUUUUUUUUGCAGUCUUUGUCAAUGGUUGGUGAUUGAUUUUCUUUCUUUGUGUUGCUUUACUGUUAUUGAAUGAAUGCUUUUAUAUAUUCUCUCUACCCUAGUUUAUCUGUUUUUUCCUUUUUAGUCAAUAUUAGGUUAUAUAAAGUCAAACAAGUUUUAAUUAUUUGUAUAUGGUUUCUUGUGGUAUGAUAAAAUUAAUGGUUUUGUCAUAAGUGGAUUAAGAAUAUGAUAUUUGUGUUGCUUUUGCUUAUUGUUGUUGUUGUUGUUGUACAUUAACUGAAUAGUACUUGCUUGCAUAUUACAGGGAGAAAAUUCAAUAUAUUUGUUCUUAUUUGUUGAACGGUUUACCUUGAUCUGUUUCUGAUUCAAUUCUGCGAAAAUGUUCAAUUCAAAGCAAUCUCCUGUGAAAGUUGGUAAGCACAACUCCGUUAGUCCUGUUAAUGAUGUUAAAACCUGGUCGAACCCGUUUGAUUCUGAUGACGAGGAAAAGGAUAACAAAAAGUAUAAUUCCUCAAAGAAGACUUCUUCAGAACGAGCAUUAGUUACUUUAGAAGUGAACACUAACCUAUUUGAUGACAUUGAUGACACUAAGAAAUCGUCAUCAUCUACGUAUGCCCAUCAGUCAGCAGACCGGAACAGUAAGAAAUCUUCAUCAUCUAUGUAUGCUGGUCAAUCAGUGGACCGGAACAGGUACAGGAAUAAUUUUCGGGAUUCUGGUGGAUUAGAGAAUCAAUCCGUACAGGAGUUGGAGAAUUAUGCUGUUUACAAGGCUGAGGAGACUACGAACUCGGUCCACAAUUGUUUGAAGAUAGCAGAGAAUAUAAGAGAGGAUGCUACCAAGACUUUAGUCACCCUUCAUCAUCAGGGUGAGCAAAUUACUAAGAGUCACCAAGUUGCUGCCGACAUUGAUCGAGAUUUAAGUCGGGUAUAAUCUUCUUAACAUACAUUUCUUCAACUUGCUCCUAUAUGGUGGUUUCUUCAUGUUGUUUUUACCUUUGCGAAAAAAAAUUGCGUCGCUUUUCAUAGCACUCUUGUAAUGAAACCCUUUCAAAUUGGUAUUGUGGACUAAGAGACAGUUUUGAUAAACUUCUCCACAAGCACUUAUGUAAAAAGAAAUAUGAUAUGAAUCUUGCAAUACUGUGAGUAUUUAAACAAUAGCUUCUCUUAUAAGUUUAUAACCACUUUUUCAUAAGUGAUUAUGAUUAUGAGCAAACCGAAGCUGUGCCUAAAAUUGACUAAAUUUUUUACUCUCUUAUAACCUGCUUCCAGGGAGAAAAGCUUUUGGGAAGUCUUGGUGGCCUCUUCUCCAAAACUUGGAAACCAAAGAAGACACGAACAAUAACAGGCCCUGUUAUUUUUGGAGGUUAAUAUUUUCUGUUUGUGUUUUCUUUUCCAAUUUUAAUUAUUUUGGGUUGUGUCAUUGACAUAAUGUGCCUCAUGUUAUGUAGAUGAUCCGGUUAGAAGAAAGGGAAACCACUUGGAACAGAGAGAGAAGUUGGGACUGACUUCUGCAUCCAAAGGGCAGUCCAAGCUGCGGACUCCACCUCGGGAACCAACAGCUGCACUAGAAAAAGUUGAGGUUCGUAUCAACUCGGUGAAAUAUUAAAUUGUUGCAUAAAGCCUGCUGAACUUGACAAAGCAUUAGUUUCUUUCUGAUAUAAGUCCAAUUCUGUUGGUUACUUUCUACAAUAAUUUUAACUCUAUUGAUCAAAUAACUAAUUUGCAUCAAAUCAGUUUUAUUCACUGCCAUUAAUAAUAUUGCAAACUCUCUUCAUCUUUCAUUUAUGAUUUUCCUCAUUACCUUUCACAAUAUUUAAUGUUGAUAAAUAAUUGAAAUGCUAAAUAAAAAUGUCCUGAAACAGUUUGAAAAAGAGAAGCAAGAUGAUGCACUGUCAAAUUUAAGUGAUCUAUUGGGAGAGCUUAAAGACAUGGCUGUUGACAUGGGAUCGGAAAUUGAAAGGUUUGCAAUCUAUUACUUUGUUUUAUCUUAAUCAAACUACAAAGUGAUGGUUGAUUUGGCAUCUGUGUCAAUCUUUGAGAAGGACUUUACUUGUUCUAAGGUUCUCAUAAUUAAUAAUUAUUUUGGUAAAUGUUGCAGGCACAACAAAGCCUUGAGUCAUCUAGAAGACGAUGUGGAUGAGUUGAAUUUCCGAGUGAAAGGUGCUAAUCAACGCGGUCGUCGUUUACUUGGAAAAUGAGAUUGAUUUUUUGACUUUUAAUCAUUGUUUUUUCAUAUUGUAAUGGAUCCAUCAUUUGGGUCAAAACAAUCUUUAGUGUACACUUACUGAAAUUUGAAUUUGCUACAGAUUAAAUUCACCUUUUGUGCAAUGCCACUUGCUCCUUUCAAUUUUCUUUUCAUCUUGUGACAAUAUUAGUAAGAAUUAACAAAAAAUGCUUUCUGUCCAAAGUCAUAUACAUAAGAGGCCAAAACUUUUCUUGCAUCUAUUUUUCAUUUACAGAUCUUAACUAUAUGCUUGAAAUAUUUAUCAACUAGUUAUUACAAAUGUGGUUGCAACUUUGAUGUGAAGAAAAGUAUACAGUUACUAUAUAAAAUUUCAAUGAGAUCUUACCUUAUAAAGUAUACAGUUACCAGGGCCGGCCCAAGGGCCAAGCUAACAAAGCUAGGGCUUUAGGCCCACGAUUGUUUUUUUAUCAAAGGAAAGAAAGCCCCCAAAAAAAAAAAUCUUGAAAGUAUUAAAUACAAUCUGCGCACGCGUGAAAAAGAAACCCUUUUUAGAAACUCUUGUUCUUCCCACAAUACAAUAGCUCGCCAACGUUACUUUGCAUCAAUUUAUUCCAAAAAUUUCUCCUAUCAUUUAAUUUCCCCUUUAAAAAGUGAGUUGUCUUUCAACUUUCACCAUAUUUCUAAUUUCUUCAAAUUUGCUUUAGGCCUGUAUAAUGUUGGGCCGGCCCUGACAGUUACUAUAUAAAAUUUCAAUGAGAUCUUCUGCAACAUUCAAGAAACCUUUUUUUUUUAAUUAAACUUUACUAUUUCCAAAACAAACUGGAGCAUCAAAGUUGGGGUAUACAAUAAAUGCAAUGGAUAAAGGAGCUAUAUGUAUAGGAGAAUGUACAUUAUUGAGUACUGGAUCCAAUCUAGGAAUUUCUCCAUCAUCUGUUAACUUUAGUGAUUUACCAUUCAGCAGCAUGGUUUUGCUUCUAAGGUAAUUAUUUUUUGUAGUUAAAUGGUACUCCUCCCUGAAAAUGACAUCUGAUCCUUUUGUUCCAACCCAAGAAAAUGCCCUCUUGAGAUGAUUAAUGAAUGAAUUAUCUACAUGGAUGCUACUUUUAGCAUCUUCAUUAGUGACAUUGGCGCGGCCAUGAACAUCGAGUAUGAAAUUAGUCUGGUUGCUUAAGUUGAUUAGCAAAAAUGUUACUCCAUCCUGCACAAUGAAUAUCAGCAUGCAGUUUUCUAUAUGAUCUCGUAUCAGCUGAAGUUUUGAAAAUUUAUAUGUCAAAUUAGCAAACUUACUCUGCCUUUUGAACAAUGAGCAUAAGUGCGUAAAAAUGGCGAAAAAACAUCACUAGAAACUGCAAGAACACUUUUCCCCAUGAGCUGAUGCCACAAAAGUGCACUGCUCAAAAAUCAAAUCAAAACAUAAGAUUAGCUAUAUUAAAAAAAGUUAGCAAUAUAUACUAUAAUUGUUGUAACCAUAACUAUUUGGCAAUUUGCAAUUUACACUUGCCUGUAGUAGUCAGGAUUGGGAGUGAAAGUGGUGGUAUUAAGAAGGCCAUAGUUUCCUCCAAUUAAGGUCUGCCUGCAAUAGACCUUAGUGUUGUAUUUGGAUGAAAUUCCAAGUUGAUCUAAGUACCUACAGUUAAUUUAAACUUCAGAAUUUUGAAUUUCAUAUCAAUAAUUUCUCUUUUGUUACAUGAAAUGAUGGAAGCAAUGGCCAAACAUUACCAAAAGCUAUUCACAAAUGUGUUAGAAACAUAACGACCGCCACUGUUGAAUGCUCCACCAGCUUCUCCAACCCAAGCAACCGACCAAGGACCGUGUUUCUGAAUGGUUUCUGACAGAUUGCCAAAAAUUGUUUCUACCUUGCUCAAGCGCGCUGGAUCUAGAAUCUUAUUUACAAGAUUCCCAUCACUACCUAAACAAAAACAAAUCAUUUAUACCUCUAAAAAAAUAUCCUAUCAAAUGUUAAAUAUCCUCAAGUAAUGACUAUAGUAUAAAGAACUAUGUAAACCUGCUCCCAAAUUAUAUACAUGAUGAGUCAUCACGUCGACAACGCCUGAACCUGAAACCUCUAGAAGUUUAUCAAACCAUUCCUUUUGAUAGAAUCCUCCAGGUGCUAUAAGUGAAGGUUUGAAGUUUGCAUUCUUGUAUAAUGUGUUUAAAUUUUGCUUAAGCUUUAUCAAAUCUUUCCCAUAUUGUACAGCACCAACACUUGCACCAAUGCCUUUACCACUCAACUCAUUACCUAUAUGACAGCAUGCAUAGAAUUAAGUUCCAAUGAAAUAUACUUGAUCAUAAGUCAUAACAAAUAGCUUUUCUUCUGUUUGUCUUACCAAAUUCCCAUGAAUCAAUUUUGUAUCCCUUUGAAAUAGUGUAAUUUAUUAAAUCAUAAGUAUUUGUAUUGUCCCAAUCUCCUCCCCAAACAUUAUGACUAAUCAGGUGCCUCCCAAGGAGUGCAUUCAAACCAAAAGUGAUCAUGGCCCUGCAAGUGAUUAACUCAAACUAAAGUUCCAGCAUAAAAAUUAUUUUUCUUUACAGUACUCGAUAUUGUAAGGAUUAAGCAAUUUAAUCUUUCAAAUUUAUGAAAUAGCACGUUAGUCCAUUAAAUAACAUCAAUCGAUUUAGUCCUUCCACCGAAAUAUGUUUUUAGACUUUAGUUAACAUCCAUCAAAGUCGAUGAAAGAUCUACAUAUUUAAUAGUCUAUUGCUGUAUCGAGACAAACAUAGAAUUUUUAAAACCGUGGUGCUAAAUUUGGAAAAAUGGCUUAAUUGACUAACGUCGUUCAACUUAAGAGAAGAAAUUGCUAUUUCGCAAAUUUAAAGAGCUAAAUUGACCAAUCUUUACAAUUUCAACUACUAAAAUGUUGAUUUAGUCAUUGUUCCUACCAUGCUACUAAGAGUGAUAGAAAGUGACUUUUAAUAAAUAGGAAAAUUCUCAAUUACCCUGUGUUGUUGAAAAAAUGAUUCAGCUCAUCCCACCUUUUCAUUUGUAAACAUCCCUUUGAAAAUCCAAACAAUCCACCUUUCAUCUUUUGAAAUGGUUGACAAGGGGACUUCAAAUUUCCUACCUCAUAGUACACUUGAUCUUGCAAUGAACCUCCAACUCUUAUCCUCAAAGGCUUCAGUGCUUGGAUUGCCUUUGCAAGGGUAGGAUUAGAUAAGUCCUGAAAAGCCAAUCCACAUUGAAAAUGUGCAAGGGAUAUAUAUGAGCUACGAAGCAAAGACACAAACACAAACACCAAACAUGACACUGGCACGUCAACAACACUGAUAAUAACUUAAGAAAUAAAUUAAUUAAAUGUAAUCACAUGUGUUGGUGUCAGACACCAGACACGCUUUAGAUCAGAAGUGUUGGUGCUUCAGAGUAUAUGAGUAACUAAAUAGUAAUACUAACCAAAUUCAGAACAGAUGUAUUGCCCCAGGGACAAUAAUUGUAGUCACACUUAUCAUGAGGCCACCAAUCAAUAGUAGCACAAAUGAAGUUAUCAUCAUUUUCAGCAAUUGCUUGAACUCCAUCUACUAUAACAGAACCAUGUUCAACAUCUUGAGUUAAUGUCAAACGAACCGAAGCGAGAAAGAGAAACAAGACGAGGUGAAAUCCCAUUAAUUAGUAGUAGAAGAUCAAUUGCAAUAGCAUCCAAGACCAACUCAACUUAUCAGAAUAAAUUUACUGCAAUGAAAAAGAUAAGAAGUGAAUACUACAUGAUUGCAAUCUUUAGCAUUAAACAUAUACUAUAAGUUGCAUUAAUUUAAGAGUUUAAUUUUGAUACAUUAUGAGAUCAUAUGUUGCAUGACUUUAAACGUAGUUAUGACUAAAAUCGGACAUUUUUAAUGAUCUGACGAUUAUCAUUGAUUAAGAAUGUAAAAUAAAAAGUUACAUUGAAAAGGUAUAGGAAUCCUAAAUGCUAAAUCUUGAGCUAUAAGCUAAACCAAAUAUUCCCAGAAGACAGGAAAAUGAAAAGCAAAAGGAAAAAAUUAAACUUGAAGAAACCCAGAUGAAGAAAUAAUGAAAAAACAACAACAUAACAUAAAAACCAACCUCGAUCUUGUUUCGAUCCACCACUAACGAAGAAGCUUAAGGCACGAAUAAUAACAAUUUUGUUACCUUAAUUGCCAAAAAAUGAGAAGUUUCUUUGCGUGUAAGUGACCCAGAAGAGAGGAUUUACAAUUGUGAAGCAACCACAUUGAGAAGGAAAGGAUCAAAGGACAAUGUUGAAAAAUUAAGAUGGGAUGAACCUGUCUCAGAUAAGGUUUAUGGCUUCAAGAAGACACCAAAAAACAAUAAACAUAAACAACUAUAAUGUAUGUUUGAUUUUGAUUCAGCUGAGGUUGUUUGUAUGUUGUGAUGAUGAGGUAGGUGGGUGUAGAUUCUUGCCUCCAAAUUAACCUUUCAAAUAUUAGGUGUCCUUUUGUUGGAGUUGUUCAACUAUAUACAUCAUUUUUGGUAAAACGCUAAAAUUAAAUUAACGCAGGAUCUUUCCAAACUAAACCAACUGUCGAUUCUCUUUUGUCUUUAUUUUUUUUAAUAUAAAUUUUGUAAACAUUUAUUUAUUUACUUUUCUUUUAAACCAAGUCUAGUGGGCUUUGCUUCACCGAAAUUUGAUGUAUUUACGGAAUAAAACUUGGUCUAUUAAUUGUCUUUCCUUUAAUAUUCAAAGGAUGAUUGUCACCCUAACCUCUUGUUUCUCAUCCCACUCAACUACCAACUCGAAAGAGAUACAUGUUAAAUGGAACAACAAUAACCACUCCGGUGUCAUUCUCAAUGUUGAUGGAAGUUGCCUCGGAUCACCUGCUAGAGCCGGCUUUGGAGGAGUUAUCAGAAAUGACUCAGGCUACUAUUUGUCAAGUUUCAUUCAGGGAUCCUCAGACAUAUUACUUGCAGAGUCUCACUUUGGCGAAAAAUAUGGCUAUUGAUAAGUUGGUUUGCUACUUUGAUUCCCUCCACUACAUCAACCUCAUAAAAGGUCCCAAUAUAAAUUAUCAUGUAUAUGUCGUGUUGAUUCAAGACAUCAAAGAACUGGUUUCUCAAAGUAACACUACUCUUUGUCACGCUCUCAGAGAGGGAAACAAUUGUGCAGAUUUCUUAGACUCUUCAGAUUCUGAUCUUACGACUCACGCAUUUCCCCCAGAAAGUCUCUUUGAUAUUCUUCGGAGCGACGCGGCUGAAACUUUCUACUUUGAGAAUAGUAUCUUUUUCUCUUUUUGUCUUUUUUUUUUAUUAGCCUUGUAAAAAAACCAAUAUUAAUGAUUAAAAUAUAAUACCAUAUUUUUCUAAGACUGCCCAUUUUAAACAGAACUAUGAGUCAAACAUAGAAAACCAAAACUAAAAGUACAGUAAAAAAUUGGAAAAGUCAUGUUAGAUGAAAACUCAUUUUCCAAUCCUUUAAUAUUUAGGAAAAUAAUUACUUGGAGAAUAAUUUUUAUUUAAUUUAAUAAUCCUUAUCACUGAAACAGAGUCAGAGAAAAAGACUAUUCUAAAUCAAAUUUAUUCAACACUCGAUAUAAUAAUAUUCAACUAUACAAUCAUUUAUGCGUAAAAAAAAAAAAAAACUAUACAAUCAUUAGUUGUAGGAUCCAGAAUUCCAGAUCUACUUUUAUUUUAUAGAUUUUUAAACACAUAAAAUAGAAUCAACAUUUUUUAUUACACAAAAAUCAAGAGUUUUUAAAAAAAUUAUAAAUUGACAAAAUCAACGGUUAAUAAUUCAUACCAAAUAAUAGUGUUUUCUUUUGAAGUAAAAUUAGCUCAUUUCAUUUCAUAAAAAGUACUAAUAGAAAAAAUACAACCAACAGGAUGAUAAAAGUUAUAGGAACUAAGUUUUAUUACAGAAGUUCUAUCAAGAUUAUGAGCAACUCUAUUGACUUAUCUCCGUAAAAUUAGGUUGUAAUUAACGUUAGAAUAAAUAAGAGUUUUUAGCUAAUUCUCAUACAUACGAUUACUAGUCACCGCAUUGACAACAAGUUGGCGAUCACUUUCAAACAUUCUCUCAAAGUUGCAAAACACAACAAGUAGAAAAGUGUGUUGAAGUGCAAUGGUUUCAAAUUCAAUCCGUGUAGCAACAGGGAAACACCAUCAUAUGAGCUUGAACGCGACCAAAAUUGUCUCGAAAACAAAUACCAAUACCGAAUUUUUCUUCGGUUGAGAAUAGAGCUCAUCAAUGUUUACUGUCUAUACUUGCACAAUGAAUAAUGUUGUAAGGGUCACGCUUGGAUAAUUGAAGAUGGGUGAAAUUAAGGUAUACAGCGUGGUGAUCACAAGGUAUAUCUCCGCACGCAACUGCAUGAACUAAUAUGUAAAACCAUGACCAGAUGGUUAAAUGAUACAAGUAUAUAUUGUUAAGAGUUCGACAUUGGUUCCACAAGUAUGACCAAAUUUUAACAAACAGAUUCAUGGUGGACCAGUGACAGAGCUAGAAAAAUUAGAGGCUAAGCAAAAUAUAUAAAUAGUCCAAUAAAGAAUCACAGUUUUAUCCUAAAUUAACCCUUAAUUUUUUUAUUUAUUUUUUUGCCAGAACCCGAACAACUGUCCAAACUUGUUAGGCCUUAACUCCGUCCAUGUGGUGGACCACACUAGUCCACCCUCUCUACUAUAACCACAAUUUGUACACCUAAAAAGUAGUUGAAUUAUAAAUUUGAUUUAGUCCACCUACUACUAGUAUACUAGUAGUACUUAACUUAUGAGUCACUUCUUUGAAGAAAAGAAAUAAUUAUGAGUCACUUGAAUUAAAAAAAAAUAAUAAAAAAAUUAACAAACUUGUGAGUCAAUGUGUGAGUGUGUAGAAGAGAGAUAUUCGGGUUCCAUUAUUUACUAUAACCAUAUGUUAGAAACUUGAAGGUUAAAGAUUUUAGUUGCUAACAAAAUACAAUAAUAGAGAAGUUUGUGUGAUGCAAGAUGGCAAAAGUGUUUAUUUUGGCAUUUCUACUUAUGUUGAUGUUGUCUCCAUCAAAUUCCUUAUCUACACCAAAUAAUUAUUGUACAUCAAUCAUAAAUGAUAUGGUGAUAGAGUGUCUACCAUAUUUUGUAGACCACAAUUCAUCACAAUCACAAGAUUCAUGUUGCUAUGCUGUUGCAUAUGUUGUAGCAACAGCUUCUAGUUGCAUUUGUGAUAUUCAAAUGAAAAUUAACAGUUUGUCAUUGGAUGUCUCAAAGACAAUGAAGUUGCCUUCUGUUUGUGGAGUAUCACUUCCUUGUGAAUGUAAAUAAUUAAUUCUUUUACUAUAUAUAUUUACUUCUUUUUUUUUAAUUAAGUUUUAUGAUUAUGUUUACAUUGAUUGAUACUAACAAUAUUAUUUUAUGUUCUUGUUGCAGUGCAUGUUAGUGCUGCUCUAUCCUCAGGUAUGUAAAUCAUGUUUUGGUUUUAUUUUUUGUGAGGAAUUAACCAUAUACAUUGGGUUGCUUAUAUGAACAUUUUUAAUUCUAUUUUUAAAAAUUAACAUUGUCUUUUUUAGCCUAUAUUUUUUGGAUUAUUAGAGAGAUAAACCAAAUCGAGUGAAAUGGUCAUUUAAACUAUUGAAUUUUUAGUAAAUGUAAAAUACAAUAGAAUUGGUUGUAAUUAACAUGAUGAUUAUCCAUUUUACUAUUUUACCCUUCCUUAAAUUUUAGAUGGUAAGAACUAAGAAUGUAUGGGAUGUAUAGCACUUUGUUUUUUCUUUUCAUUCCAUUUAUUGUUCAUUUUAUGAGUUUGACUUUGGAAGUUAAGGGAUAAUUCAAGGAAAAUGUGGUAUUAUUAUUAUUAACUUUUUUUUCUUCAAUUAGUCUAGUGGCUAGAUAUUCCAACUUUAAGUCUUUAAGAUGGAGAAGUGGUUUUAUCAAAAAAAGAAAGAUGAAUAAGUGGUAUGAUCGGAGUUUGAACUCUAGGCCCCUGUAUAUAUAAUGGAAUGUCCUCUGAAUAUAUAAUGUGUUAUUUUAUUUAAGUAUGUAAAAGAAUUAAAUAUGGUAAUAAUAUUUUAGAAGUUGUGUCCACAAUUUCAUAAAAGGUUAUAAUUUUUUUUUUCUUUUCAAUACAAUUUUUUUCUCUUUUAUCAUAAAUUUAUGUUUGUUAUGUGACAUUGUAGUUGAUCUUCGUGGACCAUAUGCUCUAGAGAAUUCGAUUUAAAGUCCAUUUCUAAAAAGUGAAAAGUUCAUCACAAUCUCUUUCACAACUUGUUAAGCUACUCAGCUAUGGUUCAAAUUCUCCAAUAAUGCUACAUUUAGCACCAGAGCCAGGCCAAAUCAAGAGUCAGAUGAUAGUUUUAUAAUUGUGACGCAAUUUAUGUUACUUGUUAGUUUAAUUUUUUUAAUAUUUUGUUAGAACUUGAAUCUUGGACCUCCAACUCAUUUUAACCGUUAUUAGUUAAGCUACUCAUCUCAUCCUAGUCAACCAUAGAUUAAACGCAAAUAAUCUCAUAGUAGACAUAGCAUUGUUAUUUAUGUAAUUGUUUUUGUAAGAAUUAUUUUGUAUGAGUAUUUGAGUAUUAAAUAACUUUUUAAUGUAUUUUGGGAACUCGAAUUUUGUAUACUACUUAUUAGUUAUGACCUAACUGGAGGUUCGUUCCUAAGCCACUAAAAUCUCAAAAACGGCGCCCCUAACGAUGGGUGGUGUGGAUAUAAAAGACACUAUGCUACCAAAGUUAGGUAGUGUGAUAUCAUAUAAAAAGUGAAAAAGCUGCUUCUAGAUCUUUAUUUUUUUUUUGAAGAAGCUAAAUUAGCCCACCCAAAUUGAUACUUCUAGAUCUUCAUGUCAAGGUGGGAUGUCAUAUGUGGUGAACUUUCGAAUUAUACAAUAUCAUUCUCAGACAUGGAUUGGGGCACCUCAAAUAUGAUCGAUAACAGGCCCGUUGUUAGACCUUUAUGACUGAACAUUAACAAUAUUUUUAUUUUGAAGAUAAAAAACUAACUCGUGCACGUUUAUAAAGAUACAUGAUAUGUGUGGAAAAAAAAAAUAAGAUAAUAGAUAAACUCGUGCGCGUAUGUGAAGAUAAAAUAUCAAUUUGAAAAAAGAAAAAAAAAAUAUAGAACAAAUUUGUGAUAAUUAAAUAAGAUAGAUGAAUUUGUCAUAAUAAAUAAAUAAAAGAAGAUCUUACAAAAAAGAUAAAUAAAUAAAAGAAGAUAUUACAAAAAAGAUUAAAAAAAAUAAAAUAAAAGAAGAUCUUAUUAUAUUAUUGUUUUAAAUUCCAUGAUUUUCGGAAGAUAUGAGUUUGUACGUUAAGUAAAUCAGUGAUUUCAAAAAACCCUAUAAAUUAAUAUCAAACCUCUUAAUUCUUCAUCACACAUCGUCCUUCAAAAACUUCCUCAUAUAUAUUGAAGAUCCAUAUACAUAUUGAUUAUUAUUUCAAUUCAUAAUAUAUAGAGAAGAGAAAGAUGGAAACCAAGACAUUAUUUCUACUUGUAUUGAUCAUGAUGACUUCGUUUCCAUUCAAUUCCGUCUCUGCAUCAUCACAUUGUAAAUUAUAUAUAUGCUUUUGCUGCAUCAAGUUUUCCAUUGUAUUUUUAUUGUUACAUAAACAUUGUUUUUUAGCCUAGAUUUGGAUUAUAAUUAUUGUAUUUAUUAUAUUCAAUUAGUUAUCAUGAAUUAAUACUAAUGUUUGUUAUGUGAUAUUGCAGCUAAUGAUGCACCUGAUGAUGGUUUAAAGAAUGUGACAACUUCAGCACAAUCUCCUUCACAAUCACAUAGCAGCUCAAAGCCACAACUUCAUUAUUCUCCGAAUUCACCUGCGUCAUUGACUGUUGAUAUCGUAUUAGGUUUUUGGGGUAGUAUGUUAUUACUAGUCAUACUCUUAGUUGGAGGCCUUCUUAUUGCUUUGUGCUACUUGUCGUUGAUCCUUACCUCUUUCUUUUUGAACGGUUUUCUUCUUCUCGUGGUGGUAACUUUGAAGAGUAGUUUGUUAGUUGUGUGCCUCUUCGUUUUCCUUGUAGUUUUAUUUGUUUUGUUUUCUUGUCUUAUCUUAGAGAUUUUUGGAUUUUUGUAAAGUGUACUUCUGAUUUUUUUUUUUUAUAAGCAUACUUCUGAUACCUCUUAUUUUUCCUGAAUUUUCUCCUGUAUCUUUUUUUUUAUGUUUAUAUAAUAUAAUAUAUUUGCUAUNNNNNNNNNNNNNNNNNNNNNNNNNNNNNNNNNNNNNAAAAACUAGUCAUAUACUCUUAGUGAUAUGAUAUGUGGACAAUAAGCCUAAUUAGUCGGUAGUGCUUACUUUGUCAACAAAUCUUUCUUGUGAUAAAAUUCCAGUCAUUUAUAUGGUAUUGCUAGAAAAAUGUUAAUUAGUGUUUUUGGAGUAGAAGUUAAAAGAAUUAAAUAUUUUACUCAUAUAGGUUUGUGUAUGCCUUCUCACAUUCACCACACCACAAGGCCAUUAAAAUUACUCAUAUAUUCAUACCUUAAACUAGAAUUAGAGAAUGGAUUCUGGAAACAAAAAGAAAUGAAUGGAGAAAAUUUGUUUUGGAUGGGCAAAUGAUGAUGCCUCACUACUAGAAAACUCGCCUUUAGCGACCAGCUAAAAUCAGCAUCAAUGACCUUGUUGUGACCAAGCCAGCGACCGAAUUAGCGACCGAUUUUAGAGACUGAGAUAGCGACUGAGUUUGCGAUGCACUAUGCGACGAAUUGUGUGACACUAUAGCGACUGAUAUAGUGACUGAUUUUAGCGGCUGAUUUAGUAACCGAUUUGAAAAUAACUUCACUGUUCAUUGCGACCGGAAUAGCGAUGCUGUGUGAAAAAUCCAGUCUCUGUAUUUUGGUCGCUAAUGAUUUUUUUAAUUAUUAUUAUAAUUAUUAUUAUUAUUAUUAAUUUACGAUCCCAGGAAAGCAAUUUUUUAAAUCUAAUUUAAUAUCUCAAACUAUUUCAUACACACCAAGCAAUUAAACACGCUCAAAAUUUGGUCUCUAAUUCGAUCUCUAUAGCGACCAAAUUAUUUCGGUCGCUAAAUCGGUCUCUAAAAGCGAAUUUUCUAGUAGUGUAUUGUGGUGUGGUGAAUGUGCAAUGAAUGGACUUAGAAAAUUUGUUUUGAACGUUGCUUGCUGUGACAUUAAUGUGCAAUGAAUGAAAUUUAGCUAAAUUCUUUAGUUAAAUUAUUAUAUUGAUUGUUGUAAUUUUGAGCUUAAUUAACUCGGUAAUUGGUAGUGAUGUAUUAUAUAUAUAGGCGUUGAAGUUCGAUUUUUGAAUACCCCAUUUAUUCACAUUAAGAUUGAAAUUUUUAGUCACUUAACCAAAAAAAUUAUAUUGUUUGUUGGAUAAUGAUAUCGAUAUCCAUAGGACAAGUUCAUUUAAAAUAUAAUUUUUAAAAUAUAAAUUAAUAUAAAAAUAUUACAUGACAAUAAAUUUUACUUACGGUAUAAGUUAGAUAUUAGAGUGUUCACAUAAAAUGUAAUCACACUUAAAGAUGUAUUAAAAUGACAAUUGUAACCAAACAACAAAAAAGAAAGUGGCGUGGGGAAGGUAUUGGUUCGGUAAUAAUGUUAGUAUCGUACUCGGAGAUGGGAAAGACAUAGGUUUUUGGAAUGAAAAAUGGAUUGGAAUGGAGCCUAUUUGUGACUUAUAUCCCGCUUUGAUCGUAAAAACAGUUCAGCAAAAUGCCAUUGUUUCGACCAUGGGGACAUGGGAUAAUAAUAUUUGGUCGUGGAAGCUUGAUUGGACAGACUUGCUUACCGAAACAGAAACUGUAGCAGCUGCAUAAUUAUUUUUAUUGUUGGAACAGGUGCAGCCUUGCAGGAACAUUGCUGAUAGACGCCGGUGGAUACCGAACACGGCGGGUUUUUUUCCAGUUCAAUCCGCUUAUGCGGUUCUGCUGAAUAGCGUUAACUUGGUGAAAAUUGAGCCAAAAACAAUGUCAACUUUGAAGGAUCUUUGGAAUAAUAAUGUUCCGACGAAAGUAAGCAUUUUUUGUUGGAGGUUGUUAUUAGAUAAAUUACCAACAAGGGAGGCUCUUUUCAAUAGAGGUAUUAUCACCAAUAAUCAUGAGAGGUGCUAUAUUUUUUGCUUUAGGAAGGUGGAGGACUCUCAACAUAUUUUUUUCAAUUGUCAAGUGACUCAACAACUGUGGCAUAACAUAUAUAGGUGGAUAUGGACAAAAAUUGCUUAUCCUUUGAAGAUAUUCCUCAACAUUUUAUUUUGUUUGGAGACAUUGCAAGAGUUAAACUUAGCAAAGGAUUCCGACAUAUUAUUUGGCUAGCGACGACAUGGAGCAUAUGGCGUAUGCGCUUCAAACUGCGACCGUAUCAGAUGGAAAACUGAUCGACUUAUGCACAUCCACAUGUAUAAUAUCAUUGUUAUGUUAAUUAAUUGAGUUUAAGGUUUGGGGUCUUCAAUUGUAAUGCUUGCCUCAGUUAUAGCUGACCAAUGAGUCCCGACCAUCACAAAUUGUCCCAUAUAUAUAAUCUCUCACGGAUUUGGAUUUGCUGCAGUGCAUUUUGCACGCAGUUUCACGCGGUUUUGGAUCUUGGCCGUUAGAUUAAAAUCAGACGGUCCAGAUUAUAUAUUACUAAAAUCAACUGUUUGUAAUCUGAACCAUUCAUUUAUGAUCGGACGGCUGAGAUUCAAAAUCGCGUGAAACUGCGUGAAAUGUUUACAGCAGGAUAUCCUGUUCCAUCUCUCACUGCCCACUCGUCUUGCCUUGUUCCACAUGAAAAUUGUCCCAUAUACUUGGAUUGAGGCAUCUAAAAUAUGAUCGAUAACAAACCCAUUGUUAGGCUGGGUGAUCAAUCCAAUGUGGGCUUCCUUGUUGGGUUGCCAGUGAAGUAAAUGGACAGUAACAACAUUUUAUUUUGAAAUAAAAUAAAUUUUUAUUUACAAAAUAAAUUAAUAACUAAAUUUAUUGAAAUAAACAAUUUUAAAUUCGAAUUAAGACUAAAUAUUUAAAUUUAUUCAUAAUUUGGUUGGAUAUAAUGAUAAUUUAAAUAGUAGUUUGUUGUGAUAUUUAUGCUAAAAAAAAAAGUUACUAUGUGCAUAAUAAAGAAAAUACAACAUUGUCCUCGCAAGUUUAACUCAAUUGGUAAGGACAUCGUAUUAUAUAUGGAGGAGUUGGAGUUCGAACCUUGGACAUCCCACAUAUUCAACAAAAUUAUUACUAGUAAAAAUAAAUAAUAAAUGACAAAAUUAAAGAAAUUCUUUAUCUUAUUUAUUUGUAAAAAAUUCGUCUUUAUCUUUUUUUCUUCUUCUCAAAUUGGUCUUUUAUAUGCACAAGUUAAUCUUUUAUCUUAUUUAUUUGUAACAUAUUCGUCUUUUAUCUUAUUUUUUCUCACACAUGUCAUGAAGACGAGGAGGAUGAACAAGAUAAACGUUCAUCGUCAUUUAUGAUUUAAUGAAAUGUUUCAAACCCUGCAUUAUGUUACCAAUGAAUAAGAUAAAAGAUUAACUCGUGCAUGUUUAUAAAGAUAAAUUAUAUGUGUGAAGAAGAAAAAAAAAAGAUGAUGGAUAAACUUGUGCGCGUUUGUGAAGAUAAAAUAUCAAUUUUAAAAUAAGAUAAAAAAACAAAUUUGUUACCAAUAAAUAAGAUAAAUGACUUUGCCAUAAUAAAUAAAUAAAAGAAGAUAUACUACACUAUUGAUUUAAAUUCCAUGAUUUUCGGAAAAGAUAAAAGUUUGUUAAGUAAUUCCAUAAUUUCAAAAAAAAAAAAAAAAAACCCUAUAAAUAUCAAACCCCUUAAUUCUUCAUCACAUUCACACACCAUCUUUCAAAAUAUUCCUCAUAUUGAAGAUCCACACACAUACGUAUAGAGAAGAGAAUAUGGAGAAAGUGUCAAAUGUUGCUUUUCCAUUAUUUCUACUUGUAUUGAUCAUGUUUCCAUUAAACUCUGUCUCUGUAUCAUUACAAUAUUGUAGACCAAUAAUAAUUGAUGUGUUGAUGCUGUGUCAACCAUAUUUUAUGGCGGAUCACAAUUACGUCGACUAUGUAUCGUUACCAUGUUGUUCUACUACUAAAGCUCUUGUAGCAUUCAAUUGCGGUUGCAUUUGCGAUAUUCAAAUGGAAAUUCAAAAUUUACCACCAUUUAAUGUCACCAAGAUGUUCAACUUGCCUACUCUUUGUGGAGUAUCACUCCCUUGUCACCGUAAAUACUCUCUUGUUGUCUGUCUACCUUUUAUUCAUACUCUCUUUUGUUUUCAACACUAUUCUAUUAUGUUUACAUUGUUUAUAAAUACUAAUUAUAUAUAUGAUUAUUUCAUGUUGAUGAUGCAGUUUCUGAGUCACAUGGUAUAAAGAAUUUGACCGUAAAUUCAGCACAGUCUCCUUCAGAAUCAAAUAGUAGCUCAAAGCCACAACAUCAUUCUUCUCCAAAUUCACCUUCGGUAAUGACUGUUGUAGAGUUAGGUGAUCACAUAUUAGAUAUUUGCGCUAUUAUGUUAUUACUAGUCAUAAUCUUAGUGAUAGCCCAAUGAUCAACUAUGCUAUUACCUUUCAAUUCCACCUAAACUAAAUGAUUCUUAUAAUUUUGACUUAGAGAAUUAUUUAAUGGACUUAGAAAAUUUGUUUUGGAUGCAUAUAUCAUAUAUGGUCAAAUGAUGAUGUCUUGUGGUGUGGUGAGUAGCUAGGACUUCUUUUUGUUCUAUUUUUUUUUUGCCAAUUUUUUUUUGGUAAGGAACACAACUAAUAAUAUUUUGAUGGUGUUAGUAAAAUUAAUUAAAUGGGAGUAAAAAGGCGCUGAAUGUUGCUGUGGUAAUGUGGAACGAUUAAUGGAAUUUAAUCACAAUUGUUACCAACCAAAAAAUGUGAUGUGAGUAGUAUAAUUAACUUUUUUUUUGGUACUAAUUUUUUAUUAUAAAAAAAAAACUUUUGAAGUGGAAUAAUUUAAUUGUAUUUCUAUUCAAAACCAAAUGAGUAUUAAAACUAUAUGAAUAUUGGACUUAACCAAUACCUACACUAUUUGCUAUUGGACUUAACUAAUAACACUAUAUGAAUAUGAAUAAUUUAAAAAAGAGCUAAAAUUACUUUGGCUUGAUGUCAACGAGGCAGUGGUGGGAAAUACUUUCCUACUUCUUUGCCAAGCACAGGUAGUCGUACUUUGGCAUCACAUGAAAAUUAUGACAAUUUGAUUGUGCUGUAACGGAAAUGAAGCAUCAACAUUGCAUUUAUAUAUCCUCUUCUUCUUCUCUUGUUGGAUCUCGAACUGAGUACCUUUUAGUUGAAGAACAAAUCAUCAACAAAGUGACUUCUCAGAAAACAGACACAUCAUUUUUUUUGUUGCGCUAAUCCUGAUGUAUUAGAAUGUCAGGAAAAAUAAUAAUUAUCUUGUCAAUUUGCAAAAAAUGGAUUCAAUCACAAAAUCUGAUUACCUUUACUAAUCAACAUAAUACUGAAAAAUUGAUAACCUAUCUCGUCCUAAAAAAGAAUUUGAGUUGAUCUUGAAGUCGUCAAUUUGAGAGAUAGCGCAACCCUAAUGAUUGUGGGUUAAGAAAAAAAAAAUGUAAAUUCUAAUUUUGGUUUUUGUCAAUUCAUUUGAACCUAAUUUCUUAUUUGGAGUUGCAAUUCCUUCCGUCCUUCUUUUCCACUUGUUUCUUUCUCUCCCACUAAAUUUUGUUGUAAUGAAAAUGAAGUAUCAACAUUGCAUUUAUAUCUACCCACUGUUGGUAUUUUCCAUAGCAUAUCAACCUACAUAUCGUCAUUGUUUCGCUGCGUUGAACAUGAUGCAUUAGCAUGUUAAGAAACAAUAUAAUUAUCUUGUCAACUUGCAAAAAAUGAUAUCAAUAAAGAAAUCCGAUCACCAUCACUAACCAAAAUGGUACUGAGAAAAUUGACAACUCGAUUUUCCUAAAAAAAAAACGAAUUAAUUUUUGAAUUCGAUUUAAGAGAUGGUACGGUCUUAAUUAUUGUGGGUUAAAAAAAAUGUAAUUGUUAUAUUUUCUAGUUAAUUCUUAAUUUAUUUUUUGAGUAAUCAGUCAAUUUAGUCCCUAAACUAUUACUCUCUCACCAAUUUAGUCCCUAAACUAUUAAAACCAACUAAAAGGUCCCUAAACUAUAUUCACAUCCUUCAAUUUAGUCCCUAAACUAUUUUUCAUCCAUCAAUUUAGUNNNNNNNNNNNNNNNNNNNNNNNNNNNNNNNNNNNNNNNNNNNNNNNNNNNNNNNNNNNNNNNNNNNNNCUCUCUUCUCGACCAACUCUCUCAAAUCAUCUCAAUCUGAAAACCCUAGAGCCACCUAUACGCUCCAAUUCCGGUUGUCGUCGUUGUUUUAAGGUACAUUUUUCACUGUUUUUCGUUCUAACUUUUAUAAAUUUGAAAGGGUUUAUUCUCACUUGUUAAUUUUCAGGAAUGAAAUUUGUGUUUUUUAGUGCAAUGAACCAUGUUAUUUUAGCUUGAACCAAAUUUGUUUUAGCGUGAACCAUGUUGUUGUUGCUUCCUUUUUGGCGUAUUCAUGUUGCUGCUAUUUUGAAGCUUUUGUAUCUCUUAUAUUAUUACCAUCUAUAUUAUUGUUUAUGUUGCUUUGUGGUCCUAAUUUGUUUAAGUAUUAUAGUGGUCCUAAUUUGUUUCUUUUUUAUGCAAUUGCCUCUCUAUAGUGGUCCUAUUGUGGUCCUUGUUUUGUCUCCUCAAUGUUUUCUCAAUUUGUGCUCCUUGUUAAUACUAUACAUUAUAUUAUAUUAGAUGGCUGAAAGUGAUGAUGAUACAAGUGAUGGAGGAAGGUUCNNNNNNNNNNNNNNNNNNNNNNNNNNNNNNNNNNNNCUUAGAGGGCCUAUUAGUUCAUCUGAUGAAGAGAAUGAAUCAGUGAGAGUUAUAUAUCCACAAUUCAAUGCUGAAGCUCAAUUUGGGGAAGUUAGGUUGGCUGUAGAGAUGGAAUUUGCAACUUUGGCUGAAUUUAAAAAAGCUGUGAAAGACUAUACCAUCCAUAUUGGAAGACAAAUCAAAUGGAUAAAGAAUGACAAGGUAAGAGCAAGAGCAAAAUGUGUGUUUGNNNNNNNNNNNNNNNNNNNNNNNNNNNNNNNNAGCAUUGCAAAUGGGAGAUACUUUGUUCGCGUAGUAGUAUAACAAAUAGCUUUCAAAUCAAGACUUUUGAAAAUACAACUCACUCAUGCCCAGGAACAUUCACGAAUAGUCAGGCCGAUAGAAAGUGGGUUAUUGAGAAGUUGGAAUUGAGAUUGAGACAACAGCCGUCUCUUAGCCAUAGUGAGGCUUAUUACUUGAUGAAAGAGGAUUAUAAUCUACAUUUGGAGGAUAGUAUGAUUUAUAGANNNNNNNNNNNNNNNNNNNNNNNNNNNNNNNNNNNNNNNNNNNNNNNNNNNNNNNNNNNNNNNNNNNNNNNNNNNNNNNNNNNNNNNNNNAUUUAGCAGUAAUGAUUUAGCAGUGUUGUUACUAUUUUGUUGUUUUUUAAGAUAGUUUAGGGACUAAAUUGAAGUAUUUUUUAUAGUUUAGGGACUACUAACAGUCACUUAACGGAAAAGUUAAUCGAGGAACUAAAUUGAAGGAUGUGAAUAUAGUUUAGGGACCUUUUAGUUGGUUUUAAUAGUUUAGGGACUAAAUUGAAGGAUGUGAAUAUAGUUUAGGGACCUUUUAGUUGGUUUUAAUAGUUUAGGGACUAAGUUGGUGAGAGAGUGAUAGUUUAGGGACUAAAUUGACUGAUUACUCUUAUUUUUUUUUCAAUUCAAUUGAACUAAAUAAAUUCUUAAUUGGAGUUGCAAUUCCUUCCCUCCUCUUUCUUUUCCACUCCAUUUCUUUCUUUCCCAAAUAUUACUUUCAAAACCCUAAAAAACCACAACCCCUUUUCUUCCUCAUUUCCCUUCAAAUUCCACCCACACUUUUCCCUCUCAUUUUCCACCGCUUCCGAAUUCAUUUCCUUUUCCUUCAAAUCUUGUUACCAAUAUUUUGAUUUGCUUUUGAAAUUCGUUCCCAAUAUUUUGAGUUCCCAAUUGAAAAAUCGUUCAGUUAUCACUAUUUUCAAUAACUUUGUUCGUAUUGUUUCAUCUUUAUGUCAAUUUUGAUACAAUCUUAACUUCUUUAACGUGAAUCACUAUCUGCAUUUGUGGUUUUGUGAUGGAGGACAGUGAAGCAGUUGAUGAUCAGAACUCAGGAUGGUUCCAAGUCAAAAAGGUUUUUUUUUUUUCUUUUAAAUUUUCAUUUUUUAUUAUUUUUUAAAAUUUUUCAACUUGGGUUCAUACAAUCUAUUGUGAAUUCGUUGUUGUUAUUGCUUUGCCUAUUGAAGACAGAUAAAGAAAAAAUGAAGAUUUUUUAUACAGUUUUUAAGACUAGUUUGUAAUUUUGUUGUGGCAAAUGCUAAUUAUUGUGUAUUUUAUUUUUAUCCAUAUUUUGAUAUAUAGUAAUCGAGUUUCGCAUUAAUGAUUAGUUCUUUUUGUUAUGGAUUGUUAUACAAGUGUUAGUUGCACUCUCUAAUUUUGUUGUUUCAAUGUUUUCCAGAAGCAUAGGAAUGUUUCAAAAUUCUCUUUGCAAAGUUGGAUGGGAGGAUUUUCGGGAAAAAAUGCUUCUAGCUCUCAACGCAAACAGCAAUCCGUGGUUAAAAAGGAAGUCAAUUCACAUGGCAAACAGAAAACUCAUGGUUCUAGGUCAGGGGAGAAUUUUUUACAAAGCCCUGUCCCUGCGAGUGUUGCGAGUUCCCUUUCUGUGUCAAAGGAAGAAGUGGCCACAAGCUCUGUUAAUACAAGCGUGGUUAGGCCAAAAAAUGAAAUUCAGAAGUCGGAACUGGAACCGCUAAUUAGCACGGAUUCUCAAGGUAAACAUGAGGAUGCUAAGAAGUUAGACCAUACAGAUAAGACUGACGUAGCCCAGAAGCCAAAAUGGGGUGACAUAGAGGAAGGGUGCUUGGCACUGCCGCCGCAUGAAAACUUGAUUGGAGUUGGAAUUAAGUUUGGUAGUAUUGGAGAUGAUAGUUUGCCUAGCUGUAGAAAGCAGGAGAGUACUUCUAAUCAAGUGGAUUCAUAUCAUGCCCAAGAAAAAGACUCGACUGCAUCAUCUAUUGGUGCAGAGACCGUUUCCGACCAGAACUCUUCGCUUAGAUGUGAGGAUGAAAUAUUGGGAGAGAAUAGUAAAGGUGUUAAGAAUAUAUCUCUGGAGCAUUCUAACAUUCAAGAAGUGAAUGAGGAAAAUAUUGGUCCAGAAGAUGAUACAUUACAUUGUGAUAAUAAAAAUGAAGAAGCAAAUGAAGCAGCAACCGAUUGUGGUGUUAAUGAUGAACACUUGUCCGCCAAUGAUGUUGCAAAUCAAGCGCAUAGCCUUAUCAAUGUGGCAACUGAUAUCACAAAUAUGGAAAUGGCAGAACAAAAUUGCAGCUUAAGGAAAGUAGUACCUUCCUCACAAGUGCUUGAAGUUUUCAGUGAAUCCACUUCUGUCGAAGAGGUUAAGGAUCAACCAGAUGGUAAUGUGGAAAACGUUGCUUCAGGAUCACAUAAUAUGGAUGCUCUAGAAGAAGGUGAUUCAAAUGAAAGCAAAGAAAGGUUUAGACAGAGGCUUUGGUGCUUUCUAUUUGAGAAUCUUAAUAGGUCUGUAGAUGAACUGUAUCUUCUUUGUGAACUAGAAUGUGAUUUGGAGCAGAUGAAAGAGGCAAUUCUUGUUCUUCAGGAGUCUGCAUCUGAUUUUCAAGAGCUAAUCGCUAGAGUUGAGGAAUUUGAAAAGGUUAAAAAGUCUUCUCAAGUAAUUGACGGAGUUCCUGUCAUUUUGAAGAGUGAUCAUCGCAGGCCACAUGCUCUCUCAUGGGAGGUAUGAUUGCUAUUUGUCUACGUCCUUUCAUUCUUCAUAUUAAUAUCUCGUGGCUUCAGUAUACCACUAUCUGCCUUUCAUGGAUUUUAUAUAUUGUACCUGACAUCACCUUGAUAAGGGAAAAAGAAUUUAUUCGCUAAUAAUCAUGUAUAAGUGAAUGCUUAUUGGAAGUUUCUUUCUACGUUUUAUGAUAGGUUAUGCAUAUGUUAGGAUCAAAUCAAAUGUGAACUUAUUAAUCUAACACUUUGAACAAGAUCUCACGGUCUUACCCACCAUCGGGUAUUAUUUGUUUCCCGUACAGUCUUCUGACUUCACAUAUGAGAUUAUGAAUAUUGUAUAUUAGGAAUCUGCACAAUGCUCUCAUAUGCUAAAUUUGUUCAGUUGCUCUGGUUUUAGGUCCGGCGGAUGACAACAUCACCGCAUAGGGCAGAUAUACUAUCUUCAUCUCUUGAGGCUUUUAGGAAGAUUCAACAAGAGCGUGCUAGCUUGCAGUCAAGUAAUAACACAGAAAGUUCCAUGUCUAAAUGUUUGACUUCUGAAUCUGUUGGCAAUGGAAAAAUAUCUCGGGUCAGUGAUGGAACACACAAUGCCAAAGAACCAGCAAAGAAGUCAAGAAAGUAUAUUUCAUCUUCUGAUGCUAUCACAAUGCAAAGUGGAUGCGACACACAAAAAAGCAUAUUAACUUCAGAAGUUAAUUUAUCAAAAUUACCUCUCUUGGAAAGUUCUGCUUCUUUUGCCACUACCAAGGGUAAAAGGGACCACCUUGGAUCUGGAGCUGACAAGCUGCCUCCUAAGAAAGAUAAAGCACCUCCAGAAGUUUUUAAUGAGAAGAACCCCAGAUCCACAGAUAACCUUAGGAGGCAAAUGCUGCUGUCUGAAAAGGAAAGAGAAAGGAGGAGUUCUGCACCAGGAAAAUCCUUGAAUGCUUGGAAGGAGAAGAGGAACUGGGAGGACAUACUUUCAUCUCCAUUUCGUGUUUCUUCCCGCAUGUCACAUUCACCAAGCCUCAGCAGGAAAAGUGCUGAGCGUGUACGUACACUGCAUGAUAAACUAAUGUCUCCUGAAAAGAAGAAGAAAACAACUUCCGACUUAAAAAAGGAAGCUGAAGAAAAGCAUGCCCGGGCUAUGAGAAUCAGAAGUGAGUUAGAGAAUGAGAGAGUCCAAAAGCUUCAACGUACGUCUCAAAAAUUAAAUCGCGUCACUGAGUGGCAUGCUGUUCGUCAUAUGAAGUUACGAGAGGGCAUGUAUGCCCGGCAUCAACGGAGUGAAUCUCGGCAUGAAGCUUUUAUAGCUCAAGUAGCAAAGAGAGCUGGUGAUGAAAGUAGCAAGGUAAAUGAGAUUCGAUUUAUUACUUCCUUAAACGAUGAAAAUAAAAAAUUGAUAUUGCGUCAGAAGCUCCAUGAGUCAGAGUUGAGAAGAGCUGAAAAGCUUCAGGUGAUAAAAUCUAAGCAAAAGGAGGAUCUGGCAAGGGAAGAAGCUGUUCUGGAACGCCGGAAACUCAUUGAGGCUGAAAAGUUACAGCGUCUUGCUGAGAUACAACGGAAAAAGGAGGAGGCUCAAGUCAGAAGGGAAGAAGAAAGAAAAGCAUCAAGUGCAGCACGGGAGGCAAGAGCAAUUGAACAACUUCGAAGAAAGGAAGAAAGAGCCAAAGCACAACAAGAAGAGGCUGAACUUUUGGCACAAAAAUUGGCAGAAAGACUUAAUGAGAGUGAACAACGUCGCAAGAUUUAUCUGGAGCAAAUUCGGGAGAGAGCAAAUUUGAGGGACCAGUCAUCCCCUUUGCCGCGUCGAUCACUAAAUAAAGAGGGACAAGGCAGGUCUACACCUACGAACAGCAGCGAUGAUCCUCAGACAAACAUUGCCUCUGGAAUAGGUUGUAGUCUUGGAAUUGGCAAUAUCGCAUCACAACCCUCAAUAAAGAGAAGAAUUAAGAAAAUUCGACAAAGGCUUAUGGCUUUAAAGUUUGAGUUUGUUGAGCCCCCUCUUGGUGGGGAAAGUGCUGGCAUUGGAUAUAGAGUAGCGGUGGGUGCUGCCAGGGCAAAAGUUGGCAGGUGGCUUCAAGAACUUCAAAGACUUCGGCAAGCAAGAAAAGAAGGGGCCACAAGUAUAGGACUGAUAAUUUCUGAAAUGAUCAAGGUAUGUCUUUGUUUUGUUUAGUAUGAAAUUAUAGAUCAAUAAUUCUAUGGACGACUGUCCCACCAACUCCUUGUUUCUGACAACCAGAUUCCAACUUCUUAGGGCAUAUUUACAGUUUAAAUGUGCAUGUUGCCUCUUCAUAUUGUGGAAUUUGGGUGGGGGUAAUAAUGAUUUUUUUUAAUUGCUUUAGUUAUUUUAGCAUGUCAGCUGUACUUAUUAUUAUUUGUAGUAUUUGGAGGGAAAGGACCCUGAGUUGCAAGCAUCUCGACAAGCUGGACUACUUGAUUUUAUUGCUUCUGCCCUGCCAGCUUCUCACACAUCCAAACCUGAAGCAUGCCUGGUUACAUUGCACCUGUUAAAACUUCUGAGAGUUGUACUAUCUGCACCUGCAAAUAGGAGUUAUUUCAUUGCACAGAAUCUUCUGCCCCCAAUCAUCCCGAUGCUUUCAGCAGCUCUUGAGAACUACAUAAAGAUCGCAGCAUCUUUAAGUACUCCUGGCAAUGUCAGUUUGCCCUCAACUAAAGCAUCAGCUGAGAACUUUGAAUCAAUUUCUGAAAUAUUAAUUAAUUUUUUGUGGACUGUUACUGCUAUUUUUGGCCAUAUAAGCUCAGAAGCAAGGCAACUUCAGAUGCGUGAUGGUUUGCUGGAGUUAUUGAUUUCCUAUCAAGUGAUUCAUCGGUUGAGAGAUCUUUUUGCACUUCAUGAUAGGCCUCAGAUGGAAGGAUCAGCAUUUCCUGCCUCUAUUGUCUUAAGCAUACAUCUUUUGACGGUUUUGACUUCCAGACCUGGUAAAUUAAGUUAUAUUGACUGGGAAUCUUCCCCUGUGGCAAUGGAGCAGGAAAUCAGCUCUGAAGGGGCUAAGUUUGCAAAUUCCAUACUCUCUGUAGGUCAGAACUCCUGGGGAGAUUACAAUCCCUUAUCGGUGAUCAAUGGGGGCUCAGCUAUGCAUUUGCCUGAUGUCCCUGAGGACAGACCACUGGAUGAAAUAAGUAAGGUGAAUAGGAAUGAAGAAUCAGUUGCUAUUGGCAAGGACUGUGAAUUGGAGCAUGAAAGUUCUGUUAAAUUGAAAAACAAUGAUAUGGAGAAGAUCACUAAUCAAGAUGAAUCCAAGAAAAACCAGAAUGAUAUUGCGACUUCUGCUAUUCCUCAGAGAGAUGAAAAACAUACAGCGCAGAAAAAUGAAAAAGAAUCAAUUUUGGCUCAGCCAGUGGUAUUCCUUCUUUCGGCUGUUUCUGAAACAGGACUUGUCAGCCUCCCUUCUCUUUUGACUGCUGUUCUUCUGCAGGCAAACAAUAGAUCAUCCUCUGAACAGGUAAAUUUUCUGCAACAUGCAAAAUCAUUUUUACUAGUAAUAAUUUAUCCCAGAAGUCUUUAUUAUGAAAACUCAUUAGAUUUCUGAUAUGUCCAUUAUUCCAUGUAUUUUAUUAUUCCCUUUUCAUUUUCUAGAAGGUACUACCUUCAUCCCUAAAUAUAAGAUCCUCUUGAAUAUUUUUUCAAAUUUUCAACUGGAUUAAUUAUUUAUUUAUCAACAUACUCCUAAUUAUGUUACUUCUUUUUCGGCAACUAGUUAUAAAUACUAUAAUGGAAUCAUAAAUUACUUCUCUCUCAUGAUUCACGAAGAGUAAAGUUGUAAAACAAUAUCAAAAUUUAAUGUUACUAUCAACUUUCUUAAUUUCCGUGAUUAAGUCAAACGAGGUCCUAUAUUUAGGGAUGAAGGUAGUAAUUUACUUCCAUGAUGAUGUGGAUCUAGGCCAUGUAAUAGUUACUAAUUAGUAAUUACUUAUUAUCCUUGUGUCUCCUGGUAAUAUAUAUGUUUUUUUUUAAGUUAUUUGAAGUUAAAUGAUUUCAUUUUCUUCUAGGCAAACUUUAUUCUGCCAUCUAAUUUUGAAGAGGUGGCAACUGGAGUAUUGAAGGUAUUGAAUAACGUGUCUCUUUUGGAUCUUGCAUUUUUGCAGCGAAUGCUGGUAAGUUUGCUGAUUCCACUUAUAAUAAUAAUAAUAAUAAUAAUAAUAAUAAUAAUAAUAAUAAUAAUAAUAAUAAUAAUAGUAAUAAUAAUAAUAAUAAUAAUAAUAAUAAUAAUAAUAAUAAUAGUAAUCUAUAUUUAAAAAACUGUAUGUUAAGCUAAAGAAAGCUUAGAUAUUUAAAUUUGAUUUUGUAUAUUAGAUUAUAUUUACUCUCUCUCCUGGUGCUGGUUAUUGCUGAUAUUUUCCUGUGUUCCUUUUGCUGUUUUGCUUAUAGGCUAUGCCAGAUCUGAAAAUGGAAAUUUUCCAUUUGAUGAGCUUCCUUCUUUCUCAUUGUGCCAGCAGGUGGAAAGCUCCUUAUGAUCAGGUGAAUCAUCAACUACUCAAAAAUAAAAAGAUCAUUAGUACUUUUUACGAUCAAAAGACUUAUGUUGGCUUUCGUAACCCUGGCUUGCCUAACUCUAGAACCUUCUAAAAUGAAAUCUCUUUGACCUGUGUAUUCAUUGUUAACGGAUAGUAAACAUAGGAAGUGUUACUCAUUUGUAGUCAAGGUGUUCUACCCCAAACUUAAAGGGUAAAUCAUACCAAACUCUAGAGAGUUGAUAAAAUUGCAUUAAUAUCCCUUCUGUUUUCUGAAAUUACAACCACGUCCUUUGUUUAGAAGUUCCACCCGACUAAUUCAAGAGGAUACAUGCAAUUUUCAAAACUAAAGGAAUAGAGGGUGAGGUCUGAAUGAUUUCAUCUAACCUCAUUGGAGGUCAACAUUAUUUUCCAAACAAUGAGUGCUUUGAUUUAUAAGUAUUUAUAGCACAGGCACACCUGACAUUAUUCUUCAUGACAUGUUAGUAUCUAGACGCCUGCAGUGAAUGUGUCAGGGUACGUAGCUAUAGUAAGUUUAAUGCUACAAUCUGCAUUUCUUUUCCAGGUUGGCUCGCUUAUGCUUGAAUCACUAUCCCUUCUUGGUCACUUUGCAUUGUUUCAUCCUGGAAAUCAAGCUGUCCUUCGAUGGGGAAAGAGUCCCACACCCACCAUCCUCCACAAGGUCAAUAUUUAAGAAAUUCUGGUUUUUUUAGUCAAUUUUUGUUAAGAUAAUCUAAUGCUCAGUUGUAAAAAUACAGGUAUGCGAUCUGCCAUUUGUUUUCUUCAGUGACCCAGAGUUGAUGCCAAUAUUGGCUGGCACAUUGGUUGCGGCAUGCUAUGGGUGCGAACAGAACAAGUUCAUGGUUCAGCAAGAACUAAGUGUUGAUAUGCUACUUUCCUUGCUAAGAUCUUGCAGAAAUGCUGCACCUGCAACUCAGUUUAAUUCAAACUUAGACAAUAUCCCAACAGAUGAAUCUAGUGGGAGUAAUCAAUCAGGUAUAGUAAAACACAGUCGUUCCAAUGGCAAAGGUACUAGGGCUUCCUUGGGAAAGAACGGUGCUUUGGGAAAUGGCGUGAAAAGUAGCAGGACAAGAAGCCUGCGGGACGGCAAGGCAACUAAGAAUUCAGACGAAGCAGUUCCUAAGUACAAACAAUUUAGUUCAGAGACGUCACAUUCAAUGUUGCACUGUAGAUUUCCUCACAGUUUCCUUGAUAAAGUAGAGCAGUUCUUUUCAGCUGAUAUUGCCAGCGAGGUUGAUGAAGUCUGACUUUUAAGUUUUGCGAAUUCAUUUUGACAUGCAUAUACAACAGCAAAUGAACAUAGAUAAAGCUGACGAAGCUCUGAAGACAUUAACCUGUCCGAGUAAUAAUAUAGUAACAUAUACCAAAGCUUGGGAAAUACACACAGUACGGGUUUAGCAAGUUUGUAAUAUAUAAAAAUAAUGUAUUAGUGGCCAUUAUAUGGUAGUAUGGAGUUUAGUUAGCACAACUCCAGCUAUUGAUUUAUUUCUCAUAUGGACUUCAAUCUUUACACGAUGAAUUUCACAAUUAAUAUAAAACAGUUGAAAAAUUGUAGUCUUUCACGGCAUAGCUAUGAAAUCAAUGGCUAGAUAACUUGUGUAUCAGCCAGCCUGUGAUGAGUACCAUUAUACCUUUCCAUUAUAAGACUUUGUAAUAUUACGGCUUCUUUUUCAUGAUUAUGACUUUGUAAUAUUAAUGAUGACAAUAUGAUAAUCAAAUACUUGAUUGAUUAACUAUAUACUUCAUAUUACCUGAAUGACGAUUAAUUUAGGCCUUAAAACAAACUGAUGGUGGGACUAAAGCUUCUAGAACCAGAGAUGCAAAGAUGAUGUGAAUGAAAUCUAUGUUGAUAAAGGAAAGAAAAGAAGCUGUUCAGGAAACCCAGAAAAUCUUCAGGUGAUGAAAUUGAAAUCUAUGAUAAAGAAUUAUUUAAUAUAUUGAACAUAUAUCACUUGUCACAAUAAAAUUAAACAUACAAUAACAAUUGUUUUUUUCAAUUUCAUAUUCUGAUGUCAAUCAGAAGAUUNNNNNNNNNNNNNNNNNNNNNNNNNNNNNNNNNNNNNNNNNNNNNNNGUUGAAGAUUUUGAGUAUUAUGUAGUUUCUAAUCUUCUAUUCCUGAGUGUUAAUUUUGUGAUCCCCAAGUUUGUGGUUGAUCCUCUUAGAAGAGAGAAUACUUUAUAUAUAGAGAGAAUGAUGGGACUGCUAGUGAAUACUGAGAAUGUCACUUCAAUAUAAGUGCAACUCAAUUUCAAUUAUUAUUAUUAUUAUUAUUAUUAUUAUUAUUAUUAUUAUUAUUAUUAUUAUUAUUAUUAUAAUAAUACAGUACUUUUUCUUCCAACAUGACAAUAUCAGCAAGAGAAAUUCUUGUGUGAGUCCUCACCUAAGCAUUAAUGGUUAAUGCAAAAUCUGUUGGUGAUAUAUAUUUCAUAGGAGUUACCUUAUAUAUCUUAGAUAAUUAAAGAAAAAACUCUAUAUCAGUAAAGACUAAUACAUUCCAGUAAAAGCUUCUCAUUCACCAAAUCUCAAGGACACAAAAGGAAACAGGUAAAACACACAUGAAACAACAUUAACAAUCCAAGCUUAAUUCAAAGCCACAAACAGAUGCAGUUUCAAAAAGGUCAAAGUUUAGAACCAAAAACACUUUCAGAACAAUUUCAGUUAUUCCUUCUUGUCCCAUCACAAUUAUCAAUAUGUACAAUAACACAGAUGUAUAGUAUAGGAUUGACAGUAGUCAGUAACACUCAACAAACUGUGCUCACUUCUGCAUGUGCGGCGCCCUCUCUAGGUGAAUCAAGAGAUAUCACAGUUUCAAAUGCACCAACUAGAGCCUUGACCUUGCUCUUCCUCAGUUCGGUAAGUUUGCUUGCAGUCUCUUCAAUGACAUUAUUAUACAAACCCGAAUUUUGUUUCUUCUUCCAUUCCACAUUUUGAUGCCUCAAAACAACUUUGUCGGAUCCUGAUUUUGAACCAUAUAUUCGGCUUCUAUCUACACCACCAAUCCUUCUCCCAAAAUUUCCGUUUUUACUUCUUUCCACAGUCUGCUGUUUGAGAUCAACUUUCUCAGUUUUGAUAUUUGCAGAAUGUAACUCACCACCAUCAACUUCUUUAUCGGCAACGGUCCUUUUUCUUGUGCCAUUUACAUCUCUUCUGAUGUCAUCCCCGAGCAGGCGUGCUGACCUGAAUUUGAGCCUCCUUGGAAUGUUGUUGCUUUGAGGCUGAAUUUCAAUCACCUUUCCUCUCCUAAAAGUUAACUUCCUAGUUGGAAUAACAUUAUUUGAUGUCCCAACUAUUGUGGUCAUCUUUGGCCUUAUUUUGUACCCUACCUUCACAUUUUCACCCUGAUUACUGUGUCCUGUUUUGUUGGGCUUAUAUGUAGUACCAUUUUGUUUUCUGAGUGAAGAAGAGUUAGACGAGGAAACGGUUGAUAACUGUGAUGGUGAUGAUCGCGAAGCACUACGUGUUUUAUGCUGUAUGUUUGUCUUGAAUUUGUUCCCUGAGGAUUGAUGAGAGAGUGUCCCAGAUACAGUUCCUUGUCCAACAUGUCUAAGGCCCUUCCUUGAAGAUGCAGAAACCCCAAAAUUGCCGGUUUUAUUAGUAGUUCUCUUCAAGCUUUUGUCUCCUGAUGAUGAAUGUGAAGCUGAAGGUAAAGGUGAAAGUGAUUUAGUUGCAUCACAAGCCAGAGUAGGUUCAUCAGAUAAAUUUUCUGAGUUAGGUUCAAUGACAUGCAAAAUUUUGUCUGGUAAAUUGUCAUUGUUGGCUAGUUCAGGUUUGAGUUCUUCGCCAUUCUCAUGAUUAUUCUGAGAAGACACUCUUCUCAAGUUUUUGGAAGUAUCACUUGAGUUUAAAGGUUUCUUGACAUUUUGUUUUGUAGACGAGAGAAAAUUUGAUGCUGAUGAUUUAUCCUUGCCUCCACUAGAAAAUGUUCCUUUCUGUUUGCUUCUGAUUGCAGUUUCUUUAAUGCUGCUUGAACCAAAAGCACAUUUGUUUUUGACUAAUUCCCAUUUUGUUUGACUUUUGGGACGUUGCUUCACAUGGUGAGAAGAUGUCUCUGAACUUGGUUGAACUAUGUCACUGUUAUCAUGUUCCAUGGAGACAUCAGUUUCUUCAAAAGGCGGUGAAUUUUUCUCUGAAGUGGCUGUUUUUUCGCUUGUUAUCACUUCCUUGAUGUCAACAGUAUAUUCAGGUUCUCCAACUUUUGAAGUUAGAGAAUGAUCUGAACUUCUUCCUGAUUUCUUUGUUCCUUCCAAUGAAGUUAAAAUUUCUCCUGAUACAUUGGUUUUCCUCUCCCUCCUUUUCUUUGCUGUUUUCCAUGGUUUUUCUUCAGUGGCAUGCGGGAUACCGUAUUUGCACAAAUCAUGGCAGGAACUCCUACGAUCACGACGAUAACGCGAAAGAAUCUUAGGUGGACCUUUUGUGAUAAUUAAUCCCUCAAACUCAAUAGGAUUUUCUUUCUCAUCAACUUCUUCAAGCUCAAUUAUCUCAGACUCCACUUGGUUAACAGUAAUUUCCUCUGCCAUCAAUUAUCAAGAUCAAGCAACAAUUUCAAAGAUCCCUGCAACAGAUAAGAUUCCUUUCAGAUAUCUUCAACAAGGUGGAGAAGAAAAGAAGAAUUGGUUCCUUUCAUUAAUACCACAUAGACUAUAACCUUAUAAAAACAUAUCUAAUAUCUGGUAAAUAUGUUAGAAACCGACGAAACAUAAUUAUGUUUUCAGUUAUAAGUUUGGCAUCUUAAAGGAAACAAACAAGGCAUAUAAGACUAAAGACAAUAAAACUCAACCAUGUUCCAUCAUCCAUGAUUUAAUUCCAUGAUCAGAAUAUCAUUUAGUUAAUUAUGAUUUGAAAAAUAAAACAAUAAUCUUAUAUAGGAUGCUAGAAAAAGCAGAUCCAUACAACAUGAAUUGAUUCAGAUUAAUUUCAGACAAAAACUUAAAAAUAAUCUUAUUUAUGAGUACAUACAGAGACCCUUUAUAGGUAUAUAUAUAUGAAUAUGAUCUAAGGAUAUGAGAGAAUAAUUCCUUGAGAAGAUUCCAUGAUACAUCUUGAAUAAAUAUAUGAGGUUAUAACUUAUAAGAAAAUGCAUGCAUAUAUGCAUGAAGAUGAAGAUUGAAGACAUACCUUGUUUGAUUCUUGAAGAAAAGAAAGAGAGGUGCAAGGAUUGAAAUGGAAGAAGCAAAGAGUUGAUGAUGUUAUAUUUUGAUGUGUUGAGAAGGUAGCGUUUCAAAAUGAGAAAACUAAUAUACGCGUUAGUUAAUUUGUUGAAAGAAAAUUAAUAUAAAGAAAGUAACCUUCCAGAGAGAAAAAGAAAAGGACAGAGAGUCCCACCACAGGUGAGAUGAUAAGGAAGGAAUAACAGUCUGUCAGAGAAACCACCACAAUCUCCCUAACCAUGUAACUAUAUCAUUACGAUGGACCAAAGAUAGUAUAGGGUAGAAGAAAGAGAGAACAAUGCAUGUCAAUAUGUCACCUUUUUCUUUCCCUACCACCUUUUUUACAACCUGUUUUUAUUUUAUUUUUCUUUCCCUUGGCCUAUACAUAUUUGUAUUUUUAUAAAAAAAUUAUAAUUAAUUAAAGUGGCACUAAACCAUGAAGGUUGAAUAUGAAGGGCAUUUUUGAAAAUUCAGUAAUAUUUUUUAUGAGAACAAGAAGAUUAAUUGCAUUUAAUUAUAUAUAUAUAUAUAUAUAUAUAUAUAUAUAUAUAUAUAUAUAUAUAUAUAUAUAUAUAUAUAUAUAUAUAUAUAUGUAUAUAUAUAUAUAUAUAUAUAUAUAUAUAUAUGUGAAGGAAUUUAUUUUCGCUUAUAAUCAAGAUCGGAUGAAGUAUUUUAUAACAUUAAAUAGAUAUGAGAUAUAGUGAUGAUUGACGCUGAACUUGGUAGGGAGGAUCACGGUUCGAUCCUCCGCAACUGCGGUCGGGAGGGGGCUGGAACUACUUGAUGUCAGAACUGACCCCCGAACCAAAUUAAACCGGUGGUAAAAUCCAAAAAAAAAAAAAAUAUAUAAGAUUUGUGUCACUAAUCGUUAGUUGGUUCAGUGAUGAUUAACGUUGAACUUGGUAGGAAGGACCACAGUUUGAUCUACCGUAGGACCAUAUACUAGUGAAAAAAAAUGUCUAUUUUAAAUUACUCACCCAAAAAACCAAUACGCAAAAACAAAAAGAAAAGGCCAAGCAAAGAUUUUUAGACGCGUUUCUCAGCGCGUUUUCACACAGGUUCGUUAGCACCGAACCGAUUCCGUUUAAAAUGGUCAUUUUUUUCCUCAAAUAGCAAUAAAUAAUUAACUAGCAAUAAAUACUUCUAAAAAAGUGUUUGAUACAGAAAGAAGUUCGUCGGUUAAUUUAAUUAUUCACGUAAAAAAUUUAAUUAUUCACGUAGAAAAAGAAUAUGAUAUAUGACAUAUUUGACUAUUUCAUGUAAAUUAAGAAAACUAUAUAAAUAGAGAAAAAUGUACCACUUUUAGUAUAUUACAUAUUGUUGUAUUUUUAUUUUUGGUUACAUUAUAUUGAUGUAUUUAUAUUGCAAAUAUAAAGUAUUGAAUUAUAUUUAUCAAAAAAAUUAUUGAUAUUACCAUAAUUUUUUUUUUGGUCAAGAAUAUUACCAUAAAUUUAAAGUACAAGAUAUUUUUUGUGUUAGAUAAUUAUGAAAUUUGAAAUAUUAAAAUCUUAAUUUUUAUAGUCACUUUUUAACCCGUGCUUGGCACGGGUCCGGAUACUAGUUGAGAUAGUGUAUGAAAUAUUAAUCAGGUACUAUUAAUGUUAUUUUAAAAAUAAAAAAUGUCAAUUAUUAUUGGACUUCUUUUAAUGAGAUAGGGAGUAUAUGACCAGUCUUAUUUGUAAUUUGUGUUGCACCAAAAAAUAGAAAAAAAUAAAUUGUUUGUAACAUCUCUAAACACGUGACUAUUUAUCAUUCACCACGUUUACCUUCUCCAAAUUUUAUCACUAUUUAUUGUCAAAUUUUUUUUUUAUCACUAUUUAGUAGUCUUCAUACACCUACCUUUUAUUUAUUCAUUGUCCAAGUUAUUGACAUCAUUAUAAUUUAUAUCAAAUCAAAGCAAACACUUAAUAGACAUGAGUCACUCACUUGGUUAGGCAGAUUGAAUUUGUUAAAGAGAGGCCAAUUUCUGUAGGACACAUUUUUAAAGAUAUACCGUAAUAAUCAAGCCAAAAUUAUAGUAAUUUAAUACUAAUAUGACUUUUUUGACUUAUUUAAUACUAAUUUGGCUUGAGAUUGAAGAAACCAUUUUAAUUCUCAUUUUAAAAUUAAACUAUAUUCAAUUCUAGACUAACAUUUGCCAUAAAAAAAAUGAUGAGUUCACUUACCAAUCGUUCGUUGGUUCAGUGGUGACUGGCGCUGAACUUGGUAGGAAGGACCGCGAUUCGAUCUCCCGCAACUGCGAUCGGGAGAAAAAAAAAAUAAAAAAAAAUGAUGAGUUCACUUUGUUGAUAUAGAAAAAAAAUGAGUUCACUUUUUAAAAAUAUGAUUUCAUCAUAUUUUUCAUGGUUCAUCAAAUUCAUUUAUGUAUUAUGUACUUAAAGUUAACUUUAGCUACUCAGCCUUAUUAUGAUAGAGAAUCAACACUGUGUGAUCAUAACAUUGACCCUACCUAAUGAUAUAAAAUUCACUAGUAGUUGCUAUUGUUGAUUAUUGAUUAUACAAGUAUAAAUAAAUUAUUGUGCCUCAUCUGAAAUUAUGUUUUGAAUCUUUAUAUAAUUUAAUAAAAUAAUUGGCCAAAUGAUUCAAUGUGAGAAGUUGAAAACUUUUUAUAUCUAUAUUGAUAUCUUGAGAGUUAGUUAUCAAUAGAAUUUUUUUUCCAGUUUUAUUAAGAACAACUUAACUCUAAUAUAAAAUCUGAUUUCACUAUUCUCUUUUGCUAUGAUUGGCAAAAAGGAGGCAUGAUUAAGCUACUAGAUUAAAUUUCCAACAACCAAACAAAAAGAUAAAAGCUAUUCCAUCUCCUACAUGAGAGGAAUAUAAUGGAUUUAAUCCCAAGAAAAAACCAGGAUAUACAGUAGAGUUCAUUUUCUAUCCUUCAGUUACUAUAUUGUAUAUCUUAAUUUACAAAUCAUCCUAUACUUCAUAAAAAUCUCAUCCAAGGUCAAUGGACAUAGUCUUAUAAUUAGUUAUAUACUUAGCUCCAAAUAAAUCGAGGAUUAGUGAUGCGAAAUCUCUGUCCCCUUCGCUUUUUGCACGUCUUUCCCCAACUUAUUAGGCCCUUUUUCUCAAUUCCCAAUUUAGAGAUAUUAGUUAGAGGUUUCAAGUUCAACAGCAAGUCUGAGUCUUUAGUGUUAGAAGCUGAAGAACAGGAUCUUCUCCUGCCCCUACUCGGCACUUUUCCACUUGCAUUUCUUAGAGAACCCAUCUCGGAGUGAGUAUCGGCAGUUACAAGGCUUUCAAUAAUCUGAAGAUCCUCAGUCACCUCAUACCUUGACAAAGAAGCAAUGCUUGGGAGGAUUUCACUCUGAAAAUCCUUUCGCCACCUUCCUCUAUAUGUCCGGACACUCUUCCUUGGUUGAGUUGGUGAAGCUGAUGCACCAAUUUGGUCGGUUUGGCCCGUACUCUUAAAGCAGCAAUCUCGGUCCUUUGUCUCGGUCAAAUUUAAGGUCAUGAACUCGAAGUAAUCCAUUUCAUCAGACAGAAACUCGUCAAGACCAUUAACCUUACCGUUGAAAUCAGUUUCAUUAUCAUUCUCUGCAUGAUCAACUGCUGUGGAAACAAUUGCAGCAAACCAGUUAAGAGAACUAUUCGCAGAAGAUUCAGAUGAUGAACAAGUUGCCAUUUGGAUAUCUUUCUGAGUCACAAAUCCUGAUAUGGAAACCAAAGCUUCUGCUGCAAUUCUGGUUUGCUCUUCUUGCACAUGGGGAUCCUCUUGUUCUGCAAAUUGAAAGGGUGUCACUGUCGCAAGCUGGUUUUCAUCGGAUUCUCCUCGGGGCGGAGAGCAUUCCUUGUUCUCUGGACUCGCAGGUGCAUGAAAAUCAACAUCAAUUGGAACAUUCUCGUCCUCAAUCAUGCAUGAAUUUAGGUCGAUGAUACCUGCCAAAUAUUCAUGCUUCCUCUUCUUCUCAUUCGUAAUCAAAUGCUCGCCUGAGGGUAUCUGUUCCCCUAUGUCAGACACAUCUACAGAAGGUAACUCUUUCUCAAUUUCUUCAAUCCUUUGAUUUUUGGCUUGGUUUUGGAAGUGUUUGGUGGCAAAGCCAUGAUCAGAUGACGUGUGAGGAUUUAAAACGACAGAUUCAAUUUGGGUUGACAUUGUACUUUCUUCAUUGGGUUUUCCUUUGACAACAGGUAAUUCUUUAAGACAAGGCAACCCCGUUGCCCCAAGAAAUCCGUUACGUGCAGAGCUCUCAGUACUAGAAAAAAUUGUCUUUGUCGAAGGUCCUUGGUUAACUUGAUGUGAUGAGUGAAAAGAUGAAAGGUCAUCAAAUUGCUCCAUAUUCUUACAUGAUGAAUCAACUGAAACAGAUUGCUUUUCUGUAAGAAUAUCUUUAUCCAAAGAAUCCAACAAACCACCAUUUAAACCUGAAAAGUAAAUGAUAAAUCAUAUGAUCCAAGUUAUAACUGUGUACAAGCUGAAAAUAUUUAGCAGUUGACAAAUUUGAAAAUAGAAAAAGUAUAAUAAUAACUUUAAUACUAUUACCUGAGGACUUCCAAUCACAUUUCUUCUCAUUGUCUUUCAGUUGGUUAUGUGAGCUUCCUUCAAGAUUCUGUCUUUUGUUGAAGACAUCGUCGUGGAAAUUUUGAGAUCCAAAUUUUGUUCUCAUCGAGAGAUCAUACAAAAAAUUGUUCAUAUGAUUUGUAGGGGCCUCCAUAUUAUUAGACUUUGCAGCUGUCCCUACUUCAAGCCUAAAUGGUACAUUUAAGUCGAGCUUAAACUGUACAUUUUCUUCACCUUCAUCGCUAUCAAUGUACUCAUCAGCAGGAAGUUCAAGAUCCAAUAUUUUUUUACCGACUUUUCUGCACGUGGACUCUGGUAGUGUAUAAUCUUUUAAAGAUUCUUCAGUUACAGUUGAAGCACGAGCAGGAAAAAUUUGCCUGCUUUUUUCUUGAGCAAAGGCCGGUGGCAACUGGAUGCUUUCCGCAAAUAAAAAAGAUGAUUGAGAGGUUGGCCAGGGCAGGUUCGAUGAGUAAAAUAUCUUUUCUCCGUGUUUAGAUGACAAAGCGGAACUAGACCAUGAUGCCUCCAACCUUACAUUUUGUUUAUGUAAUUCACUCCUAAUUUCAUCCAUUAAUUCCCUCUGUUUGUGAUAAACACGGUGGAGCUCACGAAUCUGAAGAGCAAUGUACAAUUCAAAGACAUAAAUAAACAAAAGAGUUUGAUGAGUAUUCAAAAAUAAUGAGAGAGCCACAUCAUCAGAAACAACAAACAACUAUAAAAGACUGUACUUCUCACUGCCAUCUCAAUGCAUCAUAGAACAUAGUCCUCAAUAAAUUCAAUCUCAACAACCAGAAUAUUAAGGCUUAAAUAAAUUUGGUAUAUUUAGCAGAAAUGUGCAGACAGAACACAGAGAAUAAUCUAAUCCAAGAAUAGAAAUUGCGAAGUUAACGUACUUGGUCCUUAAAUAUAGCUUCAUGCUUGAGUAUAGUCUGUUUUACAAGCUCCUGGUUGUAGCCUAAAAAGGUACACGGCGAUGAUACCGGGAAGGGACCCAUGUGGAAGAAAUCAGUCCUCAGUUCAUUAUUAACAUUAGAUGAGGUCCAUGUGCUGCCUCCAGAGUCAAAGACGAGCUCCCUUGUUGGAUAGUAUCCUUGAAAAUUGUCAUUUAAUUGCACAUUUGCGCCCAAUAAUGCCAUUAAUGAUAAUGUAGGAAAUUUCAAUCACAAUCAAACAAGAUAUAGAAUGGUACCCUCAAUUCCAAAACAAGGACACCCUGCAUCCAAACCAAAAUAUGUUAUUUUUUAUGCAUGUACAAAGAAGAAUUACGCUAAACAGACGCAAGGAAUUUCGGUUUAACUUUUAGGCUUUUCACCGGAAAAAAUAGAACAGUUAAUGGCUAAACUGAUUUUUUUUCCUAGGUAACUUAUAUGCAUACCUAAAAAAUAGUAAUACUAGGUUCAAUUGGAUUGUUCUUUUAUCAUGGAGAUAAGAUCAACAUCGUCCUACAAUUAAAUUAACAAAUAAAAUUAGUAAAUAGAUAAUAAAUCCAAACAAUAACACUGUUUGUACAUAUAUUCAAGAUAAUUACACGUGAAUGAAAGACAGACAAACACAUGGAGCGUGAAAAUCUGCUUAUCAAGAAGGUGAAUUGAGAGGACACAUGGAUUUUGGGAGAUAUACAUAUCCAAACACUAUUGUCACAAAACAGUGGCCAACAUUUCAAGUACAUUAAAAAGAGUAUCUAAAUAGGAAUGCAUAUUAAUGAACCUAAAACAGAAUUAACUCCAAAUUAAGGAUGUUCUUAGUUUAUCUUGAUGACUGUUGAGGUAAUUAAACAAAGCAUAAAAUUGCAGCCAUGAAACAAAAGUGAAUAACAAACAUACACAGUAUGAAAUCAC